rnacentral:lncRNA from 1 species
ACAUAUAAUAUUACACAUUAAGGGUCUCACGACCCAUCAUAGCAGUCAUUCAGCUACAAGCCAGCGGAAGUGUUUAAAGCUGUCUGAGUACAUACGGGUGCAACUAGAAGGCACAUGGCCUGACUAUACUACAGACCCAACCUAGGGCCAGAUCGUAGCUAGCACACGAGCUACUCGUCGUCGUCGAUGUCUAUGAAGAACCCUCCGUUAGGGUCAUUUGCAGCCUCUGCAACAUUUAUUAAGCAAACAUAAGUACGGAGGUUCUCAGCAAGACUUUAGGAUAACUAUCUACUCAUGCAAUGUAUCAAUAAGGUAUUGUGGGGUUUCAUGCGGAAAGCCAGCAUUUGACUCGUGGCUAGACAACUUGCAUUUUAAAAUAAUUUUGACAACUUGAUUUCUCGCANNNNNNNNNNNNNNNNNNNNNNNNNNNNNNNNNNNNNNNNNNNNNNNNNNNNNNNNNNNNNNNNNNNNNNNNNNNNNNNNNNNNNNNNNNNNNNNNNNNNGGGUUGGAGCGUUAAUUUAGUGGUUUCAUAUUGUGUUAGCUAGCUAAUAGAGAGAAGUGUCCUCUGUUUCUCCAUGCUUGGUCGAACAACAAGUUUUUGUAUAUCUAUCCGACGCUAUUACAUAUAUACAAUAUAACAUCUUUUACAAUUAAUCCAAAACAUCAACUAAUUAAUAACCAAUGACAAAUCCACAUGGCAUUCUCCGUCUUUAGGUAUGACGUGAUCAACAAAGAAUCCCGCAAAUUCCUCUUGAAUUGCUCGUAUGCGAUCAUAUGGUAGGAGUUGAUCCCGCAUCUCGUAGAUCUAAUUUAAAGAAGGGGGUCAAUACAUGUAUAUAUAUGAAUAAAACUCAACACAAUUGUGAAUAUUAUUUCCAUACUUGAAAUUGUUUCUCAUAGAAGACGCGCUCAGAGGUCGAGUGGCGAAUGAACUCACAUAUGUAGUAUGCACAUAAAACAGUGCCUUCUUUCUGGUACAUACACUUUACGAGAAUAGAGUUCAAUCAAACUGAUAAGCAAGCAUGGUAAUGAUAUAUUGAUGAAAAUUUGAAUCAAUUAGAGAUGCGCGGAACUAGCUAGUACUACUUACUUUGGGGUGCCUAAAUCGCAACUCUUUGUUUAGACCGGGAACCAUAUUAGCGAAAUUCGUCCAAACCCUGCCAGGCAAAGAAAAUGAUUACUUGAUAUCAGGAAAUUAACGAAAGUUGCAUGCUGAUAUGGUCUCGGUAUAUUGACUGAACUUACUUCUUGAGCAUUGUAGUAAUUUCCUCAUAAUCCUCUUCGGCUUUAUGUCUUGAGUCUAAGACAUUUACUACUACCCUUCCAACGUGAAUGGAUAGCAGAAAAAGUGGUCUCUGCGCACACAUAUAUAACUCAUCAAUUACAUUACUUAAUUAACCUCGAGUAAGCGAAACCGAGUUUACACAAAAGACAACAACACUCACUUGAAGUUGUAAGGAAAGAUUAUUUCCACUUUUUUAUAUAUAAGGAACGAGUUUAGAAAGUUCUCCUCCGUCUCUUUGAUUGAGUUUCGUACCGUCAAUUCAUUUACGACAUAUGGGCUAAUGAACCCAACGUCGAUGAUUCCUUCUUUUUUUAAUUCGACGAUCUUCAAUCUGCAUAAUAUAUAUAGUGAGGAUAAUUAUAUAUACAUGCAAUGAACGAGCUGAGCUAGAGACUUAACUAUAGAAGUAAUACUUACAAACAGUAGGAAGCCAUGAGUUGUUUGUCGAGGGCCAGUUGAUUGUAUAACUGAAAUAACUCCUCAAAUUGAAUAGUAAUCAUGGGAAGUCCAAUGAAUUCAUGCUCUGGUNNNNNNNNNNNNNNNNNNNNNNNNNNNNNNNNNNNNNNNNNNNNNNNNNNNNNNNNNNNNNNNNNNNNNNNNNNNNNNNNNNNNNNNNNNNNNNNNNNNNAGGACAUAAUCCUUCUUCCCAGCUUGUAGGAUCAACUUAAGAUUAUGAGCCGAGUCUACAAAGUUGCUUCCAUCAUCUUUCAACUUAGCUUUCUCUAGGAACGUAUUAAAAUUCAGGGUGACUGUCGCGUGAGCCAUGAUCUACAACACAAAUAUAUUCAAAGUGGACGCUAGACUAUGUUCAAGAUAAUUNNNNNNNNNNNNNNNNNNNNNNNNNNNNNNNNNNNNNNNNNNNNNNNNNNNNNNNNNNNNNNNNNNNNNNNNNNNNNNNNNNNNNNNNNNNNNNNNNNNNNNNNNNNNNNNNNNNNNNNNNNNNNNNNNNNNNNNNNNNNNNNNNNNNNNNNNNNNNNNNNNNNNNNNNNNNNNNNNNNNNNNNNNNNNNNNNNNNNNNNNNNNNNNNNNNNNNNNNNNNNNNNNNNNNNNNNNNNNNNNNNNNNNNNNNNNNNNNNNNNNNNNNNNNNNNNNNNNNNNNNNNNNNNNNNNNNNNNNNNNNNNNNNNNNNNNNNNNNNNNNNNNNNNNNNNNNNNNNNNNNNNNNNNNNNNNNNNNNNNNNNNNNNNNNNNNNNNNNNNNNNNNNNNCAAGCUUAACCCGAGUGUACCGCGUGCGCAACUGUUUUGCACCCAUUGUAUGUGAACGUUGAGUCUAUCACACCCGAUCAUCACGUGGUGUCUCGAAACGACGAACUGUAGCAACGGUGCACAGUCGGGGAGAACACAAUUUCGUCUUGAAAUUUUAGUGAGAGAUCACCUCAUAAUGCUACCGUCGUUCUAAGCAAAAUAAGGUGCAUAAAAGGAUUAACAUCACAUGCAAUUCAUAAGUGACAUGAUAUGGCNNNNNNNNNNNNNNNNNNNNNNNNNNNNNNNNNNNNNNNNNNNNNNNNNNNNNNNNNNNNNNNNNNNNNNNNNNNNNNNNNNNNNNNNNNNNNNNNNNNNNNNNNNNNNNNNNNNNNNNNNNNNNNNNNNNNAGUGACAUGAUAUGGCCAUCAUCACGUGCUUCUUGAUCUCCAUCAUCAAAGCACCAGGACGAUCUUCUUGUCACCGGCGCCACACCAUGAUCUCCAUCAACGUGUCGCCAUCGGGGUUGUCGUGCUACUCAUGCUAUUACUACUAAAGCUACAUCCUAGCAAAAUAGUAAACGCAUCUGCAAGCACAAACAUUAGUAUAAAGACAACCCUAUGGCUCCUGCCGGUUGCCGUACCAUCGACGUGCAAGUCGAUAUUAUCUAUUACAACAUUAUCAUCUCAUACAUCCAAUAUAUCACAUCACAUCGUUGGCCAUAUCACAUCACAAGCAUACCCUGCAAAAACAAGUUAGACGUUCUCUAAUUUUGUUGUUGCAUGUUUUACCUGGUGACCACGGGUAUCUAGUAGGAUCGCGUCUUACUUACGCAAACACCACAACGGAGAUAUAUGAGUUUCUAUUUAACCUCAUCCAAGGACCUCCUCGGUCAAAUCUGAUUCAACUAAAGUUGGAGAAACCGACACUUGCCAGUCAUAUUUGAGCAACGGGGUUACUCGUAGCGAUGAAACCAGUCUCUCAUAAGCGUACGAGUAAUGUCGGUCGAAGCCGCUUCAAUCCAACAAUACCACGGAAUCAAGAAAAGACUAAGGAGGGCAGCAAAACGCACAUCACCGCCCACAAAAACUUUUGUGUUCUACUUGAGAAGACAUCUACGCAUGAACCUAGCUCAUGAUGCCACUCUUGGGGAACAUCGCAUGGGAAACAAAAAAUUUCCUACGCGCACGAAGACCUAUCAUGGUGAUGUCCAUCUACGAGAGGGGAUGAGUGAUCUACGUACCCUUGUAGACCGUACAGCAGAAGCGUUAGUGAACGCGGUUGAUGUAGUGGAACGUCCUCACGUCCCUCGAUCCGCCUCGCGAACAAUCCCGCGAUCAGUCCCACGAUCUAGUACCGAACGGACGGCACCUCCGCGUUCAGCACACGUACAGCUCGACGAUGAUCUCGGCCUUCUUGAUCCAGCAAGAGAGACGGAGAGGUAGAAGAGUUCUCUGGCAGCGUGACGGCGCUCCGGAGGUUGGUGAUGACCUUGUCUCAGCAGGGCUCCGCCCGAGCUCCGCAGAAACACGAUCUAGAGGAAAAACCGUGGAGGUAUGUGGUCGGGCUGCCGUGGAAAAGUCGUCUCAAAUCAGCCCUAAAACCUCCGUAUAUAUAGGUGGGAGAGAGGGGACCUUGCCUUGGGGCUCAAGGAGCCCCAAGGGGGUCGGCCGAGCCAAGGGGGGAAGGUCUCCCCCCCCCAAACCGAGUUGGACUUGGUUUGGUGGGUGGGAGUCCUUCCUUCCCUUCCCACCUCCUCUUUUUUUUCUUUCUCUUUGAUUUUUCUUCCAAUGCGCAUAGGGCCCUUUUGGGCUGUUCCACCAGCCCACUAAAGGCUGGUGCGCCACCCUCAAGGCCUAUGGGCUUCCCCGGGGUGGGUUGACCCCCCCCCCCCUGGUGAACUCCCGGAACCCAUUCGUCAUUCCCGGUACAUUCCCGGUAACUCCGAAAACCUUCCGGUAAUCAAAUGAGGUCAUCCUAUAUAUCAAUCUGCGUUCCCGGACCAUUCCGGAAACCCUCGUGACGUCCGUGAUCUCAUCCGGGACUCCGAACAACAUUCGGUAACCAACCAUAUAACUCAAAUACGCAUAAAACAACGUCGAACCUUAAGUGUGCAGACCCUGCGGGUUCGAGAACUAUGUAGACAUGACCCGAGAGACUCCUCGGUCAAUAUCCAAUAGCGGGACCUGGAUGCCCUUAUUGGAUCCUACAUAUUCUACGAAGAACUUAUCGUUUGAACCUCAGUGUCAAGGAUUCAUAUAAUCCCGUAUGUCAUUCCCUUUGUCCUUCGGUAUGUUACUUGCCCGAGAUUCGAUUGUUAGUAUCCGCAUACCUAUUUCAAUCUCGUUUACCGGCAAGUCUCUUUACUCGUUCCGUAAUACAAGAUCCCGUAACUUACACUAAGUCACAUUGCUUGCAAGGCUUGUGUGUGAUGUUGUAUUACCGAGUGGGCCCCGAGAUACCUCUCCAUCACACGGAGUGACAAAUCCCAGUCUUGAUCCAUACUAACUCAAAUAACACCUUCGGAGAUACCUGUAGAGCAUCUUUAUAGUCACCCAGUUGCGUUGCGACGUUUGAUACACACAAAGUAUUCCUCCGGUGUCAGUGAGUUAUAUGAUCUCAUGGUCAUAGGAACAAAUACUUGACACGCGGAAAACAGUAGCAACAAAAUGACACGAUCAACAUGCUACGUCUAUUAGUUUGGGUCUAGUCCAUCACGUGAUUCUCCUAAUGACGUGAUCCAGUUAUCAAGCAACAACACCUUGUUCAUAAUCAGAAGACACUGACUAUCUUUGAUCAACUUGCUAGCCAACUAGAGGCUUGCUAGGGACAGUGUUUUGUCUAUGUAUCCACACAUGUAAAUGAGUCUUCAUUCAAUACAAUUAUAGCAUGGAUAAUAAACGAUUAUCUUGAUGCAGGAAUUAUAAUAAUAACUAUAUUUAUUAUUGCCUCUAGGGCAUAAUUCCAACAGUUGGCUAGCUCAUUGAUCAAUACAUGAUCAUGGACAUUGGAUGUCAUUGAUAACGGGAACAAAUCAUUAGGAGAAUGAUGUGAUGGACAUGACCCAAUCCUAAGCAUAGCACUAGAUCGUAUUGUUCGUCUGCUAAAGCUUUUGUAAUGUCAAGUAUCAUUUCCUUAGACCAUGAGAUUGUGCAACUCCCGGAUACCGUAGGAGUGCUUCGGGUGUAUCAAACGUCACAAAUUAACUGCGUUAUUAGAAAGGUGCACUACAGGUAUCUCCGAAAGUGUCUGUUGAGUUGGUACGAAUCGAGACUGGGAUUUGUCACUCCGUGUGAGGGAGAGGUAUCUCUGGGCCCACUCGGUAAUGCAUCAUCAUAAUGAGCUCAAUGUCACUAAGGAGUUAGUCACAAGAUGAUGUGUUAUGUAACAAGUAAAGAGAGAUGCCGGUAAUGUGGUUGAACAAGGUAUAGGGAUACCGAUGAUCGAAUCUUGGGCAAGUAUCAUACGGGUAGACAAAGGGAAUUGCGUACGGGACUGGUUGAAUCCCCGACAUCGUUGUUCAUCCGAUGAGAUCAUCGUGGAACAUGUGGCAGGAAACAUGGAUAUCCAGACCCUAAUGUUCGUUAUUGACCGGAGAGGUAUCUAGGUGAUGUCUGCAUGGUUCCCGAAGCCGUAGGGUCUACACACUUAAGGUUCGAUGACACUAGGGUUGUUAUGGGAAUAGUAUACGUGGUUAUCAAAGGUUGUUCGGAGUCCCGGAUCAGACCCCGGACGUCACGAGGAGUUCUAUAAUGGUCCAGAGGUAAAGAUUCAUAUAUAGGAACUGAAGUUUUGAUCACCGAAAGAGUUUCGGAGAUCGUCGGUAUUGUACCGGGACCAUCGGAAGGGUUCCGGGGGUCCACCGAAAAGGGCCACCAGCCCCGAAAGGCAACAUGGGCGAAGAGUGGAAGGGAACCAGCCCCUAGAAGGGCUGGUGCACCUCCCACCCCAGCCCAAGUCGCAAGAGAGGGCUAAGGGGGCCACCCCUAGGGCGUGGGGACUGCCUUGGGCGGCAAGCCCACCCCUAGGGCACCGCCCUCCUCCACUUGGUCGUCGGCCCUGCACAUAUAGGGUUGUCGCACCACGUAGGGUGCAAACCCUAGGCGUGGUGCACCCUCCUCCGUCUCCUCCUAUAUAAACCCAAGGGUUUUGGGGCUGUGAUACGUCCCCAACGUAUCUAUAAUUUUUAUGGUUCCAUGCUAUUAUCUUGUCAACUUUGGAUGCAUGAUUAUGCUUUUUAUAUCUUUUUUGGGACUAACCUAUUAACUCAGUGCCAAGUGCCAGUUUCUGUUUUUUCCAUGUUUUUGGCCCAUUUUCAGACGGAGUCCAAAUGGAAUGAAACUUUACGAUGAUUUUUUUGGACCAAAAGAGGCCCCCGAAACUUUGGAAGUAGGCCAAAAGAGCCACGAGGAAGUCACAAACCCUGAUGCCGCCACCACCCCCCUAAGUGGCGCAGGGCAGGCUUGUGACCUCCUCCUGGGCCCAACCGACGUAAUUCCACCGCCAUAAAUUCCUAUAAAUUCAGAAACCCCCAAAAAGAAACCUAGAUCGGGAGUUCCGCCGCCGCAAGCCUCUGUAGCUACCAAAAAACAAUCUGGAGCCCGUUCCGGCACCCUGCCGGAGGGGGAAUCCAUCUUCGGUGGCCAUCUUCAUCAUUCCGGCGAUCUCCAUGACGAGGAGAGAGUAGUUAUCCCUCAGGGCUGAGGGUAUGUACCAGUAGCUAUGUGUUUGAUCUCUCUCUUGUGUUCUUGAGAUGUCUUGAUCUCGAUGUACCGUGGGCUAUGCUACUAUAGUUGGAUCUUAUGAUGUUCUUCCCCCUCUCCCUUCUUGUAAUGAAUUGAGUUUCCCCUUUGGAGUUAUCUUAUCGAAUUGAGUCUUUGAGAACACUUGAUCUAUGUCUUGCACGUGUCUAUCUGCUGUGAUCAACUUGCGGGUUUGUGACAAUUGGGAACCUAUGCAUAUGGGUUGGCACACGUGGAUUCAUGUGAGUACUUGAUGUAUGUUUUGGUGAUCAAGUUGCGGGUUCGUGACAUUGGGAACCUAUGCACAGGGGUUGGCACACGUUUUGAUUCUCUGGUAGAAACUUUGGGGCACUCUUUGAAGUUGUAUAUGUUGGUUGAAUAGAUGAUUCUGAGAUUGUGUGAUGCAUAUCGUAUAACCAUACCCACAAAUACUUGAGUUGACAAUGGAGUAUCUAGGUGACAUUGGGGUCUCGGUUGAUAUGUAUCUUAAGGUGUUAUUCUAGUACGAACUCUUGAAUAGAUCGAUCAGAAAGAAUAACUUUGUGGUGGUUUCGUACCCGACAAUAAUCUCUUCGUUUGUUCCCCGCUAUUAGUGACUUUGGAGUGACUCUCUGUUGCAUGUUGAGGGCUAGUUAUAUGAUCCAAUUAUGUUAUCAUUGUUGAGAGAACUUCACUAGUGAAAGUAUGAACCCUAGGCCUUGUUUCCACGCAUUGCAAUACCGUUCGUGCUCACUUUUGUUACUUGUUACCUUGUUAUUUUUGUAAUUUCAGAUUACAAAAACCUAUAUCUACCAUCCUUAUUGCACUUGUAUCACCAUCUCUUCACCGAACUAGUGCACCUAUACAAUUUACCAUUGUAUUGGGUGUGUUGGGGACACAAGAGACUCUUUGUUAUUUGGUUGCAGGGUUGCUUGAGAGAGACCAUCUUCAUCCUACGCCUCCCACGGAUUGAUGAACCUUAGGUCACCCACUUGAGGGAAAAUUGCUACAGUCCUACAAACCUUUGCACUUGGAGGCCCAACAAUGUCUACAAGGAGAAGGUUGCGUAGUAGACAUCAAGCUCUUUUCUGGCGCCGUUGUCGGGGAGGUUAGCUCUUGAAGGUAUAUCUUUAGAUCUUGCAAUCGAAUCUUUUUGUUUCUUGUUCUUUCGCUAGAAAAUUACAAAAAAAUGGAAUUGAGGAUGCCUCAUAUGCUCCAUCUUUUCAAUGUCUUUCGUGAGCAUGAUGGGAAGGAAAAUUGUGCUCAAGUGCUGAAAGAAGAAUUACAUAGAAUGCUUGGCAUAGAAUAUGUGAACGAUGAGCAUGAUUGCAAUGUUCUUAGCAUGAAUUCUUUGAAUACCCAUGAUGCUAAUGAUAUGCAAAGCCACAAGCUUGGGGAUGCUAUAUUUGAUGAAGAUGAUCUUUUUAGUACUUCCACUUUGAAUGAUCAAAAUCAUUUUGAUGAAAGCAUGCCCCCUAUCUAUGAUGAUUAUUGUGAGGACACUUAUGCUUUGAAGAAAAGGGAUGAUAAAACUUGUCAUACUUUCGGAAACCCCUUUGCUAAACCUUGCUUUUUUUCAUUGUGGACACAAUUUGUAGUGCUCAAGUCUUUUACGAUACUCCCACUACUAUUCUGGAGAAUAGAUUUCUUUAUGUGGAGAGUAGUAAAAUUUCUAUGCUUGUAGACCAUGAAAAAAAUGCUUUAGGUGCUGGUUAUAUGGUUGAAUUCAUUCAUGAUGCUACUGAAAAUUACUAUGAGAGAGGAUCCUAUGCUUCUACUUAUUGUAAUAGUAUCAAGCUUCCUCUCCAUAUGUUGAAAUUUUUGAAGCUAUGCUUGUUUUGCCUUCCUAUGCUAGUUGAUACUUGCUCCAAUAAAUUGUUUGAUCACAAAAUCCCUAUGCAUAGGAAGUGGGUUAGACUCAAAUGUGCUAGCCAUUUGCUCCAUGAUGCUCUCGUUGUGUUUCAAUCCUUACCUUUUAUGUGAGCAUCAUUGAAAUCAAUGCCUAGCUAAGGGCGUUAAACGAUAGCGCUUGUUGGGAGGCAACCCAAUGAAUAAAUUUUUCUUUGAUUUUUGCUUCCUGUUUUGUUUUCUCCACACCAUCAUAAUUCUGUUAUGAUUGUGUCCUUUGUGUUUCUUUUUGUGUUUGUGCCAAGCAAGACCGUUAUGAUUAGUCUUGGUGAUGAUUGUUUGAUCAUGCUGGAAAAAGACAGAAACUUUCUGCUCACGAAAAAAAAAAAUUUAUUAUGUAAGAGCGUUUGAGUUGAUUUUUUUUCUUCUGAUUUCUACGCAAUUUCUUCAGACUGUCGUAAUUUUUCAGAUUUUUUGAAGUACCAGAAGUAUACGAAGUAUACAGAUUUCUACAGACUGGUCUGUUGUUAACAGAUUCUGUUUUUGUUGAGUUGGUUGCUUAUUUUGAUGAAACUAUGGAUAGUAUCGGAGGGUAUUAGCCAUGGAAGAUUGAAAAUACACUAACCCAACGUCAGCAUAAGUAGAAUUUAAGAUUGCUACAGUACAUAAGGAAGUGGUGGUUUGCUUUCUCAUACUAAUGUUAUCACGAGUUUCUGUUUAAGUUUCGUGUUGUGAAGUUUUCAAGUUUUGGGUGAAGUUCUUAUGGACAAAGAGAUAGAGAGUGCCAAGAGCUCAAGAUUGGGGAUGGCCAAGGCACCCCAAGAGAUUCAAGGAUGCCGUAAAAGCCUAAGCUUGGGGAUGCCCCGGGAAGGCAUCCCCUCUUUCGUCUUCAAUCCAUCGGUAACGUUACUUGGGGCUAUAUUUUUAUUCACCACAUGUUAUGUGUUUUUGCUUCGAGCGUCUUGUAUCGUAGGAGUCUUUCAUUUUUGUUGUGUCACAAUCAUCCUUGCUGCACACCUAGAGAGAGAGACAUGCACUCAUCGUGAUUUUGUCGAGCUUCACUUAUAUCCUUUGGUAGACAAUUCAGCUCACAUGUGCUUCACUUAUAUCUUUUGAGCUAGAUACUUUUGCUCUAUGUGCUUCACUUAUGUCUUUUAGAGCGCAGCGGUGCGUGGCUUGGUAGUUGAUCUAUGCUUUGAAAGUAGUCUCAAAAGGGGUAGUUAUCCAAAGGGGUACGAAAACUUCCACCUUCAUGUGCAUUGAAUAGUUAGAGAAGUUUGAUUCAUCUCAAUUAGUUUUGAGUUGUGGUUUUGGUAAUAUUGAAGUCAUGCUAGUAAGGUGUUGUGGAUCUAGAAAUACUUGUGUUGAAGUUAGUGAUUCCCGUAGCAUGCACGUAUGGUGAACCGCUAUGUGAUGAAGUCUGAGCAUGAUUAGUCUUUUGAUUGUCAUCCUUUGCGUGGCGGUCGGGAUCGCGUGAUGGUUUAUACGUACCAACCCUUCCCCUAGGAGUAUGCGUUGAAUGCUUUGUUUCGAUUACUAAUAAAUUUUUUACAACAAGUAUAUGAGUUCUUCAUGACUAAUGUUGAGUCCAUGGUUUAGAUGCACUUUCACCUUCCACCAUCACUAUCUUCUUAGUGCCGUGCAACUUUCGCCGGUGCACAAAACCCACCAUUAGCCUCCCUCAAAACAGCCACCAUACCUACCUACUAUGGCUUUUUCAAAGUCAUUCCAAGAUAUAUUGCCAUGCAACUACCACCAUGACAUGUGCCACCACAUCUACAUUACCAUUGCACGACCGUAAGAUAGCUAGCAUGAUGUUUCCAUUAAUGUCUAUACCAUGCUAGAUCAUUGUCACGGUACACUACCGAAGGCAUUCCAUAUAGAGUCAUCGUUGCUCUAAGUUUUGAGUUGAAAGUGUGAUGAUCAUCAUUGAUGGAGGAUUGUCCCAUGUGAGGAAAUAAAAGAGGCCAAAGAUGCCCACCAAAAUAAAUAAAUAAAAAGAGGCCAAAGAGCCCACCAAAAAAAUGAGAGAAAAAGAGAGAAGGGACAAUGCUACCACCGUUCCACACUUGUGCAUAUUAAGCACCAUGAUCUUCAUGAUUGAGAGUCUCUCGUUUUGUCACCACCAUAUAGCUAGUGGCAAAUUUUCAUUAUAUAACUUGGCUUGUAUAUUCCUAUGAUGAGCUUCCUCAAAAUUGCCUUAGGUCUUCGUGAGCAAGCAAGUUGGAUGCACACCCACUAGUUUUCUUUAAGAGCUUUCACAUACUCCUAGCUCUAGUGCAUCAUUUGUAUGGCAAUCCCUACUCAUUCACGUUGAUAUCUAUUGAUGAGCAUCUCCAUAGCUCAUUGAUAGGCCUAGUCAAUGUGACCAUCUUCUCCUUGUUUGGCUUGCAACCUCCACCACACUCCACACCACUUCUAGUGCUAAAACCAUGGCUCACGCUCAUGUAUUGCGUGAGAGUCGAAACAAUUUGAGAAAGUAAACGUGUGAAAACAAUUACUUGGCCAAUACCGGGAUUGUGCAUGAUUUAAAUUUGUUGUGCAAGGAUGAUAGAGCAUAGCCAGACUAUAUGAUUUUGUAGGGAUAACUUUCUUUUUGCCUUGUUAUUUUGAAAGUUCAUGAUUACCUUGCUAGUUUGCUUGAAGUAUUAUUGUCUCCACAUCAAUAACAAACUAUUGUUUUGAAUCUAACGGAUCUAAACAUUCAUGUCACAUAAGAGGAGUUACAAAGGACAUCUAUGCUAGGUAGCAUGAAAGCAUCAAAAAUUCAUUCUUUAUCACUUCCCUACUCGAGGACGAGCAGGAGUUAAGCUUGGGGAUGCUUGAUACGUCUCCAACGUAUAUAUAAUUUUUUAUGGUUCCAUGCUAUUAUCUUGUCAACUUUGGAUGUUUUAUAUGCAUGAUUAUGCUAUUUUAUAUCUUUUUUGGGACUAACCUAUUAACUCAGUGCCAAGUGCCAGUUUCUGUUUUUUCCGUGUUUUUGGCCCAUUUUCAGACGGAGUCCAAAUGGAAUGAAACUUUACGAUGAUUUUUUUUGGACCAAAAGAGGCCCCUAAGCUUUGGAAGAAGGCCAGAAGAGCCACGAGCGAGUGGCAAGCCCUAACGCCGCCACCACCACCCUAGGUGGCGCAGGGCAGGCUUGUGACCUCCUUGUGGGCCCAACCGACGUAAUUCCACCACCAUAAAUUCCUAUAAAUUGAGAAACCCCCAAAAAGAAACCUAGAUCGGGAGUUCCGCCGCCGCAAGCCUCUGUAGCCACCAAAAACCAAUCUGGAGCCCGUUCCGGCACCCUGCCGGAGGGGGGAUCCAUCUUCGGUGGCCAUCUUCAUCAUCCCGGCGAUCUCCAUGACGAGGAGGGAGUAGUUAUCCCUCGGGGCUGAGGGUAUGUACCAGUAGCUAUGUGUUUGAUCUCUCUCUCUCGUGUUCUUGAGAUGUCUUGAUCUCGAUGUACCGUGGGCUUUGCUACUAUAGUUGGAUCUUAUGAUGUUCUUUCCCCUCUCCCUUCUUGUAAUGAAUUGAGUUUCCCCUUUGGAGUUAUCUCAUCGGAUUGAGUCUUUGAGAACACUUGAUGUAUGUCUUGCACGUGUCUAUGUGUUGUGAUCAACUUGCGGGUUUGUGACAAUUGGGAACCUAUGCAUAUGGGUUGGCACACGUGGAUUCAUGUGAGUACUUGAUGUAUGUUUUGGUGAUCAACUUGCGGGUUCGUGACAUUGGGAACCGAUGCACAGGGGCUGGCACACGUUUUGACUCUCUGGUAGAAACUUUGGGGCACUCUUUGAAGUUCUAUGUGUUGGUUGAAUAGAUGAUUCUGAGAUUGUGUGAUGCAUAUCGUAUAACCAUACCCACGGAUACUUGAGGUGACAAUGGAGUAUCUAGGUGACAUUAGGGUCUCGGUUGAUAUGUACCUUAAGGUGUUAUUCUAGUACGAACUCUUGAAUAGAUCGAUCAGAAAGAAUAACUUUGUGGUGGUUUCGUACCCGACAAUAAUCUCUUCGUUUGUUCCCUGCUAUUAGUGCCUUUGGAGUGACUCUUUGUUGCAUGUUGAGGCCUAGUUAUAUGAUCCAAUUAUGUUAUCAUUGUUGAGAGAACUUCACUAGUGAAAGUAUGAACCCUAGGCCUUGUUUCCACAUAUUGCAAUACCGUUCGUGCUCACUUUUGUUACUUGUUACCUUGCUGUUUUUGUAAUUUCAGAUUACAAAAACCUAUAUCUACCAUCCUUAUUGCACUUGUAUCACCAUCUUUGCCGAACUAGUGCGCCUAUACAAUUUACCACUGUAUUGGGUGUGUUGGGGACACAAGAGACUCUUUGUUAUUUGGUUGCAGGGUUGCUUGAGAGAGACCAUCUUCAUCUCUCUCUCUCUCUCGGCGCAGCCCUACCUCUCCUCCUCCUCAUCCUCCGUAGUGCUUGGUGAAGCUGUGUUGGAGUACCACGCAGCUCCACCUUUACCCCGCCGUCGUGCUGCCGGAGCUCUCCCUCAACCUCUCCUCUCUCCUUGCUGGAUCAAGGCGUAGGAGAAGUCACCGGGCUGCACGUGUGUUGAACACGGAGGCGUUGUUGUUCGGCCUUAGAUCGGAAUCCACCGCGAUCUGAAUCGCUACGAGUACGACUCCAUCAACCGCGUUCUAGUAACGCUUCUGCUUGGCAAUCUUCAAAGGUAUGAAGAUGCUCUACUCCAUUGCUCAUUGCUGGUUUCUCCUAGAUAGAUCCUUGUGAAGUGUAGGAAAAUUCUUGAAAUUACUAUGUUACCCAACAUUGGCAUCUGAGCCAGGUUCUAUGAGUAGAUUCUAUGCACGAGUAGAACACAAAACUUGUGGGUGAUGAUUUUUCAAUUCCUUGCUGUUACUAGUCCUAUCUUUUUUGGCGGUAUUGUGGGAUGAAGUGGCCCAGACCAACUUUACACGUACGCUUACGUGAGACUACUUCCACCGCCUGACAUGCACUUGGUGCAUAAGGUGGCUAGCGGGUGCCUGUCUCUCCCACUUUAGUAGAAUUGGAUUCGAUGAAAAGGGUCCUUAUGAAGGGUAAAUAGCAUUGGCAUAUCAACGUUGUGACUGUCAUGUAGGUAAGAAGUGUUCUUGCUAGAAACCCAAAUCAGCCACGUAGAACUUGCAACAACAAUUAGAGGACGUCUAACUUGUGUUUGCAAGGUAUGCUAUGUGAUGUGAUAUGGCCAAAACGAUGUGAUGUUACAUAUGUGAUGUAUGAGAUUGAUCAUGUUCUUGUAAUAGGAUUCACAACUUGCAUGUCGAUGAGUAUGACAACCGGCAGGAGCCAUAGGAGUUGUCUUAAUUUAUUGUAUGAGAUACAACGCCAUGUGAUUACUUUACUUUAUUGCUAAACCGUUAGCUAUAGUAGUAGAAGUAAUAGUUGGCGAGAUGACUUUCCCAAACACAAAAUGAUGGAGAUCAUGGUGUCGUGCCGGUGACAAUGAUGAUCAUGUCAUGCCUCGAAGAUGGAGAUCAAAGGAGCAAGAUGAUAUUGGCCAUAUCAUGUCACUAUAUGAUUGCAUGUGAUGUUUAUCAUGUUUUUCAUCUUAUUGCUUAGAACAACGGUAGCAAAGAUAAGAUGAUCCCUCAUUAAAAUUUCGAGAUAAGUAUUCCCCUAAGUGUGCACCAUUGUGAAUGAUUGUUGUCUUCAAGCACCACAUGAUGAUCUGGUGUGAUAGAUUCUAACGUUCGCAUACAAUGGGUGUAAGCCAGAUUUACACACGCAAAACACUUAGGUUGACUCGACGAGCCUAGCAUGUAUAGACAUGUCCUCGGAAUACAGGAGACCAAAAGGUCGAACAUGAGUUGUAUGGAUGAUACGAUCAGCAUGGAGAUGCUCACCAUUGAUGACUAGUCCGUCUCAUGUGAUGAUCGGACACGGGCUAGUCGACGUGGAUCAUGUAUCACUUGGAUGACUAGAGGGAUGUCGAUCUGAGUGGGAGUUCAUUGAAUAAUUUGAUUAGAUGAAUUUAAUUAUCAUGAACUUAGUCUAAAAUUGUCUUUACAAAUAUUAUAGAUCCAAUGGCCGACGCAAAUGUCCCAUUCAACUUCAAUGCAUUCCUAGAGAAAACCAAGUUGAAAGACGAUGGGAGCAACUAUGCGGACUGGGCUCGUAAUGUAAAGCUCAUCCUCAUGGCUUCCAAGAAGGCAUAUGUCCUUGAUGCACCGCUAGGUGACCCUCCCAUUCCUGCGGCAACCCAGGAUGUUAGGAACGCCUGGCAGUCGCGGAGUGAUGACUACUCUCUAGUUCAGUGCGGCAUGCUUUACAGUUUAGAACCGGGGCUCCAAAGGCGUUUUGAGCAACAUGGAGCAUAUGAGAUGUUUGAGGAGAUGAAACUAGUUUUUCAAGAUCAUUCCCGGGUCGAGAGAUAUGAAGUCUCCGACAAGUUCUUCAGUUGUAAGAUGGAGGAGAAUAGUUCUGUCACUGAGCACAUACUCAGAAUGUCUGGGUUGCACAACCGCUUGACUCAGCUGGGAGUUGAACUUCCGGAUGACGCGGUCAUUGAAAUAAUCCUCCAGUCGCUUCCACCUAUCUGUAAAGGCUUUGUGAUGAACUAUAACAUGCAAUGGAUGGAGAAAACCAUUCCGGAGUUGUAAUUAAUGCUGAAAUCAGAAGAGGUAGAAAUCAAGAAAGAACAUCAAGUGUUGAUGGUGAAUAAGACCACCAGUUUCAAGAAAGGCAAGGGCAAAAAGAACUUCAAGAAAGACAACAAAGCAGUUGCCGCGCCCGGUAAACGAGUUGCCGGGAAGAAGCCAAAGAAAGGACCCAAGCCUCAGACUGAGUGCUACUAUUGCAAGGGAACCGGUCACUGGAAGCGGAAUUUCCCUAACUACCUAGCGGAUAAGAAGGCCGGCAACAUCAAAGGUAUAUAUGAUAUACAUGUUAUUGAUGUGUACCUUACGAGCGCUCGUAGUAGCUCCUGGGUAUUUGAUACCGGUGUUGUUGCUCACAUUUGCUACUCAAAAUAGGAACUCCGGAAUAAGUGGAGGCUGGCUAAGGAUGAGGUAACGAUGCGCGUCGGGAAUGGUUCCAAGGUCGAUGUGAUCGCCGUCGGCACGCUACAUCUACAUCUAUCUUCGGGAUUAGUUUUAAACCUUAAUAAUUGUUAUUUAGUACCAACUUUGAGCAUGAACAUUGUAUCGGUAUCUUGCUUGAUGCGAGAUGGCUACUCAUUUAAAUCUGAGAAUACUGGUUGUUCCGUUUAUAUGAGUGAUAUGUUUUAUGGUCAUGCCCUGCUAGUCAAUGGUUUAUUCUUGAUGAAUCUCAAACGUGAUUUUACACAUAUUAAUAGUGUGUGUAACAAAAUAUGUAAGGUUGAUAAUGAUAGUCCCACAUACUUGUGGCACUCCCGCCUUGGUCAUAUCGGUGUCAAGCGCAUGAAGGAACUCCAAACAGAUGGACUUUUGGAGCCUCUUGAUUUUGAAUCAUUUGACACAUGUGAACCGUGCCUCAUGGGCAAGAUGACCAAAACUCUGUUCUCCGGAACAAUGGAGCGAGCAACCAACUUGUUGGAAAUAAUACAUACCGAUGUAUGCGGUCCAAUCAGUGUUGAGGCUCGCGAUGGCUAUCGUUAUGUUCUCACCCUCACAGAUGACUUAAGCAGAUAUGGGUAUGUCUACUUAAUGAAACACAAGUCUGAAACCUUUGAAAGGUUCAAGGAAUUUCAGAGUGAGGUAGAGAAUCAAUGUGACAAGAAAAUAAAGUUCCUACGAUCUGAUCGUGGUAGAGAAUAUUUGAGUCAUGAGUUUGGCACGCACUUAAGAAAAUGUGGAAUUGUUUCGCAACUCACGCCGCCUGGCACACCGCAGCCUAACGGUGUGUCUGAACAUCGUAAUCGCACUCUAUUGGAUAUGGUGCGAUAUAUGAUGUCUCUUACUGAUUUGCCGCUAUCAUUCUGGGGAUAUGCAUUAGAAACUGCCACAUUCACUUUAUAUAGGGCACCGUCUAAAUCCGUUGAGACGACACCCUAUGAAUUAUUGUUUGGCAAGAAACCUAUGCUGUCGUUUCUGAAAGUAUGGGGUUGCGAUGCUUAUGUGAAGAAACUUCAACCUGAGAAGCUCGAACCCAAAGCGGAAAUAUGCGUCUUCAUAGGAUACCCUAAGGAAACUAUUGUGUACACCUUCUAUCUUAGAUCUGAAGGCAAAUUCUUUAUUGCCAAGAACAGAUCCUUUCUAGAGAAAGAGUUUCUCUUGAAAGAAGUAAGUGGGAGGAAAGUAGAACUUGAUGAGGUAAUUGUACCUCCUCUCGAACCGGAGAGUAGCGCAGCAGAAGAAAAUGUUUCUGAGGUUCCUGCACCCGCUAGAGAAGAAGUUAAUGAUGAUGAUCAUGAAACUUCAGAUCAAGUUGCUACUAAACAUCGAAGGUCCACAAGGGCACGUUCCGCACCAGAGUAGUACAGCAACCCUGUCAUGGAAAUCAUGUUGUUGGACAACAGUGAACCUUCGAACAAUGAAGAAGCGAUGGUGGGCCCGGAUUCCAACAAAUGGCUUGAAGCCAUGAAAUCCGAGAUAGGAUCCAUGUGUGAGAACAAAGUAUGGACUUUGGUGGACUUGCCCGAUGAUCGGCGAGCCAUAGAAAAUAAAUGGAUCUUUAAGAAGAAGACUGGCGCCGAUGGUAAUUUAACCAUCUAUAAGGCUCGACUUGUCGCUAUGGGCUAUCGACAAGUUCAAGGAAUUGACUACGAUGAGAUUUUCUCACCGGUAGCGAUGCUGAAGUCGGUCCGAAUCAUGUUAGCAGUUGCCGCAUUUUAUGAUUAUGAGAUCUGGCAAAUGGAUGUCAAAACGGNNNNNNNNNNNNNNNNNNNNNNNNNNNNNNNNNNNNNNNNNNNNNNNNNNNNNNNNNNNNNNNNNNNNNNNNNNNNNNNNNNNNNNNNNNNNNNNNNNNNNNNNNNNNNNNNNNNNNNNNNNNNNNNNNNNNNNNNNNNNNNNNNNNNNNNNNCAUUCCUGAACAUCUUUCUUAAGGAAGAAUUGUAUAUGAUACAACCGGAAGGUUUUGUCGAUCCUAAUAAUGCUGACAAGGUAUACAAGCUCCAUCACUCCAUCUAUGGGCUGGUGCAAGCAUCUCGGAGUUGGAACAUUCACUUUGAUGAGGUGAUCAAAGCAUUUUGGUUUCUACAGACUUAUGGAGAAGCAUAUAUUUACAAGAAAGUGUGUGGGAGCUCUGUAGCAUUUCUCAUAUUAUAUUUGGAUGACAUAUUGUUGAUGGGAAAUGAUAUAGAAGGACCUUGGAUGAUCAAAUCAUAAAGGCCUGUUUGAGUAAGAGUUUUUCAAUGAAGGACCUUGGAGAAGCUGCUUACAUAUUAGGCAUCAAGAUCUAUAGAGAUAGAUCGAGACGCCUCAUUGGUCUUUCACAAAGCACAUACCUUGACAAGAUAUUGAAGAAGUUAAAUGUGGAUAAGGCCAAGAAGGGGUUCUUUCUGGUAUUACAAGGUGUGAGGUUGAGUACGACUCAACGCCCGACCAUGGCAGAAGAUAGAGAAAAGAUGAGUACCGUCCCCUAUGCUUCAGCCAUAGGCUCUGUUAUGUAUGCCAUGCUGUGUAUGAGACCUGAUGUGAACCGUGCCAUAAUUUUGGUAGGGAGGUACCAAAGUGAUACAGGAGUGGAUCACUGGACAGCGGUCAAGAACAUCCUUAAGUACGUGAAAAGGACUAAAGAUAUGUUUCUCGUUUAUGGAGGUGCCGAAGAGCUCGUCGUAAAGGGUUACGUCGAUGCUAGCUUCGACACAGAUACGGAUGACUCCAAGUCACAAACCGGAUACGUGUAUAAUUUUGAAUAAUGGGGCAGUCAGCUGGUGCGGUUGCAAGUAAAGCAUGCUAGCGGCAUCUACAUGUGAAGUAGAGUACAUAGCUACUUCCGAAGUAGCACACGAAGGAGUGUGGAUGAAGGAGUUCAUCACCGACCUAGGAGUGAUUCCCAGUGCGUCGGGCACGAUGACUCUCUUUUUUGACAACAUUGGAGCUAUUGGCAUUGCCAAGCAGCCCAGGUUUCACAAGAAGACCAAGUACAUCAAGCGUUGCGUCAAAUCCAUUCGUGGAUACAUCCAGGAUGGAGAUAUAGAUAUUUGUAAAGUACAUACGGAUGUGAAUGUCGCAGAUCCGUUGACUAAACCUCUUCCACGAGCGAAACAUGAUCAGCACCAAAACUCUAUGGGUGUUCGAUUCAUCACAAUGUAACUCGAUUAUUGACUCUAGUGCAAGUGCGAGACUGUUGGAAAUAUGCCCUACAUGCAAUAAUAAAGUGGUUAUUAUUAUAUUUCCUAGUUCAUGAUAAUUGUCAAUUAUUCAUGCUAUAAUUGUAUUAACCGGAAACCGUAAUGCAUGUGUGAAUACAUAGAUCACAAUGUGUCCCUAGUGAGCCUCUAGUUGGCUAGCUCGUUGACCAAUAGAUGAUCAUGGUUUCCUGAUCAUGGACAUUUUAUGUCAUUGAUAAUGGGAUCACAUCAUUAGGAGAAUGAUGUGAUGGACAAGACCCAAUCCUAAGCAUAGCACUAGAUCGUAUUGUUCGUCUGCUAAAGAUUUUCUAAUGUCAAGUAUCUUUUCCUUAGACCAUGAGAUUGUGCAACUCCCGAAUACCGUAGGAGUGCUUUGGGUGUAUCAAACGUCACAAUGUAACUGGGUGAUUAUAAAGGUCCACUACAACUAUCUCCGAAAGUGUCUGUUGGGUUGGUACGAAUCGAGACUAGGAUUUGUCACUCCGUGUGACGAAGAGGUAUCAGUGGGCCCACACGGCAAUGCAUCAUCAUAAUGAGCUCAGUGUGACUAAGGAGUUAGUCUCAGGAUGAUGUGUUACAGAAUGAGUAAAGAGACUUGCCGUUAAUGAGAUUGAACAAGGUAUAGGUAUACCGACGAUUGAAUCUUGGGCAAGUAUCACACCGGUAGACAAAGGGAAUUGCGUACGGGAUUGGUUAAAUCCCCAACAUCGUGGUUCAUCCGAUGAGAUCAUCGUGGAACAUGUGGGAGCCAAUAUGGAUAUCCAGACCCCCGUUGUUCGUUAUUGACCGGAGAGGUGUCUCGGUCAUGUCUGCAUGGUUCCCGAACACGUAGGGUCUACACACUUAAGGUUCGAUGACGCUAGGGUUGUUAUGGGAAUAGUAUGCGUGGUUACUGAAGGUUGUUCAGAGUCUCGGAUGAGAUCCUGGACAUCACGAGGAGUUCCAGAAUGGUCCGGAGCUAAAGAUUCAUAUAUAGGAAGUGGAGUUUUGAUCACCAGAAGAGUUUCGAAGAUCGUCGGUAUUGUACCGGGACCACCGGAAGGGUUCCGGGGGUCCACCGGGAAGGGCUACCAGCCCCGAAAGGCUACAUGGGCCAAAAGUGGAAGGGAACCAGCCCCUAGAUGGGCUGGUGCGCCUCCCACCGCAUCCCAAGGGGCAAGAGAGGGCCAACCUCAGGGCAUGGGGGCUGCCUUGGGCAGCAAGCCCACCCCUAGGGCACCGCCCCUACACCACUUGGCCGCCGGCCCUCCCCAUCUAGCAUUGCCGCACCACCUAGGGUGGAAACCCUAGGGGUGGUGCACCCGCCUCGCUCUCCUCCUAUAUAAACCUAAGGGCUUUGGGGCUGCACAUACAAUUCAUCUCUCUCUCUCUCGGCACAGACCUACCUCUCCUCCUCCUCGUCCUCCGUAGUUCUUGUCGAAGCCCUCUUGGAGUACCACCCAGCUCCACCGUCACCACGCCGUCGUGUUGCAGGAGUUCUCCCUCAACCUCUCGUCUCUCCUUGCUGGACCAAGGCAUUGGAAACGUCACCGGGAUGUACAUGUGUUGAACUCAGAGGCACCGUUGUUCGGCGCUUAGAUCGAAAUCCAUCACGAUCUGAAUUGCUACGAGUACGACUCCAUCAACCGGGUUCUACUAACGCUUCCGCUUAGCGAUCUUCAAAGGUAUCAAGAUGCUCUACCCCAUUGCUCGUUGUUGGUUUCUCCUAGAUAGAUCCUUGUGAAGCGUUGAGGGUUCGAGAACUACCAAAAUAUUUAUCGGUUAUGCUAUCAGGUUGAGGGUCCGAGAACCUACUCAAUGUAAUCAGCUGCAUGACCUUUCCCGCAACAAUCAACACAUAUCCGAGAAGUUCCGCAAACUCAUCUACCUCAGACCUUCGAAAAACAAACAUACUAGACUUGUUAGAUCAUCCGAGCUAUCUCCACCAGUACUGCAGAAAAUUCACGGCACUAUUUGCCAACAAGAAAAGUAUUGAAGCGUUUCGAUGUCCGUGUCCUGAGAUACUAAGGAAGUUGAACGUUAACGAUGUGUCGACAACCCCUUGGAUCUCUACUCCUCGUUAACAAGAGGAACCAAGUCAGAACUCCGUCACAUCAACAUCAUAUAGAUUCAAAAAUACUCGAGUGAUCCUAAUUUUUUUUUUGAGCGAGAAGAGUUGUAGAAUUAAAAUUCCUAAGUCAUAAUUCCUCACCAGAGCAAGGAAGAGGAGUAAAAAGUAUCAUACUCUCUGAUAUAUAACUAGACUCAAAGUAGUUUUUCACUAGACUUGACUCGACCAAUUUUGAUCAAUCGAGGGGGCUCCAAGGUUCAUACUGCUCUGAUACCAACUUGUAACACCGAAGAUGCGAUCCUAUCCUUAUUUGGGCUCGAGGGCCUUGAGAGGGGUAGAAUCGCAUCUCGUUGUUUCGCACGAAUGAAUAUCAUUACAAGUACAUGUAAAGAAGAGACGAGUAUAUGGAAUUGGCUUGCACUCGCCACAAGCUAAUUAUGAUCAUCUUAAUACAAAAUUAUAUUCAAUCACAAUUUAGAAGAGCAGGGACCGACUAAAACGAAAUCAAACGAGUAAAAACAACAUCCAUCCUUGCUAUCCUAGGCUGCCGGCAUGGAACCCAUCCUAUGAUCGAUGAUGAUGAAGAAGAAGAAACUCCAAAUAGAACAAUCAUCACGGUCACAUCAAAGUAUUGCUUUACCUAUACCUGCAACUAACGUUGUAGUAAUCUAUGAGCCACACGGACUCACGAUCUCAUUUUCAAAGGUAUCAAGACUAGCAAAGCUUAAUGGGUGAGGUAUAGUUAAGUGGUGAGGCUGUAGCAAGCACUAAACAUUUAUUUGAGUGCCUAACAUGCAAGUACAAGAAUAAGAAGGGGUCUACGCAUAAACGAACGUGAGAUAAAAAUGAUCAAGAAAUGAUCCCGAACACGUACUUAUGAGUCAAACGUAACCCCACCGUGUCCUUUCUCGGAAUCAGAACUCACGAGUAGAGACUGUCACGGUUACGCACACAGUUGGCAUAUUUUUAUUAAGAAUACUUCAAGUUUGCUAUGAACGGGUGUUAAACAAAGUUUCCAAGUUACCACAUAACCGCGGGUACGCCUCUCUCAGAAUGAUUAAACCCUGGAGGGGUGCUCCAACUAGUCCAUCACAAACUACCACAAGCUUCAUCGAAUAACCUCAACUAUGGAAGACCCGUAGUCUUCUUGAACAUUCCAAUGGAAAACCUCAACCUCGAGAUAGCCCAAAGUAUCCCCGGAAUCCCGCAACCAAGACGUUCGAGAAAGGUAAAACAAAUCCAGCAAGGCUGCCCGACAUAUCGACGAACCCGAUAGGAGCCGCGUAUCUCGUUCUCACGACACGAUGGAUUGUCCAAACUUCCGGUAGGCCAAUCUCAGAGUUGCCCCUGGUAAUCACCGACGGUUGACAUGUUCGACCAACACUCAUGAGGAGCACUGNNNNNNNNNNNNNNNNCGAACCCGAUAGGAGCGGCGUUUCUCCACUAGUAGAAAAUGCCCCAUUUGUCCCGGAUCCAGAGGCCCAUUAGCCCUGGUUCUUGAACCGAGACUAAAUGGUCGGGACUAAAGCNNACCUUUAGUCCCGGUUCCCUUACUAACCGGGACAGAAGGGUCUCCAAGUGGCCUCUGCAGGUAGCUCGGGCAGGAGGUUCUUUAGUCUCGGUUGGUCACACCAAUCGGGCAACAUGGCAUCCACGAGCCAGCAUCUGGUCAGAGCUGGGGUUUUUGUUUUGUUUUGAAAUGGGGGAGGGGUGGGUUUGNNNNNNNNNNNNNNNNNNNNNNNNNNNNNNNNNNNNNNNNNNNNNNNNNNNNNNNNNNNNNNNNNNNNNNNNNNNNNNNNNNNNNNNNNNNNNNNNNNNNAAACUUAAACAGAGAUGAAACCCCACCUACACUAUCCUAGAUGAUUUUUGGCAGAAAUGUAGUUACGAUAGCAAGUGGACUCCAUUUGCUAUUCCUAACACCCAUCAAACACCUUCGGCUCACUUACCAAAUUUGUUGCUUUGACCCCUUCACUACUAGAAUCCGUUUUUUGUCGUCUGCUGGCUGAUGGCAAAGAACCUCUUUGCCGUCAGUUUACACCAAGCAGACGACAAAGGGCUGACUGAUGGCAAACAUACUAUUUGCCAUGUGUCGGCCCUUUGCCGUCUGCCNNNNNNNNNNNNNNNNNNNNNNNNNNNNNNNNNNNNNNNNNNNNNNNNNNNNNNNNNNNNNNNNNNNNNNNNNNNNNNNNNNNNNNNNNNNNNNNNNNNNNNNNNNNNNNNNNNNNNNNNNNNNNNNNNNNNNNNNNNNNNCCCUUUGCCGUCUGCCAGCGGACGACAAAGAGACCCAAGGCAGACGACAAAGAGGACGGGUGGGUCCCAUGCCUGCCGUGUCCAACGAAAGGCAAACUUUGCCAUCCGGGGGCCUUUGUCGUCCGCCAUGGGGCCCUUUGCCGUCGGGGGCGGACGGCAAAGGGGUCGACCCUAUAACGGCCGUCAACUCCCCCUCGCUCACUUUCUCUCUCUCCCCCCACUAUCUCUCUCCCCUCNNNNNNNNNNNNNNNNNNNNNNNNNNNNNNNNNNNNNNNNNNNNNNNNNNNNNNNNNNNNNNNNNNNNNNNNNNNNNNNNNNNNNNNNNNNNNNNNNNNNUUCACUACCACAUACAUAGCUUUUUUCCCAAACUCCCUACAGGUUUUCAUGUACCACUCAUGCAAUAUGUGCAUCAUCGUUGUUAGAGCAGGAUGACCAGGUUUGACGAGACGCUUCCCGUGCACGUAUUUAUAUUGUUCUUUUGUUACAUCAUCCCCCAAGUAAUCAUCAGGAUUGGUACCGGGCACCAUCUCAGGAUGAUUAGCAACGAUCAUAUCGAGCUCGGGAAUAGUUUUCCCACUUCUUCGUUCUGCUAACCUUGCAUCACUAGAAGUAGUUCCCAACCGCACCACUUGUGCAUAUGUCUUUUUAAGAAUGCGGUCAUAGUUGGAAUCCGGCGGAGGCGAUGGUGGACGCAGCAGUUGAUUGAUAGUGCGCUCCACUCUUACCGGAUCUAGCUUCUCCUUCGGAGGUGGAGUUUUCUUUGCAAAAUGGGCCCUCAAUUCGGCACGACAUAUCUCCUCGUUUUCCUCCUUGGUCCUCUCAUAUGGUAACUUUUCCAGAUGCUUGAGAGAUGGACCGAAUUUCCCGCCUCUGCUUGUACUACUAGACGCCAGCGAGAAGGAGGCGUAUCUCUUCCGCUUAAGAGAAGGAGGCAGACUGCUCUGGCGCACCGGACGAGCCGGAGCGGCGGCGUUUGUCUUCCGACGUUGCCGACGAGGCGAAGGAGGAGACGGACUGCUCUGACGCGCUGGAGUAGGCAAAGUGCCCUCACGCGUCGGAGGAGUGGAGAAGGAGGUAGAGUGCCCUGAUCACUCGCCGGAGGAGGAAGAGCAGGAGGAGGGGGAGGAGGCGGAGUGCCCUGACUAGUCAGAGGAGGAGGAGGAGGCGGAGGCGUCUAGUUUGGAAGCUUGACGAACUUCUUCUUCCAUAGACAUGUACUCCCCACAACACGAACCAACUGAAUCUCCCCUUCACCUGUAGGGUGGUCAAGCUCGAGGUGCUCAAAAUUCUCCAUUACUUGAUCCACCAUCACAACAGCAUAGCCAUGUGGAAUCAGAAAGCAGUGAGAAGUUCCGUUGGGUUGAGGCGGUUCAACAGAGCCGACAACCGCCAUGAAAGUGAGGUUCUGACAUUUCAUCAUAAGCUCGCAACGUUGAGCCUCCGUGAUAGUAUCCACGGGGUAUCUAGGAGCCGUGAAGUCAUGCUAAACAGGCUCCGUGGAAGCCACGCCGCUUCUUCGCUAGGAUGGUGGGGUACCUUCUAGGAUAGCUUUGUGCCACUCAGAUGGUUGGUCGGCAGCUCGCUGGCUCUAAGUUCCUCUAGCUUUUGCAGUCUUGCUUUGAUCUGUUGCAUGUCGCUCAGCUCCGCUUUCUUCUUUCUCUCCCAGCUUCUGUAACCGCUUGCGUUAGGAAACCCAAACUUCCAUGGAACGGAGCCUGGUGUGCCUCGUGUUCGUCCAGAGUGCUCAGCAUUCCCUAGGGCCUCAGUCAGCUCGUCAUUCUCUCUGUCUGGAAUGAACGUCCCUUCCUGUGCUGCGGCGAUACACUUCUGAAGCUUGAUCAUGGGUAUUGCAAGUUGCUCAUCCGUCCAAUGACACUUCCCUGUUUCAGGGUCCAAAGUUCACCCAACCCCAAAGAACCAAGUCCUUGAACGCUCUGGCCAGUUCAUUGUCUGUGGUGGGACCCCUUUAGCAAUCAGGUCAUUCUCAGCUUUGUCCGAGAACGGUCGGGCUUUGAGGUAGCCACCUGACCCCGUGUGAUGGUGAUACUGCUUCUUUGCGGCAUUGUUCUUGUUUGUCUCUGACAUUUUCUUACUCUUCUUUGCUGACUUGUAGGCCACAAAUGCGGGCCAGUGAUCUCUUAUCUUCUCAAAUCGUCUGACAAAUUCUGGAGUCUUCCUUUUGUCGACAAACAAUGAUUUCAAAUCAUUAUUCCACUUCCCGAGUAGGUGUGCCAUCUUAUUAAGAGCACACGCCUUGACAAGUGGCUCUAGAACUGGCUUAUUCAGAUCUUCCUCCGGCGGUAGGGUGAAACUUGCCUUCAACGCGGUCCAAAGAUAAUCUUUCUUCCUAUCGGUGACAUAAUCACCUUCAGGAACGUCGUUGCCCUUAGGCUUUUUCCAUUCCUUGACGCCGAUCGGGAUGUUGUACCUAACAAUAGCUCCGCACUGAGCAUAAAAAUGCGUCCUUGGUUAGCUAGGGUUCAAUCGGUAGUUCAUCGGCCACGAUUACUGUGAUUGUGAAAUUUUCAUCCAUGCGCAACCUUCUCUUCGGGCCUCGUCUCUUUACCAAAGUUUGGCUCGAUCCGGAGGGCUAUAAAAGAAUAAAGAAUGAAGUGUUAAUAUAUGUACAUACCUUCGGGCUUAAUUAAUAUAUAUACCUCGCCAGACUUUGCAACAUCUCCCUCCUUCGUUCGGUCACCGAAGUCGUCAUCAUGGUCUCCUUCUUCCUCCGGCCUUCGGUCACCAGAGCCAUCAUGAUCAUGUCCUUCCUCCUCCAUUGUUAGAUCAUCCGAGCCGUCAUUCUCUCCUUCCAGACCAUCGGUGUCGUUGAGAUACGAAAAAUAAUCACCGACCAUUAUCUCCCCUAACAACUGUUCUCUUUGAUCCAUAUAGUUUGUGCAAAUAAUCACCGAGCAUUAUCUCUCCCCAACAACUUUUUAUCAGUAUAAUGAAAUUUUAUAUAUUAAGAUUUUGUUAAAUCUCAGGUAACCUCAAAUAUUUCAAAGCUAGCAACAUAUAGAUAUAAAACAACAUCGGUCGAUCUAGCGAGCUACAUUAAAAUAGAUAAUUUGUAUCUUUCUUAUAUUAUCCGUUUAGUGCUACAUGACUAGAAUAGAUAACCUUUUCUAUUUCACCUACAAAAAUGCCGUUUAAAAAUGUCGUUUGAUAUGUAUUUUUUCUAGACUUUGGCAUGUGUCUCCCUGGCGCCAGAUGACACUGUCUGGAUGCUGCACCAUUGGGAACUUUUGUCGAACUGAUGAAUCCUACUUUAUACUUUGCUAGAGUUGCACGUUACAAGAUAUUUUAUUGUUCUCCUCUCCUGUUGCAACGCACGGGCCUGCUUACUAGUGAUAUACAAUGCAAUAGAUCUCAAGAGGGAAAAAAGGUUUUGUUUUAGUUAGAACUUAUAAUCAACUUAAUACAUCUCGAAUUUAAUCUCGAAUACAUCUCUAGUAUAAUCUAUAUAUGAACAAAAUUUGUAUGAACAGCAAUAUGCACGGGCGGCGGCGGCAACAAGCAGAGCAUGCGCAAAGGAGGAUCUCACCGGGGCCAACGGCCUCGGGGCGGCAACGAUGACGGGCUCGGGGCGGCAACGACGACGGGCUCGAGGCGGCAACGACGAUGGGCUCGGGGCGACGGCGAUGGGCUCGGGGCGUCGACGGCGGCGAGGAGGACUAGAUCGGGGGCGACGACGACGGGCUCGGGGACGGCGGCGACGAGGAGGAGGACUGGAUCGGGGGCGGCGACGACGAGGACUGGCUCGGGGGUGGCGGCGAGCAAUGGGAGAGUUUUGGGGGAAAUUCCGACAACUCCCGCCUAUAUGCAAAAACCUUUUGUCCCGGUUGGUGGCCCGAACCGGCACCAAUACCAUUCUUUCGUCCCGGUUGACUCAGCAAACCGGGACUAAAGGUCAAAUAUCAGUUGCCAAAUGGCGGGGAAGAAGAUACCUUUACUCCCGGUUUGCGGAACCAACCGGGACGAAAGGGUGCCAUUUUUCCCGAUUUGUUCCACCAACCAACACUAAAGUCCUUUUCUGGUCCCGGUUUGUGCCACAAACCAACACGAAAGGCAUGUGCCUGGCAUAGCCGCGGUGCGGUUAGAUGUUUAGUCCCACCUCGCUAGCCGAGGAAGAUGUGUAGUGGUUUAUAAGCGCUUGUGCGCACACUAUCUCAAGCUCCUCACAUAUGCACGCUUCCGGGCCUAAUCUGUCACUAGCUAUUGGGUUUUCUGCGGGCCUGAAUCCUGGCCCAACUGUCUAGUUGGGUUUGUAGUCGUAUUCAGGCCGUGGUGGCCCAUUAGUUGACAAUUGUUUUAAAGAAUAUAGUUUUUUGUUCCUACUUACUGUUUUUCAGUGAUUCUUUCAUUUUUUGGAAUUAUUUGAACUCCAGACCUUUUGUGUGUUCUAAAUGCACCAUUCAAAGCCACAUCAUCAAUUUUCAACUAUUUCUAACUUCAUUUGGUAUUUUCCAUGCAUUUAUUGAUUUUUUUGAGCUAAAUGACCCAAAACUUGAAAAGCACUACAAAUGAACUCUAAAAAUGUUGAAGGUUGGCAUGGUAUCAUCAUUUCACCCACAUAGCAUGUGCUAGAAAUUUGAGAGGGUUGCGGCAAAAACUGGACGCACUUCAUGUACAAAUCGGACAAUCUCUUUCGAAGUAUCACGUUUCAUACGAAAACUCAUCUGUUACAAAAGGGAUUUCAUUUUUUGGAAUUAUUUGAACUCCAGUCCUUUUGUGUAUUCAAAAUGCACCAUUCAAACCCACAUCACCAAUUUUCAACUAUUUCUGACAUCAUUUGUAAUUUUUCGUGCAUUUAUUGAUAUUUUUUUAGCUAAGCGACCCAGAAAUUGAAUAGCACUAAAAUUAACUCUGAAUAGGAUGAAAGUUGGCAUGGUAUCAUCAAUUCACCCACAUAGCAUGUGCUAAAAAGUUGAGAGGGUUGCGAAAAAACUGGACGUACUUCGUGUACUAAUCGGACAAUCUCUUUCGAAGUAUGAGGGUUUCGUGUGAAAACUCAUCUGUUACAAAAGGGAUUUCAUUUUUUGGAAUUAUUUGAAUUCCCGACCUUAUGUGUGUUGAAAAUGCACCAUUCAAAGCUACAUCAUCAAUUUUCAACUAUUUCUUACUUCAUUUGGUAUUGUUUCGUGCAUUUAUUGCUUUUUUUAGCUAAAUGACCUAGAAAUUGAAAAGCACUACAAAUGAACUCUGAAAAUGUUGAAAGUUGGCAUGGUAUCAUUAUUUCACCCACAUAGCAUGUGCUAAAAAGUUGAGAGGGUUGCGGCAAAAACUGGACGCACUUCGUGUACAAAUCGGACAAACUCUUUUGAAGUAUGAGGGUUUCAUACGAAAACUCAUCUAUUACAAAAGGGAUUUCAUUUUUUGGAAUUAUUUGAACUCCAGAUAUUUUGUGUGUUCAAAAUGCACCAUUGGAAGCUACACCAUCAAUUUUGAACUAUUUCUGACUUCAUUUGGUAUUUUUCAUGCAUUUAUUGUUUUUGUGAGCCAAAUGACCCAGAUAUUGAAAAGCACUACAAGUGAACUCUCAAUACGUUGAAAGUUGGCAUGGUAUAAUCAUUUCACCCACAUAGCAUGUGAUAAAAAGUUGAGAUGGUUGCGGCAAAAACUGGACGCACUUCGUGUACAAAAUCGGACAAUCUCUUUCGAAGUAUCACGGUUUCAUACACUCGUCUAUUACAAAAGGGAUUUCAUUUUUUGGAAUUAUUUGAACUCCAAAACAUUUGUGUGUUCAAAAUGCACCAUUGAAAGCCACGUCAUCAAUUUUCAACUAUUUCUGACUUUAUUUCGUAUUUUUCAUGCAUUUAUAGAUUUUUUGAGCUAAAUGACCCAGAAAUUGAAAAGCGCUACAAAUGAACUCUGAAAAUGUUGAAAGUUGGUAUGGUAUCAUCAUUUCACCCACAUAGCAAGUCUAAAAAGUUGAGAGGGUUGCGGCAAAAACUGGACGCACUUCAUGUACAAAUUGGACAAUCUCUUUCGAAGUAUCACAGUUUCAUACGAAAACUCAUCUGUUACAAAAGGGAUUUCAUUUUCUGGAAUUAUUUAAACCCCAGACCUAUUGUGUGUUCAAAAUGCACCAUUCAAAGCCACGUCAUCAAUUUUCGACUAUUUCUGACUUCAUUUGGUCUUUUUCUUGCAUUUAUUGAUUUUUGUUAGCUAAAUGACCCAGAAAUAGAAAAGCACUACAAAUGAACUCUGAAUAGGUUCAAAGUUGGCAUGAUAUCAUCAUUUCACCCACAUAGCAUGUGCUAAAAACUUGAGAGUGUUGCGGCAAAAACUGGACGCACUUCGUAUACAAAUCGGACAAUCUCUUUUGAAGUAUCAGGGUUUCAUACGAAAACUCAUCUCUUACAAAACAGAUUUCAUUUUUUGGAAUUAUUUGAACUCCAUACCUUUUGUGUAUUCAAAAUGCACCAUUCAAAGCCACAUCAUCAAUUUUCAACUAUUUCUGACUUCAUUUGGUAUUUUUCAUGCAUUUAUUGAUUUUUUUAGCUAAAUGGCCCAAAGUUGAAAAGCACUACAAAUGAACUCUGAAUAGGUUGAAAGUUGGCAUGGUAUCAUCAUUUCACCCACAUAGCAUGUGCUAAAAAUUUGGGAGGGUUGCGGCAAAAACUGGACGCACUUCAUGUACAAAUCGGACAAUCUCUUUCGAAGUAUUAGGGUUUCAUACGAAAAUUCAUCUAUUACAAAAGGGAUUUCAUUUUUUGGAAUUAUUUGAACUCCACACAUUUUGUGUGUUCAAAAUGCACCAUUCAAAGCCACAUCAUCAAUUUUCAACUGUUUCUGACUUCAUUUGAUAUUUUUCACGCAUUUAUUGAUUUUUUUAGGUAAAUGACCCAGAAAUUGAAAAGCACUACAAAUGAACUCUAAGUAGGUUGAAAGUUGGCAUGGUAUCAUCAUUUCACCCGCAUAGCAUGUGCUAGAAAGUUGAGAGGGUUGUGACAAAAACUGGAGGCACUUCGUGUACAAAUCGGACAAACCCUUUCGAAGUAUCACGGUUUCAUACGAAAACUCAUUAGUUACAAAAGGGAUUUCAUUUUUUGGAAUUAUUUAAACUCCAGACCUUUUGUGUAUUCAAAAUGCACCAUUCAAAGCCACAUCAUCAAUUUUGAACUGUUUCUAAGUUCAUUUUGUAUUUUUCAGGCAUUUAUUGAUUUUUUUUUAGCUAAAUGACCUAGAAAUUGAAAAGCACUACAAAUGAACUGUGAAUAGGUUGAAAGUUGGCAUGGUAUCAUCAUAUCACCCACAUAGCAUGUGCUAAAUAGUUGAAAGGGUUGCGGCAAAAACUGGACGCACUUCGUGUAGAAAUCAGACAAUGUCUUUCGAAGUAUCACGGUUUCAUACGAAAACUCAUCUGUUACAAAAGGGAUUUCAUUUUUUGCAAUUAUUUGAACUCCAGACCUUUCGUGUGUUCAAAAUGCACCAUUGAAAGCCACAUCAUCAAUUUUCAACUAUUUCUGACUUCAUUUGGUAUUUUUCAUGCAUUUAUUGAAUUUUUCGAGGUAAAUGACCCAGAAAUUGAAAAGCACUACAAAUGAACUCUUAAUAGGUUGAAAGUUGGCAUGAUAUCAUCAUUUCACCCACAUAGCAUGUGCUAAAAAUUUGGGAGAGCUGCGGCAAAAACUAGACGCACUUCAUGUACAAAUCGGACAAUCUCUUUCGAUGUAUCAGGGUUUCAUUCAAAAACUCAUCUGUUACAAAAAGGAUUUCAUUUUUUGGAAUUAUUUGAACUCCAGACCUUUUUUGUGUUCAAAAUGCACCAUUCAAGGCCACAUCAUCAAUUUUCAACUAUUUUUGACUUCAUUUGGUAUUCUUCAUGCAUUUACUGGUUUGUUUUUUGAACUAAAUGACCCAGAAAUUGAAAAGUACUACAAAUGAACUAUGAAUAGGUUGAAAGUUGGCAUGGUAUCAUCGUUUCACCAACAUAGCAUUUUGUGUUUGCGCCAACUAAGACCUUUGGGAUGGUCCACGGUGUUUGCAAAUUAGUCUUGCUGAAAAAACAGAAACUUUCGACCUCAGUCCACUAAUUUUUUAAAUUCACUCAAACGUGCUUUUGAUCUCAAUUUUUUACACAAGAUUCAUAGGCAAUUUACCCAGAUUGUCUUAAUUUUUCAUAAUUUUUGGAGUUACAUAAGUAUUUGAAUUAUACAAAUGACUUCCGACUAUUCUGUUUUUGACAGAUUCUUUUUUCUUUGUGUUGUUUGCAUAUAUUGAUUUAUCUAUGGGUUGUAUCGGGGGGUAUGAACCAUGGAGAAGUUUGAAUACAGUAAAUAUUACACCAAUAUGAAUAAAGAAUUAGUUCACAACAAUACCUAAAGUGGUGAUGAAUAAAGAAAGGGCUAAAUAACCAUUCAAAUUUGGAAACUCUAUAUAAUGGAACAAACAGAAACUAGAUAUAUAUAAAUUGGUGCAAGAAGUACAUAAUAAUACAUGCAAGCAAUACAUAAUAAUAGCUAGCAUACAUAUAUAUACAAGUGUUCGCCGUUCUAAACACUACUCGUCUGUAUCUGAAUCUGCAUCAGAAUGUGCCAAAGCUGGUUCUUCGAGGUGACGCUAGCCAUAUCUCACGGUUUUAAUCUUGCGUUACAAGUCUUUUGCAACGUAUGCAUCUUUUGCUGCAUACUCAAGGUUGAUAGGGUCAAGUGGGGUCUUCCCACACUUCUUGUGCUGAGCCUUCGGGAAAGCCUUCUUCAUAUCAUGGUACUCCUCAUCGAUCAACGCGACAGCCAUAUCAGCCAUCGAAGUCCUCGGAUAAUCAAGCAGGAAUAGGCCUUGGAGAUCAAUGUGGCACGCAGCUGGUAUCUCAAUACCAAAGUUGCGCCUCAUAUUCAUCAUGUCGUUCGUUAUGUCAACGCUAGUGAAACGUAUGACGCUGCGAAGGAAGUCCAUCAGUUCUGUACAUUGCUUGUCACUACUGCAACAUCAACAAAUUAAAAAUGAAACAAAUGUUACAUACUUCUCCAACAAGGAAAAAUGUUUCAAUACAACUAAACAGAAAUUUAUCAUAACGAUUCAAAUGGAACAUAUUGCUAUUCUAUGCAAUUCUCAUAUCCUAUGCCAAUAUUGUAACAUAUUGCUAUCCAAUGCAUUUUUCAUAUCCUUGGAUCAAAGAAAGCCUAUGUUGUAAUAUAUCCAAUGGAACCUAGGGAGAUCAAUAUAUGAUAUCCAAUGGAACCUAGGGAGAUCAAUAUAUCCAAUGUUGUAACACAUAUUGCUAUCCUAUGCAAUUUUUUAUUGUUAUCAAAUGGAACAUAGAAACUCCAUAUUGCUAUCAAAUGGAACCUAGAGAAGAUCAAUACAUGCAAUGUGUAUAUCCUUGGAUCAAAGAAAGCCUAUGUUGCAAUAUAUCCAAUGGAACCUAGGGAGAUCAAUAUAUGCUAUCCAAUGGAACCUAGGGAGAUGAAUAAUCGAAUGUUGUAACACAUAUUGCUAUCCUAUGCAAUUUUCAUAUUGCUAUCAAAUGGAACAUAUAAAGAAACUCCAUAUUGCUAUCAAAUGGAACCUAGAGAAGAUCAAUACAUGCAAUUUUCAUAACCUUGGAUCUAAGAAAGAAACUCCAUAUUGCUAUCAAAUGGAACCUAGAGAAGAUCAAUACAUGCAAUUUUCAUAACCUUGGAUCUAAGAAAGACUAUGUUGUAAUUUAUCCAAUGGAACCUAGGAAGAUCAAUAUAUGCUAUCCAAUGGAACCUAGGGAGAUCAAUAUAUCCAAUGUUGUAACACAUAUUGCUAUCCUAUGCAAUUUUCAUAUUGCUGUCAAAUGGAACAUAUAAAGAAACUCCAUAUUGCUAACAAAUGGGACCUAGAGAAGAUCAAUACAUGCAAUUUUCGUAACCUUGGAUCAAAGAAAGACACAAAACUUACCUCGCCCAUUGGAAGAUCAAGACAUACUAUUUGAAAUACAGUUGGAUGACGGCAACACCUUGAUGGUUGGGCGUGAACUCCAGUUCAAGCCCCUAGAACGCCUCAUGCUCCGGCGCGGCGUCAACCCACUCCCGGAACCAUGACAUAAAAUUUGGCACCACCCUGCUCUCGUUCGUGUACCCGCACGUGAGCCAAGUCGUGCCAUGUGCACGCACCUCUCCGACUAGAUAUGUCAUAGUGGAAGAAGAAUGGAAGAAGAGAGGGGAAGAAGAGAGGAAGAAGAAAAACAGAGGAGAGGAGAAGAACAGAGAAUGGCGAGAGACUCUGCUUCAGUUGCAGUUUUCAUCGCUGAAAACGAAGCGGGAGGGCGAACCGUUUAGACCUUUAGUCCCGGGUUGGACGAAAAAACGACACUAAAGGGGUGAUUCGAAGAGCCGCCACCCCGGUUUGAUCCACCAACCGGGACUAAAGGUCCAUACGAACGGUUGCACGAAUGCCCGCCACCACACCUUAGUCCCGGUUUGAUCCACCAACCGGGACUAAAGGGGAUAUGAACGGUUGUCGGCCUAUUAGUCCCGGUUCUUGACUGGAACCGAGACAAAAGGGGUGAGACGAACCGGGACCAAUGUCCCAUGAUGCCCGGCCGGUGCCCUGGCCUCACGAACCGGGACCAAUGUCACCAUAGGUCCCGGUUCGUAUGUGAACCGGGACUAAUAGGAUUUCAGGACCUGGACCAAAGCCGUCUUUUCUACUAGUGCUCGUUCCCAGGACACGAUAGAUGAGCACAGCGUAUAGUGACCUGAUAGAAAUCUCCCGAGUUGCCCGAGGUUGGCCCCGCACACAGCUCUAGUUUGUACCAACUGUCGGCGUCAAAACCGGCAGAUCUCGGGUAGGGUGUCCCAAACCGUGGACCUUAGAUUGAUGGAUUGCACGAAAGUGGGGGAGACAAAAUUUACCCAAGUUCGGGCCCUCUCGAGGAGGUAAAACCCUACGUCAUGCUUGAUUAUAUUGAUGUGGAUGAUGAUUAGAGAGUCUACCUUGAGAUCGUGUAUACUAAACCCAAGGUGGAAUAAUAUAUCUACAUGGACGAGGAGCCUCGGUUUAUAUAGUCACCGGGGGGCUAUGGUUACAUACAACCGACCGAGUCUACUUUACUUGGUUUCCACGUCGUUCUUUAGUGUUUUCGUUCUUGUGUACGAGACAACCGCAUAGCCCGGCCCAUCAUAUGCACGGCCCAUCAAACCUACCUCUUCGUAGUAAGCCGAUUACCUGAGGACCCAUUAAUCCCGGACUCCCUCACCAACACUCAUGAGGAGCACUGGCCCGAGGGUUGCUACUUCUUCAGCUUGCAUUGGUUUUCCCUUGAAGAGGAAAGGGUGAUGCAACAAAGUAGAUAAUUAUUUCCCUCAGUUUGUUGAGAACCAAGGUAUCAAUCCAGUAGGAGGAACAGGCAAAGCCUCAAUCUUAGCACCUACACAAACAAUCAUACACUUCCACCCAACGCUAAAAAGCGGUUGUCAAUCCCUUCACGGUUAUUUGCAAGGAUGAGAUCUGAUAGAUAUAGAUAUAAAAGAUUGCUAGAACUAAAAGUAAAAUAAAAGUAAAUAAAUGCCACCAAUACAUUUUUGGUAUUUUUGGUUUAUAGAUCUGAAAGUAUAAUAUGGAAAAUAGACCCGGGGGCCAUACGUUUCACUAGUGGCUUCUCUCAUGAAGGAAAAUAAUACGAUGGGUGAACAAAUUACUGUCGAGCAAUUGAUAGAAAAGCGAAUAAUUAUGAAGAUACCCAAGGCAAUGAUUAUGCAUAUAGGCAUCACGUCUGUGUCAAGUAGACCGUAAUGAUUCCGCAUCUACUACAAUUACUCCACACAUCGACCGACUCCUGCCUGCAUCUAGAGUAUUAAGUUCAUGAAGAACAUAGUAACGCAUUAGGUUAGAUGACAUGAUGUAGAAGGAUAAACUCAAGCAAUAUGUUGAAAACCUCAUCUUUCUAUCCUAGAUGGCAACAAUGCAAUAUGUGCCUCGCUACCCCUACUUUGUCACUCGGUGAGGACACCGCAAGAUUAAACCCAAAACUAAGCACUUCUCCCAUUGCAAGAAUUACCAAUCUAGUUGCACAAACCAAACCAAUAACUCGAAGAGACUUGCUAAGAUAUGAAAUCGUGCAUAUAAGAAUUCAGAGAAGAUUCAGAUAAUAUUCAUAGAUAAUCUGACCAUAAACCCACAAUUCAUCGGAUCUCGACAAACACACCGAAAAGAGUAUUACAUCAGAUAGAACUCCAUGAAGAUCAUGAAGAACAUGGCAUUGAAGAACAAAGAGAGAGAAGAAGCCAUCUAGCUACUACUAUGGACUCGUAGGUCUCUGGUGAACAACUCACGCAUCAUCGGAGAGGCAAUGGAGUUGAUGUAGAUGCUCUCCGUGAUCGAUUCCCCCUCCAGUAGAUUACUGGAAAAGGCUCCCAGAUUGGAUCUCAUGGGAAUAGAGGCUCCGAGGGACAGAAAAGUAUUUUUUGGUGGCGCUUGGGUAUUGGGUGAAUAUUUGGGAAUUUAUAGGACGAAGAUUAGGGUUAGGAGGCCUGCAGGGGGCCCACAAGCCAGGGGCGCCCCCUAGGGUGCGCCCUGCAGGCUUGUCGUCUCCCAACAGGUCUCCUGUCCCCUUCUCCAAGUCUCGCAGGUUUUUUCUGGUCCAAGAAAAAUUAUUCUGGAGAUUUUAUUCCGUUUGGACUCCGUUUAAUAUCCCUUAUCUACAAUACUCAAAAACAUGGGAAAAACAAAAACUGGCACUAGCCUCUAGGUUAAUAGGUUAGUCCCCAAAAUAAUAUAAAAUAGCAUAUUCAUGAAUAUAAACAUCCAAAACAGAUAAUAUAAUAGCAUGGAACAAUCAAAAAUUAUAGAUACAUUGGAGACGUAUCAAGGGUUCAUUAAUUAUCCACGGGGUCUAGAAAGUCCCUAUGCAAUUUUAUAAGUUAUUAGGCAAAUGUAGUACCAAUGUUGGGCCUUGCGAGAAGAGUUUUAUCCCAAAACGAAAAUCAAGGGGGGCCCAUAACAACCCGAAGCAUGUUCCGAGGGCUCAAUACAAAACAUAACAUCGGUACACAAGAAACUAGGGCGGCAAAUAUGGCACAAAACACCGAGCUAGAAAACCAAGCCUUCCACCUUUUACCAAGUAUAUAGCUGCAUUAAAUGAAAUAGCGAUAAUAUGGUGAUAUAUCAACGAAUCCAUGUUGUCACAUGGAAGGCAACUGCACCUGCAACUAGCAACGCUAUAAGAAGGGUUGAGCAAGCAGUAACAUUGCCAAACAAAGGUUUGCUUGGAUGUUGAGGGGGUUAGAGGCUUUUCAUGGCAAAGUUGGGAGGCUUGACAUAACAGGUGGUAGGCAGCGAGACAUAGCGAUAGAAAGGAGACAACUAGCAUAGCAAUGACAGUUGUGGUAUCUAGGGAAAUGAUCAUCUUGCUUAAGAUCCCGCUUGGAAGAGGAACAAAUCUAUGAAGUAGAUGAACCAACAUAGUCGAACGAAUCCUCACACUCUGCAACAAUUUCGGAACUCUAUCGAGGAGAAACAAUCCGGAAACAAACAAAUGACACGGUAAACACCACACCAUAUUCAUAGCAUGAUGCACAACCAAAUAUGAUGCAUGUUCACUUAAUUAUGCAUGACAUGACAAAGCACAACAAUUUCUUACUAUAUAGGAUGUGCAAAUGACGAAAAGAAUUAGGUGUCACGACGGCGAAUCCGAAAAUGAUGCCACGACAACAUUCCGGUGAUCUAGCAACUCAUGGAGAAAUAGGUGCAAAAGAAACAUAGGAUGUGCAAACGCGCAAGUGAUGGUGGGGUGAUCCCGGUUACCGGGUUCCCACAUGUCGCUGGCAUAAAAAUGGAGGUACUUGCAACGAAGAUGGCAUCUACAAAACGAACAACGACACAAAUCAUAAAACAAUGCAUUAACCCAUGGGCAUCGACUCGACGGAUACCUUCGAAAUGUGCAAUCGCGGCGGAUUGGGUCGUCGAUGGAAGUAGUCUUUCACGUCGUCGUCGACAUCAUGCAAGUAUUUGCAUCUGUGAUCUUGUCAGUUCCAUGGCAACAGUAGACUAGGUUCGGUUCUGUGACACUUGACGUCCGUGUAGUCGAUCUUGCGGUGGUCGGGGCGAUCUUAGCGUUCUUUGGACUUGGUGAUGGGGCCUCAGUCUUGCGGUGAGAGGUGAAGCGGAACUAGAAAAUGACCCAAAUCGAAGAAACACAAAGGCCUUGGGUCAACCGUGAAUUUUUUGGUCGAAGCGUCCAAAUGGCCAAUGUGUACCAACUGCAUCCAAUGACAGAAGAGGGGGACGACAACAACGGCUACAACAGGCAGUGGCGGCAAGAAGUGGAAGGGGGCGUGCAGGGUCAAUCGUGCACGUAGUCAAAGGGAGGCAGCGGGAGCGGCUGAAGAUGUUGGUGGCUGUGGUGCAUGGGUAGAGCAGUCGAACGUCGAAGGGAUAUCGCACAACACGAGCAAGAGGCGGCCUGACAAAGGGUGCGGCUAGGAGGCGUAGGUGGUGGCGGCUGCAGGUGAGCAGCGGGGCUCCCAGGCCGGAGUUGAGAAGGAGGAGGCAGGGUUGGAAGAGGCGCUAGGUUUGAGGAGCUUGCUCCGGCGGCUCGGUCGGGUUCUUGGGAUGGCCGACAAGUCUCCGAAGCAACAAGCAGAGGACGUCGCAAGGAUCGGAGAAGAGGGCCAAAGGGCGUGGACAAGGAGGAGGCUAGAGGGGCGACGAGGUCCAUUAGCGACGAUGUCGGUUGCUGGCGCUCGGGCACGGGCGCCCCUCGGGAGCGAGCGGGAGGAGGCGUCUCCGCACUCCAGCAAAGAGUAGAGGAGGAUGUAGGAGGAAUCGGAGAGGGGCAAGGGACGGUGUGCUGGUCGGAGGGUUUGCGGGAGCUUGGCAAGGAGGAGUCAGGUCGGGAAAGGGGCGCUUUGGGCGAGGAAAGGUCGGGCGCGGGAUGAAAGAACUCGCGAGCGGGAUCUUCUGUGUGUCGGUGUGUGUGCGCCAGCGCUGUCAGGAGGAGAGCGAGGGGUUCGAGGGAGAUCGAGAGGAGGGGGGACGAGGGGAUCGGGAGGUCACUCCUGGUGACGGUGCUAGGAGGGAGGAAGGGAUCGAUUGGAUGCUCUCCAUGGCGCUACGGUUAGAAGUGGUUGGUCUGGGCCUAAUGGAACCAAACGAAGCCAUACUGGCUGGGUGUUCUCUUUCUCUUCCUUCUCAAAUCUUAUCUUACCUCUUAUACCUACUAAUAAAGCAAAUAGUGCUUCUUCUAUACGUCAUCCAAAUUACCUUCAAAGUUGACUAAAAUUACCCACCAAUGCCACCUAUAAGUCAUAAAAAACGUUUCAAACAGAAAAAUCUCCUGACUGGGCCGGCGCAUGUAGGCACCUCCUAUAUUACGCUCGCGUUGAAAAAGAUGUAGCACACCUGUUUGGGCCUGCCCAUGUGUGGACGCCUGUUUUUUUAGUUUAUUUUUUUAAUUUUUCUUUUCAGUUCCAUUUUGUUUUUCUACUUUAAAUAAUUUAGAACUUCAAACAUAUUUUCUCAAUUUUAAGAAACUAGGAAUUUCGUAAUAAAAUAUCCAAAAAACAUUUUGUUUUUGAGAAUUCAAAAACUACUCUGGAGUUUUGAAAUUUUUUUGCAUAUAAAAAAUGUUUAAACUGUGAUAAAAUGUCCGUAAAAUAAAAAAGUCAACGAUUUUAAACAAAAUUCCGUGUAAAAAUCUUAAAAACAGUUUGUGCCUCUGUUUUUUGUCUCAUUUUUUAUUUUUAUUUUUCUGUUCCAUUUUUUAGUGAACUUUGAAAAAAGUGAACUUUGAAAAACUUUUGCAAUUUAUAAAACUGGGAAUUUUGAAAUAAAAGUUUGAAGAAAAUAUAAAAUGUUUGUGAAUUCAAAAAAUGCUCAGGAUUUUUGUAAAAAUAUUCACAUAUUCAGAAAAAUGUUCAUAAUUUUGAGAACAAUGUUGGUGAAAACUAUAAAAGUCCAUGAUUUUGAAAAAAAGUUUGUGUGUUAUUUUUUAAGUGCAAUUGAAAAAAAUGUUUGCUAAUUCAAAACAUGUUCAUGCAUUUCAAGAAAUGUCCUAAAAUUUUAAAGACAUAAUAUGAUCAGCACCAUUGCAGAUUAUAAUUGUUUUUCUUCCGUUGCAACGCACGGGUCCUCUUGCUAGUCUUCUCUAAUUACAGAAAAUAUUAAAGAAAGAAAAGGAGAGAAAAGAAGAAAUUAGCGAAGGAAUUUGGGAUGGAGGUAAUUUUCCCAAACACAAAAAUGAUUUUGAUCGAGGAAAAUAGAAAUAGACACAAGUGUGAAGUUGAAUUCAAAAUCAUUGGAAUUAAAUUCAAAUAGGUUUUAAUAGGAGGUGGGUGCUACGAAGUUUAACAAAAUUUGAGAAUUUUUUGUAGAUCUUGAGAAAGUGAUGAAACAAUUAAUGGGCAAAGUUUGAAGGCAAGAAUUGAGAUAGAGAAAGCAUGGAUUUUAUUUUGCAAAUCCGGUAACGUUAAUUCCAGUUAAAGGAAUAUUCGUUAUAGCUUGCUAAAAUAUUGGGAGGAUAUGAUAUAAAGAGAAAUCACCGUGUGAAUUUCCCUCACUUUAAAUGGAUCAAAGAUUCAUACAAUUUAUUUAUUUAAGUUGCAAAAACUAAUGGCAUGAUGGCACGAUGAAAUGAUGCAAUGCAAAAAUAAAUAAUUAAAACGGCGGUCACGACAAACAUGGAAGGCAUCUAGAGCUUCGGUUCCGGGCUAUUACAGGCGCAAAGCACGAUGUUGUCUGAUGCGAGUAGCCGAUCGGGGAUGAACACGUCCCCGGUGUGGAUGUCAUCGUUGACGAAUACUCGAGCCAUCGAUCCUUUGGCGACCCAAUAGAGGAACCCUCAAUGUAAGCACCAAUGUGAGUGUCAAAACCGCCGGAUCUCGGGUAGAGUGUCCCAAGUUGUGGGUCUUGGAUCAAUGGGAAACAGUGAACGGAGACACGGUAUUUACCCAGGUCUAGGCCCUCUCGUGGAGGUAAAACCCAAUGUCGUGCUUGAUUGUAUUGAUUGUGUGUAUGAUGAUUACAGAUAUGAGAUAAACCCUAGAUGAUGGUUUUGUCGAUGUCCCUAUGAACUAUAACCCACUGGCUUAUAUAGACACCAGGGGUUCAUAGGGUUACAUAUGGUCGGUUACAUCAGGAGAUAAACAUGUCGAUCCGACCAUCUUCUCUUGGAGGACACACCAAGGCACAAAAGGUUUCCUCCUUGAAUACGAAGUUAUUUGAUAGAUCGACCUUCACGCAAUAGCCACAAAGCAGCCCACCAGCCUGGCCCAUGGGAGAUAGGCCGACGGCCCGAGGACCCCUUAGUCUAGGACUCCCUCACCCUCACCUCGUCCCUAUUUCCCCAGUUCAUCAUCGAUGACUCGAUCAACGUGAUCGACAUCCUAAGCCCGACACAUCACCUCACACCCCCUUAGUUGUACGACUCUACAGAACUACUAUCGAGUACCGAGGGUGACACCUUGUAACACAAUUCUGAUGCUAACUACGUCUGAGCAGUCCCCCUCGCGCUCAUCGGGGAGGCGUCUCCUUUCACCAUCGUUGGAAACAUUUUAGAUUGAAUACGUUUAUGCAGGCCGGGGGUAAUGGUUCCUUUGCUACUAAGCCAAGCCAAAAUUUGGCGCGAAGGAUUUUUCAUUUCAUCAUCGCAAAUGGUUGUGUAUGAUGACUCGUGUGCUUAGUACAUACAAUGAGUUUAGAUUUCCAUUUGUAGAAUUGGGUAAAUUGCCAUUUCUCAAAUUGGAAACAUUGGCAUUUGUCUAUCUAGUAAAAUUUACAUUUAACAUCAUUGUAACACUAGAAAUUGUCAAAUUUCGCAGGAACAAAAUCACUAUUAUAGUGCAAUUUUGCAACUGAAAUUCAGUACACAUAGAUUACAUUCAUAGAUGAAGUAGUGGUCUUUGUACAAAACAGUUCAACACGGCAGCUGAACCGAACAAUCUUUUCCUCAAUUAUUGCCAACCACGUACUAAAAUAGCAAGUUCAACUAUAUAUACUAGCCUAUUUAAAGUAUGUGGUACAGUUCAAUGAACUGAACAAAAUAGCCCCUAAAUACUAGUACUAUGGAGGGGCUUUGUACUACUUCCAACAACCUCUCCUUUUCCAAGCGCGUUUAGUAAGAGUUAGAGGAGGAUGAUCCUACCAACGAGUUGGAGGAGUCAAAUCCACCACCAGUCGUUGCUGCCCUCCGCCGCUCCUGACGCGCCUCCUCGAAGCGGCGGGACUCGGCGUGGAUCUUUUCAUUUCGCACAACCACUGGUGCAUGAGCUGCGGCCACCGCAGCGGUGAGCCUCUUUGUUCUCGACCUGCACUCCUUCAACUCAUGUAGGAACUUGAUGUAGCGCGCAAGGCCGUUGACGCAAAAUCAAAGCGGCUGGACAUUGUCGGCGGCCUCCUCCUCCCGCCUUCGGGCCGCGAUGGCGGAGCGGGCGAUAGUCGUGGUGGCCGACAGUGGGGUGGCGAAGCGUGUGGUGGGUGGCGUGUGCACACCCAACAAGGACGCCAUGCGCACUACACGCUUUUGCGGACUCCACCACCGAUGUGGUGCAGCCUCCGAGCUCGAGUUGUCCUCUCGCGGAGUUACGGUGCGACGAUAACGGACGGGUGCCAUUGGCGAUCUGGGGACAAGAAAAUUAGAGAAGCUACAAGGAGAGAGGGGAUGAAUGCGGUUGUAGACACCGUACAUGAGGGGUAAUAAAGUAGGCAGCCAAUCAUUGGGGGUUUGUGGGAUUUCGGCGAGCCGGACGGGAAGCUUGCGUGGGAACUUGCGCGGUUGCACGGGAAUGGGAAGGCCUAAAGAAACGCGUGCAUGCUCCCCAAGCGUGCAUUGGAAUCCUCAAGGGGCAACGUGGUGACAAGACGGGACAAAGGAGGGAUAAAUGACAAUGGUUAAUAAUAAAAAAAUGUUUGCAUUUUAUUACAUAGCAAACGAACAUUUUGUACGCACCGUCACGAACUGCUCUACGUAUGAGGCGACAGAUUGAGGCGACCGCGGCUCGCUCUGCCCGCAUCCAUGCGUGAGCGCUGUGUGAGCAUCCCUCCAUGUUUGGUGCGCCAUAUACACAUGGUUGCGAUGCACCCGGUGUCGUGGUGCAGUUAUACGUGCGCCACCAUGCACUUAAGGGCUGCAAAAACUGCCAUGCGGACGUGCCGAAAUGCUAGGCCGUCCGAUGCCCACCCAUUAAUUCCUACGGCCAUUUACCUUCAUCUCUUCCACCUUUUGAUCGUGCCACACAACACAAGAAGCACACCCACAAUGAGAAAUAAUGGAGAGAGGAUGCACAUCUCUUCAUCACUUCAACCUUAACGCACGGAUCCAAUUGCGGCUGCCGGCGUAGGGCGACAAUUCACCAUUAUUGUCAAAGUGCACACCCACAUUAGGAAGACAUACCUAUCGGUGGCAUACAUCAAUGACCUGGUCUAUGUGGAGAAAUCCAUCAACAAAUUGGAGCAUCUGCUUGUUGAGGAUUGAUAACCCACAAGUAUAUGGGAUCGCGAUAGUUUUCGAUGGUAGAGUAUUCAACCCAAAUUUAUAGAUUCGACACAAGGGGGGCCAAAAAAUAUUUGCAGGUAUUAGCGGCUAAGUGGCCAAUUCAACCACACUUGGAGAUUUGGUAUCUGCAGCACAUUGAUCAGUAGCAUAGUAAUAUGAUAGUAGUAGUAACAGUAGCAGCAGUAACGGUAAAAGUGAUAGCAGUUUUGUAGUAGUUGUAAUAGCAGUAGCAACAAUAGUAACUUAGUAAGCACAAUAUGUGGAAAACUCGUAGGCACUGUAUCGGUGACAUUGCCGGAUAAUGUUCAUCAUAUAACAGUCACAACAUAGGGCAACACAGAACUAGCUCACAUUCAUCAAUCUAAUGUAGGCACGUAUUUCGUAAAUAGCCAUAUGUGCUUAUGGAAAAGAACUUGCAUGGCAUAUUUUUUCCUACCCUCCCAUGGCAGCGGGGUCCAUAAGGAUACUAAGGGAUAUUAAGGCCUCCUUUUAAUAGAGAACUCGUGAAAGGACGUGGAUGUCGCCUAGAGGGGGGGUGAAUAGGCGCUUUAAAAUAAUUACGGUUUAGGCUUGAACAAAUGCGGAAUAAAACUAACGUUUAAUUUGUCAAGCACAAAACCUACAACAACUAGGCUCACCUAUGUGCACCAACAACUUAUGCUAAGCAAGAUAAACAACUAAGUGAUAGCAAGAUAUAUGACAAUAAACAGUAUGGCUAUCACAAAGUAAAGUGCAUAAGUAACGGGUUCGGGUAAGAGAUAACCGAGGCACACGGAGACGAUGAUGUAUCCCGAAGUUCGCACCCUUGCGGAUGCUAAUCUCUGUUGGAGCGGUGUGGAGGCACAAUGCUCCCCAAGAUGCCACUAAGGCCACCGUAAUCUCCUCACGUCCUCGCACAAUGCUAGAUGCCGUGAUUCCACUAAGGGACCCUUGAGGGAGGUCACCGAACCCAUACAAAUGGCAAACCUUGGGGGCGGUCACCGGUACCCGUACAAAUUGCUCGGGGCAAUCUCCACAACCUAAUUGGAGACCCCGACGCUUGACCGGAGCUUUACACCACAAUGAUUGAGCUCCGAGACACCACCAAGCUUCUAAGAAGCCAAAGCAUCCACGAAGAACAAUAUCUAGGGUACUAAGUACCAAAGGUAAUAAGCUUCUCAAACUUCAAUUCCACGUAUCACCGUGGAGAACUCAAACUGAUGCAACUAAUGCAAUGGCAAGAACACACGAAGUGGAAAAGUCCCUCACACUCAAAUACCUCCACAACAACAAAAGCUAUGGAGAAAUAUAAGAGGAAGAACAAGGAGCUCACAAAGAACUCCAAGAUCUAGAUCCAAGGGGUUUCCCUCACAUAGAGGAGAAAGUGAUUGGUGGAGAUGUGGAUCUAGAUCUCCUCUCUCUUUUCCCUCAAGAACAAGCAAGAAUCAUUAGAGGGAUUGAGAUUUAGCAAGCUCUAAGAAGGUCAACAAUGGGGGAAGAACACCAGCUCAACGGAUAGAAUUGACCAAGGGGGAAGAAGACCCCCUUUAUAUAGUGGGGGAAGGAGUCAGACCGUUACCCCCACUUACAGCCCGAGACCAAUAGUACUGCCGCUGGCUGCAGUGGUACUACCGCUGACCCUCCAGCGGUACUACAGCUUACCCUCCAGCGGUACUACCACUGGCUGCAGCGGUACUACCGCUGACCCUCCAGCGGUACUACCGCUGGCUGCAGCGGUACUACCGCUGGGUCCAUGGUAGCGUAAAGAUACUACCGGGCCAACCACCGCCAAGAAAGUCUUCGCAAAAAGUCCGACGUAGUACAGCCGCAAGGAUGACGGUACUAAAGUCCUGGAGUGGUACUACCGCUGACCAGGGGCGGUACUACCGCUGGGCCAGCGGUACUACCGCCAGCUCUAGCGGUACUACCGCUAUGGCGAGCAGUAUUACCGUUGAGCCCAUGAAAAAGCCAUAACUUUCGCAUACGAGCUCCGAAUCGAGCAAACCCAAGCUUGUUGGAUUCAGGACGACAAGAGCUAUCCGGCAUAAGAGCGGAAAUCUUAAGACCAUACAGAUAUGAAAAUGCCAAUGAUAUAGAGAUGUGAGACCUCUAUGAAUGAAGAACCGGUAAAAACUCCAACAUCGGAAACAUCAUAGUAGAUGCAUAUGGACUCCGUUUUCGAUGAAUUCGAGCUUGUCAUGAAGAUGACCAUAAGCUCUAAAACUCACAAAGAGAAACACCAAAUAAGAACCAAGAAGUAUGAUGAAGGAUGGAAAUGGUUUGAGCUCUCAACGAACGAUACGAUCAAGCUACUCACUUGAGAGCCCCCCUUGACAGAACAUCAAUCUAUCCUAAAACAGAAAACCUAUCAAGGGCAAACCUAUACCAUGCACCUCGUCCUCUUGAGCUAGAUGAUGAUGAUCUUGGCUUCCUCAAGAUGGACCACCUUUCUUGAUUGUGUUGGCUUGAUGAAGACCAGUUGAUUGCUCCCCCAUACUCAUUAUGGGUGAGCCACUUUUCAGCAUAUCUUCACAAGUCCAUUGCCACCACAAUGGACGGCAAGCUUCAAGCAUGAUAUAUUCUUGCUGAUCCACUUGAACUUGCACACCACAAUCUUGAUGACGAUCACCACUUGACGUCAUCCUUCAUGGUUUGUAUGAGAUCUUCCUUUUGACGCAAGCCCAUGGAAACACACCUAACCCCCCACAUAGAACUUUCACGAAGACCAUGGGUUAGUACACAAACACGUAGUGGACAAUGCUUACCAUACCAUGGGAUCACUUGAUCCCUCUCGGUACAUCUUGUACGCUUUGUGUGUUGAUCAUCCUGAUUUACUCUUUGUCUGAGAUCUUGAUUAACCUUGUUUCUCUAUGACCAUUCUUUGGAUAAUACCUUGAAUACCAUCUUGGUCAUCAUAUAAACUCCUUGAACCCAACAGAUGAACUUCAAGAAGUGCCUAUGGACAAAUCCUAUAAAUAUAACUUAAGGCAACCAUUAGUCCAUAGGAAUUGUCAUCAAUUACCAAAACCACAUAUGGAGAUAUAUGCUCUAACAACUGGAACAAAGCAUUAACACAUAAUGAAUACAUGAACUCCUCAAACUACGGUAAUCACCGAAAUGAAUCCCACUUAUUGUCACUUUGCGGUAUGCAGAUCAUAACACAUAAUAGGUGCAUAUAACUUGCAAGAUCGAAUCAGGAGCAUAGAUAUAUUGAUGAAGACAUAAACAUUGCAGAUCUGAAAUUAUGGCCCUAGUGACAAGCAUUAAGCAUAGCAAAGUCAUAGCAACAUCUAUCUCCGAACAUAGUGGAGGACCAAGCCCUAACAAAACUAACUCGAUUACAUGAUGAAUCUCAUCCAGCUCUUCAUCGGAAUUGGCAAUGGAGGAGGGUUGGUGAUGACGAAGAACGAAGAUUCCCCUCUCCGGAGUCCCAAACGGACUCCAGAUUAGGCCUCCCAAUGAAGAACAGGAGGUGGCGGUGACUCCAUAUCAUCAAACACGAUGAAACUUCAUCUCUGAUUUUUUUUCUCUCCGAAAAUAGGAAUUUAUAGCGUUGGAAUUAGAGUCAGAGGAGACAUGUGGGCCCCACUAGACACCAGUCCACGCCAGUGGGGCCUGGCGUGCCCUGAUAUCUAGUGGACUGUCAUGGCUCCCCUCAUGUGGAUCCUGGUUCCAAUAUUUUUUAUAUAUUUCAUAAAAAAUCUCCAAAAAGUUUCGUUCCAUUCCGAAAACUUCUAUUUCUGUACAAAAACAACACCAUGGUAGUUCUGCUGAAAACAGCGUCAGCUCGGGUUAGUUUCAUUCAAAUCAUGCAAAUUAGAGUCCAAAACAAGAGCAAAUGCGAUAGGAAAAGUAGAUACGAUGGAGACGUAUAAACUUCCCCAAGCUUAACACAUCGCUUGUCCUCAAGCAAUUCAGUUGACAAACUGAAAGUGAUAAAGAAAAACUUUUAUGAACUCUUUUGUUCUUGUUUACAUAUACAUGCUUAGAGAGCACUCAAGUUUUCAGCAUAAAUCAUGACUAACCAUAUCGACAAUAACCCUUAGAAACUCGAUUAGCUCAUAUCAAUGUCAUAAUCAACUAGCAAGCAAUAAUAAGAUAUCUCAAACAUCAACACUUUGUCAAAAUGAUCAAGAUAUAGUAUGACAAUAAUGGUAUCUCGCUGGCCCUUUCUGAGUCCGCAAAACAUAAAUGCACAACACCUCUAAAGUUUAAGCAGCGACUAGACAUUGUAAUUGAUGGUAAAAGAGAUCCAGUCAUGCUGCAAACAAUGAUUAACUAGACACAAAGCAUAAGGAUGACACUAGUUCUCUUAGGUAUGGUCCUUAUUUGAGAAGGUGAUGACUCAAAGUAAAAAUAAAGUAACAAAAUAGAAAGUCCCUUCGCAGAGGGAACCAGGAAUUUGCAGAGGCGUCAAAGCUCAUGGUGAAAAUAAGAGAUAAAUUAUUUUGGGAGGUGCACCCUUUGUGUCAACGUUACAACCAAGAGUUAUCGAAAUCUUCCAUGCUAAGCAAAUUAGCGGCGGUUCCCAUGCGGUAAAAGUAAAGGUUUACUCCCUCUCCACCAAUCAAACAAACUCCAUGGCUAGCCGAAUCCACGGGCAUCGUCCAUACCAACAACAAUCCAGGGGGAGUUUUGUUUAAUUAUUUUUAAUUUAUGAAUCGGGAUUUGGAGUCCCUAUUACUAGCUCCUCUCGUGCAAGGACGAGUGAAUAAACAUUCAUCAUGAGAAUAACCCACUUAGCAUGGAAGAUAUAGACCACCGUCUGUCGCUCCAUGUGCGAUCAAGGCACACAAAACAUAAGUUCGUUUGAAAUAUUAGAGGUGGCACAUGCAAAUUUACUUGGAACGACACGGUAAUACCGCAUAUAGGUAGGUAUGGUGGACUCGUCUGGAAUAACUUUGUUUCAAGGAUUUUGAUGCAGAAGCAAUUUUCCCGCUUAGUACACGUGAAGGCUAGCAAAUAGGUUGGGAAGUGACUAACUAGAGAUCGAAGACGGUCAUGAACAUGCUUUGUGAAUGAUCAUCGUUGCGUACUAACUCCUGCUCGUCCUCGAGUAGGGAAGUGUAAAUGAAUGAAUUUUUCAUGUGGAAUGCUACCUAGCAUAGUUGUCCUUUGCAACUUCUUUCACGUGGCAUGAAUAUUCAGAUCUGUAAGAUUCAAAACAAUAGUUUGCUAUUGACACGAAAACAGAAAUACUUCUCUCAUUUCUAACAUGAAGGACAUGGUGCUAACAUGAAGCACAAGUGCGGAAAAAGAUAGUAGCAUUGUCCCUUCUCUCUUUUUCUCUCAUUUCUCUUUUUUUUAUUUGGGCUCUAGGCCUCUUUUUUUCUUUUUAUUUUUUAUUUCCUCACAUGGGACAAUGCUCUAAUAAUGAUGAUCAUCACACUUUUAUUUACUCACAGCUCAAAGACCGCAAUUAUAAUGACUCCAUAGGAAAUGCCUCCGGCAGUGUACCGUGAUGUGCAGCGAUCUAGUAUGAUCAUGCAAAGGCAAUAUGAGAGUGACGACACAAGUCAUGAGACGGAACGGUGGUAGUUGCAUGGCAAUAUAUCUCGGAAUGGCUAUGAAAAUGUCAUAGUAGGUAGGUAUGGUGGCUGUUUUGAGGAAGGAAUUUCGUGGGUUUGUGCACCGGCGAGAAUUGCGCGGCGCUAGAGAGGCUAGCAAUGGUGGAAGGUGAAAGUGCAUCUAUACCAUGGACUCACAUUAGUAAUAAAUAAAUCACAUACUUGUUGCAAAAGUUUUUAUUAGUAAUCGAAACAAAGUGCUAAACGCAUACUCCGAGGGGAAGGGUUGGUAGGUGUAAACCAUCGCGCGAUCCCGACCUCAACACAAAGGAUGACAAUCAAUAGAUCAAUUAUGCUCCGACUUCCUAACAUAGCGGUUCACCAUACGUGCAUGCUACGUGAAUCACUAAUUUCAACACAAGUAUUUCUAGAUUCACAACACCCUACUAACAUAGCUUUUAAUAUCACCGAAUCCAUGUCUCAAAACUAAUUUAGAGGAAUCGAAACUUUUCUUUCUACUCAAUGCACAUUAAAGAUGGAGGUUUUUGCAUCCUCUUUGGGUACCUAGCACAUUUGGGACUACUUUCAUAGCAUAAGCCAACUACCAAAUCAUGCAUCGCCGUGCUCUAAAGAUAUAAGUGAAGCACGAGAGCGAAAGUAUCUAGCUCAAAAGAUAUAAGUGAAGCACAAUAAGCAAAAGUAUCUAGCUCAAAAGAUAUAAGUGAAGCACAAUGAGCAUUCUAGCAAAAUCACGAUGAGUGCAUGUCUCUCUCUCUCAAAAAGGUGUGCAGCAAGGAUGAUUGUGACAUAACAAAAAGAAAAGACUCCUAUGGUACAAGACGCUCCAAGCAAAACACAUAUCAUGUGGUGAAUAAAAAUAUAGCUCCAAGUAAUGUUACCGAUGGAUUGAAGACGAAAGAGGGGAUGCCUUCCCGGGGCAUCCCCAAGCUUAGGCUUUUUGGUGUCCUUCAAUUUGGCUUGGGGGGGCUUGGGAAUCCCCAAGCUUGAUCUCUUUCCAAUCCUUAUCUCUUUGUCCAUGAGAACGUCACCCAAAACUUGAAAACUUCACAACGCAAAACUUAAACAGAAACUUGUGAUAACAUUAGUACAAGAAAACAAACUACCACUUCUUUUGGUACUGUAGCAAACUUGAAUUCCAUGUAUAUUGGUUUUGGGCUACUGUAUUCUCACUUUUCCAUGGCUAGUACCCCCCGAUACUAACCAUAGUUUCAUCAAAACAAGCAACCAACUCAACAAAAAUAGAAUCUAUCAAAAACAGACCAGUCUGUAGCAAUCUGUAUACUUCGUAUAAUUCUGGUACCUAAAAAAUCUGAAAAAUUACGAAGGUCUGUGGAAAAAGCGUAUCAAUAAGAAGCAAAAAGAAUCAACACAAAAGCUCUUUCUUAAUAAAAAUGAAAAAUCAUCUCGUGAGCGAAAUGUUUCUGUCUUUUUCCAACAGGAUCGAACAACCAUCACCAAGACUAGUCAUAAAGGUUUUGCUUGGCUCAAACACAAAAAACACANNNNNNNNNNNNNNNNNNNNNNNNNNNNNNNNNNNNNNNNNNNNNNNNNNNNNNNNNNNNNNNNNNNNNNNNNNNNNNNNNNNNNNNNNNNNNNNNNNNNNNNNNNNNNNNNNNNNNNNNNNNNNNNNNNNNNNNNNNNNNNNNNNNACAAAAAACACAAUCACAACAGAAUUAUGAUGGUGUGGACGCAACAAAACAGAAAGAAAAAGAUAAAUUCAUUGGGUUGCCUCCCAACAAGCGCUAUUGUUUAACGCCCUUAGCUAGGCAUUGAUAAAUCAAUGAUGCUCACACAAAAGACAAGAAUUGAAGCACAACGAGAGCAUCAUAAAGCAUGUGAAAAUCACAUAUAAGUCUAACAUACUUCCUAUGCAUAGGAAUUUUAUAGGAAAACAAAUUGGCAAGACAACCAAUAGUUACCAAAUAUAAGGAAGAAGAAAUAGAAAAUAGCAAUCUCAACAUAACAAGAGGUAAUUUGGUAACAAGAAAGUUUCUACCACAAUAUUUCCCUCUCUCGUAAUAAUUACAUGUGGGAUCAUAUUCUAAUUCAACAAGGUAACUAUCACAUAGGAUAUUCUUUUCAUGAUCCACAUGCAUGCAAAGUUGACGCUCUUUAAAAAUAGUGGGAUUAUCAUCAACUAAAGUCAUGACUUUUCCAAACCCACUUUUAAUAAUAUUGCAAAUAUCAUAUUCAUCAUGAGGCUUAAACAAAUUUUCAAGAUCAUAAGAAAAAUCAUCGCCCCAGUCAUGAUCAUUGCAACAAGUAGUGGACAUAGCAAAACUAGCAUCCCCAAGCUUAGGGUUUUGCAUAUUUUUAGCAUGAUUGUCACUAAUAGAAUUUAUAGUGAAACCAUUGCAAUCAUGCUUUUCAUCCAAGGAGCCCUCGUGAAUCACUUCAUAAAUUUCUUCCUCACAAUUUUCAUAUUCACGCAUCUCAAGCAAAACUCCAUAAACAUAGUCAAGUGCACUCAACUCACUAGCAAUUGGAUCAACAUAAUUGGAUCUCUUAAAGAGAUUAGCAAGUGGAUGAGGAUCCAUAUCACUAGAUUUUCAACAAGCGAAGAUGCAAGCAUAUUGAAGGCACAUGGCACACAAGCGAACAGAAAGCAAGCGAGAGAAAAGGGCGAAUGAAAAGGCGAACGAAAAAGGCAAAUGAAGUGGGGGAGAGGAAAACGAGAGGCAACUCACGAACAAAGUAAAUGCCAGAGAUGAGUUUACGACACUUACUUGGAUGAGUUCUUGACUUGAUCUUCCUCCCCGGCAACGGCACCAAAAAUCCUUCUUCUACUUCUCGAACAACAGCGCGAGAAAUUGACAUGUUGACGGAUAUUGGGCUUGCAAUUGUUUAUCCCUUGAAGAGGAAAGGGUGAUGCAGCACAGGAGCAGUAAGUAUUUCCCUCAGUUUGAGAACCAAGGUAUCGAUCCAGAAGGAGGGUCUCGUCAAGUCCAGAGUACCUACGCAAACACAAACAAGCUUGCACCCAACGCUUCAAAGGGGUGGUCAAUCCCUUCAAGAUUGUUUGCAAAGUGAGAUCUGAAGGCAGAAAGUGCAACGAAGUAAAAAGGUGUAAGGCUGAAAAUAUGGUGUGGAGUAGACCCUGGGGGCCAUAGUGUUCACUAGAGGCUUCUCUCAAAAUAGCAAGUAAUACGGUGGGUGAACAAAUUACUGUCGAGCAAUUGAUAGAACCGCGCAAAGUCAUGACGAUAUCUAAGGCAAUGAUCUAGCAUAUAGGCAUCAAGUCCGAGACAAGUAGACCGAUACUUUCUGCAUCUACUACUAUUACUCCACACAUCGACUGCUAUCCAGCAUGCAUCUAGUGUAUUGAGUUCAUGAAGAACGGAAUAACGCUUUAAGCAAGAUGACAUGAUGUAAAGGGAUAAUCUCAAACCAAUGAUGAAAACCCCAUCUUUUUACCCUUGAUGGCAACAACACGAUACGUGCCUCGCUACCCCUUCUGUCACUGGGUGAGAUCAUCGCACGAUAUGAACCCAACCAAGCACUUCUCCCAUUGCAAGAAUCAUAGAUCUAGUUGGCCAAACAAAACCCACCACUCGAACAGAAUUACAAGGAUAUGAAAUCAUGCAUAAGAGAGAUCAGAAGAAACUCAAAUAAGAUUCAUAGAUAAUCUGAUCAUAAAUCCAUAAUUCAUUGGAUCUCGACAAACACAACGCAAAAGACAAUUACAUCAUAUAGAUCUCCAUGAAGAUCAUGGAGAACUUUGUAUUGAAGAUCCAAGAGAGAGAAGAAGCCAUCUAGUUACUAGCUAUGGACCCGUAGGACUAUGGUGAACUACUCACGCAUCAUCGGAGAGGUCAUGGUGUUGAUGGAGAAGCCUUCCGUGUCCGAAUCCCCCCUCCCGCAGGGCACCAGGACGUGCCCCAGAUGGGAUCUUGCGGAGACAGAAGCUUGCGGCGGCGGAAAAGUGAUUAUGAUGCUCCCCUGGUUUUUUUGGGAAUAUUUGGGAAUUUAUAGGCGCAAGAUCUAGGUCAGGGGACCUCCAGGGGGCCACAAGCCUGCAUGGUGCCCCCCUGGCCGCAGUGUGGGGGCUUGUGGGGCUCCUGGGGCUCUUCUGGCUUGGCUCCCAAGUCCCCCGAUCUUCUUCCGUUCAAGAAAAAAUCUUUUCGCGGAUUUUCUUCCGUUUGGACUCCGUUUCAAAAUCUCCUCUAAAAGGGGUAAAAAUAUGGAAAAAAAACAGGAACUGGCACUUGGCACUGAAUUAAUAAGUUAGUCCCAAAAAAAAGGCAUGCAAAACAUCCAAAGUUUGACAAGAUAAUAGCAUGAAACCAUCAAAAAUUAUAGAUACGUUGGAGACGUAUCACGUACUAGCAUGAGUAGGAUAUAAACACCAUGAACAUAAAUAUUGUGGAGGCUCUGUUUGUUCUGAUGCAACUACAUGCAUGAACGUCGGCCAAGUCAAGCCAGUCGAAAAUAGGGGUAUAACUCAAAGAAUGGAAAAUAAAUUCAGAGAAACACACUAAAUUUUUGUUGGAGUUUUUACUUUUUUUCAAGAAGAAAACAAAUUAAAGUAGGCAACACUAAAAAAAGAAAACUAUUUACACGGGAAAGCUCUCAACAAGUAAAAGGAAAAAAUAGAAAUAUUUUUGGGUUUUCUUUCAAUACUACAACUAAAUUACUCUAGAAAGAAAAACCAAAAACAAGUGAGAAAUAUUUUUAGAUUUUCUGCAAGUUUUUGAAACACACAAGAAGAAGGGAAGAAAAUAAAUCUAACAAGGAUAGCACCAUGCAAGAGUGUGAACACCGACAACUAGAAUAUGCAAUCAUGAAGGUAAAGUCGGUGGAAACACGUACUCCCCCAAGCUUAGGAUUUUGGCCUAGUUGGUAAUCACCACCAGUAGUAGCCGUCCAGCCUCAUUUUGAAGUGUUUGGGUGGCGACACCAGAGAGUCCCACUCCUGAGGCUCCCACUCGGCCGCUGCGUGAGUGUUCUGGUAGGCAAUAAUGUCGUCAGGCAUGAUCCUCUAUCCAUUCCUAGCAAUAGAAUCAAAUAAAACAGGUGCACGCAAUGGGAUAAUAUCUCAAGUAACCUCACUAAAGACUAGGUUAUAUGGGAGCUUAGCUAAGGAAUCAUCACUGUCAAUAAAUCGGUGAUCUAUCAUAGAGUGGCGAUCUAGAUAAACUUGUGGUUAAAGAUAGUCAUCCUGACGGAAAGGGAUGUUAAAGCAUUUUGAUUAGCGAGUGGCAUAAAUACCACCGUGGAUUUUACCCUUAGAUCUGUUAUUGUGUAAACAUCAAGCAAUAAUAGCUCCCAAAUUAAACGUGUGAUCAUUAUGGAGUGCUCGACGCAAAAUGGCAAGAUCAGGUGGGCUAAGGAUACUACCCUUCUCCCUGGCAGUUAAACACUUCAUGAUAAAUAAAGCAAAGUAGUGCACUGAAGGAAACUGCAGCCUUGGGGUUAUGGCUUUCAACAGGCCCCUCGUCUCACCGACUGUUAAGGUGAGCGGCAAUCCUCAAAUUCACCUGGUUUGGGUUCUCUUAACUCCUCGUGAGAGGGAAUUAAACAUAUCUCAUAGAACUCAGUAAGCGGUAUUUGGCGCAUUUCAGCAUAGAGUUUAAACUACACUAAAGGUGGAUCAUGCUUAUUCAAGAAAUAGAAUGUUUGAACGAAGGGAUUAGUGAGGGUAUGGUAUUGGUCACACUCAUCUAUGAUGAAGUUGGUCAACCCGGUGUGGGGACCCUGACUUGUAAGUCAAGAUUGCCGAAUGCACGUGUACAGCGAUCCCAAAGAUCAAUGCUCACUGAACACACAGAAACUGAAUAACAAGAGUCUUACAUCCAUACAUACCACUUUGCUCGGAUAUGGCUAUUAUUGCCAAGUCUUCAUAUACACUAGAAUAGAAAUCUUCAAGGAUAGUGUGAAUCCAUGCCAUCUGCCUUAACCCUACAUGCAUUUUGAUUAGGAAGCGUCCUAGCUCGCAGGAAUGUCACCAAGGUAUUCUUCACCAUCUCAUGUUCUCUCUUACGUGGUCAAUGAAAUAACCAGUGGCAAGCCAAUGAGUACUUUGAAUGUACUCACAAACAACCCAGGUUUGGAACGAGGCAACAACUAUACGUGCUAUAGCACUAAGUAGGUAAUUUGUGAAAAUCUAAUUUGAGUGCAAUGUCAUGAUCAAUCAGCUUGUAAGAGCAUGCAUCAAGAGGUAAACGAUAUCCAUACGAUCAGGUUUCAUAUAUCAAUAUCAAGAAAGGGUCGAACAUCUUGAUACAUCUCAAACGUAUCUAUAAUUUUUGAUGGUUUCACGCUGUUAUCUUGUCAACUUUGGAUGUUUUGUUUACCUUUUAUAUCUUUUUUGGGACUAACUUAUUAACUCAAUGCCAAGCGUCAGUUCCUGUUUUUUCUGUGUUUUUGACUCUUUUCAGAUCUGAUUUUGGAAUGGAGUACAAACGGAAUAAUUCUUUCGCGAUGAUUUUUUAUGGAAAAUAUCAAAAAUACCGGAAGAAAAAGAUACCGGAGGGGGGCCNNNNNNNNNNNNNNNNNNNNNNNNNNNNNNNNNNNNNNNNNNNNNNNNNNNNNNNNNNNNNNNNNNNNNNNNNNNNNNNNNNNNNNNNNNNNNNNNNNNNNNNNNNNNNNNNNNNNNNNNNNNNNNNNNNNNNNNNNNNNNNNNNNNNNNNNNNNNNNNNNNNNNNNNNNNNNNNNNNNNNNNNNNNNNNNNNNNNNNNNNNNNNNNNNNNNNNNNNNNNNNNNNNNNNNNNNNNNNNNNNNNNNNNNNNNNNNNNNNNNNNNNNNNNNNNNNNNNNNNNNNNNNNNNNNNNNNNNNNNNNNNNNNNNNNNNUUCCGCCGCCGCAAGUUCCUGUUUCCGCGAGAUCUCAUCUGGAGACCCUUCCCGGUGCCCUGCCGGAGGGGACUUUGGAGUUGGAGGGCCUCUUCAUCAACAUCAUCGCCCCUCCAAUGACUCGUGAGUAGUUCACUUCAGACCUACGGGACCGUAGUUAGUAGCUAGAUGGCUUCUUCUCUCUCUUGGAUCUUCAAUACUAAGUUCUCCAUGAUCUUCAUGGAGAUCUAUCCAAUGUAAUCCUCUUUGGCGGUGUGUUUGUCGAGAUCCGAUGAAUUGCGGAUUUGUGAUCAGAUUAUCUAUGAUAUAUAUUUGAGUCUUUGCUGAUUUCUAAUAUGCAUGAUUUGAUAUCCUUCUAAGCCUCUCCGAGUCUUGGGUUUUGUUUGGCAAACUAGAUCUAUGAUUCUUGCAAUGGGAGAAGUGCUUGGUUUUGGGUUCUUACCGUGUGGUGACCUUUCCCAGUGACAGUAGGGGCAGCAAGGCACACAUCAUGUAGUUUCUGUCAAGGGUAACAAGGUGGGCUUUGUCGUAGAUAUGAGAUUGUCCAUCUACAUCAUGUCAUCUUGCUUAAGGCGUUACUCUGUUCUUUUGGACUUAAUACACUAGAUGCAUGCUGGCUAGCGGUCGACGUCUGGAGUAAUAGUAGUAGAUGCAGAAAGUAUCGGUCUACUUGUUUUGGACGUGAUGCCUAUAGAUAUAAUCAUUGCCAUAGAUAUCGUCACGACUUUGCGCGGUUCUAUCAAUUGCUCGACAGUAAUUCGUUCACCCACCGUCUACUUGCUUUCAUGAGAGAAGCCACUAGUAAACACUACGGCCCCCAUGUCUAUUCACACCCAUCGUUUACACCUCCACUUUUACAUUGUUUUGUUACUUUCUUGCUUUCAGUUCUCACUUGGCAAACAAUCUAUAAGGGAUUGACAACCCCUUCAUAGCGUUGGGAGCAAGCUCUUUGUGUUUAUGCAAGCACAUGUGAUACUCCUUCACUGGAUCGAUACCUUGGUUCUCAAAACUGAGAAAAAUACUUACCGCCGCUGUGCUACAUCACCCUUUCCGCUUCGAGGGAACACCAAUGCAAGGCUCCAAGGCCAUGAGGGAAUCCUUUUCAUAUUUGCCUAGGAAGUCCCUAAGGCGUAGCCGCUGCAGCAGGAUUCUUGGCGCCGUACCAAGGAAGGUCUGUUGUCGCAGUAGCAAGAAGAAUUUCUGGCACCGUUGCCGGGGAAGGAGAGAUCUAUCCAAGUAGGUCUCACAAACUCAUCUCUUGCAUUUACUUUUUUGCCAGUUGCCUCUCGUUUUCUUCUCCCCCACUUCGCAUUUGUCGUUUUCAUUUGCCUUUCUCCUUUGCUGUUUUCUUUUGCCUUUUGCCUUUUUUCCGUUUUCCUUUGCCGGUUUUCCUUUGCUUGUGUGCCAUGUGCCUUCAUUAUGCUUACAUCUUCGCUUGCUAAAAAUCUAGUGAUAUGGAUCCUCACCCACUUGCUAAUCUCUUUAAGAGAUCCAAUUAUGUUGAUCCAAUUGCUAGUAAGUUGAGGGCACUUGACUAUUUUUAUGGAGUUUUGCUUGAGAUGUGUGAAUCUGAAAAUUGUGAGGAAGAAAUUUAUGAAGUGUUUCACGAGGGAUCCUUGGAUGAAAAGCAUGAUUGCAAUGGUUUCACUAUAAAUUCUAUUAAUGACAAUCAUGCUGAAAAUAUGCAAAACCCUAAGCUUGGGGAUGCUAGUUUUGCUAUGUCCACUACUUGUUGCAAUAAUCAUGAUUGGGGUGAUGAUCUUUCUUAUGAUCUUGAAAAUUUGUUCAAACCUCAUGAUGAAUAUGAUAUUUGCAAUAUUAUUAAAAGUGGGUUUGGAAAAGUCAUGACUUUAGUUGAUGAUAAUCCCACUAUUUUUAAAGAGCGUCAACUUUGCAUGCAUGUGGAUCAUGAAAAGAAUAUCCUAUGGGAUAGCUAUAUUGUUGAAUUUGAAUAUGAUCCCACAUGUAAUUGCUAUGAGAGAGGAAAAUAUUGUGGUAGAAACCUUCAUGUUACCAAAUCACCUCUCGUGAUGUUGAGAUUGCUCUUGUCCUUUUCUUCUUCCUUGCAUAUGGCAGCUAUUGGUUGUCUUGACAAUCUGUUUUCCUAUAAAAUGCCUAUGCAUAGGAAGUAUGUUAGACUUAGAUGUGAUUUUCACAUGCUUUAUGAUGCUCUCGUUGUGCUUCAAUUCUUGUCUUUUGUGUGAGCAUCAUUGAAUUAUCAAUGCCUAGCUAAGGGCGUUAAACAAUAGCGCUUGUUGGGAGGCAACCCAACGAAUCUAUCCUUUUUCUUUCUGUUUUGUGUUUUCCACACUUUCAUAAUUCUGUUAUGAUUGUGUUUUUUGUGUUUCUUUUUGCGUUUGUGCCAAGCAAAACCGUUAUGAUUAGUCUUGGGGAUGAUCUUUGGUCAUGCUGGAAAAGACAGAAACUUUGUGCUCACGAAAAUAAUUUUCAUUUUUUUUCUGUAAGAGCUUUUGAGUUGAUUCGUUUUUCUGAUAAUUUCUACGCAAAUUCUUCAUACUGUCGUAAUUGUUCAGAAUUUUUGAAGUACUAUAAAUAUACAAAAUAUACAGAUUUCUACAGACUGGUCUGCUGUUAACAGAUUCUGUUUUUGUUGUGUUGGUUUCUUAUUUUGAUGAAACUAUGGAUAGUAUCGGGGGGUAUUAGCCAUGGAGCAUUGAAAAUAAAGUAACCCAACAUCAGCAUAAGUAGAAUUUAAGUUUGCUACAGUACCUAAGGAAGUGGUGGUUUGCUUUCUUAUACUAAUUUUAUCACGAGUUUCUGUUUAAGUUUCGUGUUGUGAAGUUUUCAAGUUUUGGGUGAAGUUCUUAUGGACAAAGAGAUAAGGAGUGGCAAGAUCUCAAGCUUGGGGAUGCCCAAAGCACCCCACGAGAUUCAAGGAUGCCGUAAAAGCCUAAGCUUGGGGAUGCCCUGGGAAGGCAUCCCCUCUCUCGUCUUCAAUCCAUCGGUAACGUUACUUGGGGCUAUAUUUUUCUUCACCACAUGUUAUGUGUUUUUGCUUGGAGCGUCUUGCAUCGUAGGAGUCUUUUAUUUUUGUUGUGUCACAAUCAUCCUUGCUGCACACCUAGAGAGAGAGACAUGCACUCACCGUGAUUUUGUCGAGCUUCACUUAUAUCCUUUGGUAGACAAUUCAGCUCACAUGUGCUUCACUUAUAUCUUUUGAGCUAGAUACUUUUGCUCUAUGUGCUUCACUUAUAUCUUUUAGAGCACAGCAGUGCAUGGCUUGGCAGUUGAUCUAUGCUUUGAAAGUAGUCUCAAAAGGGGUAGUUACCCAAAGGGAUACGAAAACGUCCACCUUCAUGUGCAUUGAAUAGUUAGAGAAGUUUGAUUCAUCUCAAUUAGUUUUGAGUUGAGGUUUUGGUAAUAUUGAAGUUAUAUUAGUAAGGUGUUGUGAAUCUAGAAAUACUUGUGUUAAAGUUAGUGAUUCCCGUAGCAUGCACGUAUGGUGAACCACUAUGUGAUGAAGUCUGAGCAUGAUUAGUCUAUUGAUUGUCAUCCUUUGUGUGGCGGUCGGGAUCGCGCGAUGGUUUAUACCUAACAACCCUUCCCCUAGGAGUAUGCAUUGAAUGCUUUGUUUCGAUUACUAAUAAAACUUUUGCAACAAGUAUAUGAGUUCUUCAUGACUAAUGUUGAGUCCAUGGUUUAGAUGCACUUUCACCUUCCACCAUCACUAUCUUCUUUAGUGUCGUGCAACUUUCGCCGGUGCACAAAACCCACCAUUAGCCUUCCUCAAAACAGCCACCAUACCUACCUACUAUGGCUUUUUCAAAGUCAUUCCAAGAUAUAUUUCCAUGCAAGUACCACCAUGACAUGUGCCACCACGUCUAUAUUGCCAUUGCAUGAUCGUAAGAUAGCUAGCAUGAUGUUUCCAUUAAUGUCUAUGCCUUGCUAGAUCAUUGUCACGGUACACUACCAAAGGCAUUCCAUAUAGAGUCAUCGUUGCUCUAAGUUUUGAGUUGAAAGUGUGAUGAUCAUCAUUGAUGGAGCAUUGUCCCAUGUGAGGAAAUAAAAGAGGCCAAAGAUGCCCACCAAAAUAAAUAAAUAAAAAGAGGCCAAAGAGCCCACCAAAAAAAUGAGAGAAAAAGAGAGAAGGGACAAUGCUACCACCGUUCCACACUUGUGCAUAUUAAGCACCAUGAUCUUCAUGAUUGAGAGUCUCUCGUUUUGUCACCACCAUAUAGCUAGUGGCAAAUUUUCAUUAUAUAUAACUUGGCUUGUAUAUUCCAAUGAUAGGCUUCCUCAAAAUUGCCUUAGGUCUUCGUGAGCAAGCAAGUUGGAUGCAGAGCUUUCACAUACUCCUAGCUCUAAUGCAUCAUUUGUAUGGCAAUCCCUACUCAUUCACGUUGAUAUCUAUUGAUGAGCAUCUCCAUAGCUCAUUGAUAUGCCUAGUCAAUGUGACCACCUUCUCCUUGUUUGGCUUGAGACCUCCACCACACUCCACACCACUUAUAGUGCUAAAACCAUGGCUCACACUCAUGUAUUGCGUGAGAGUUGAAAAGGUUUGAGAAAGUAAAGGUGUGAAAACAAUUACUUGGCCAAUACCGGGGUUGUGCAUGAUUUAAAUUCGUUGUGCAAUGAUGAUAGAGCAUAGCCAGACUAUAUGAUUUUAUAGGGUUAAUUUUCUUUCGGCCUUGUUAUUUUGAAAGUUCAUGAUUACUUUUCUAGUUUGCUUGAAGUAUUAUUGUUUCCACGUCAAUAGAAAACUAUUGUUUUGAAUCUAAUGGAUCUGAACAUUCACGUCACAUAAGAGGAGUUACAAAGGACAUCUAUGCUAGGUAGCAUGAAAGCAUCAAAAAUUCAUUUUUUAUCACUUCCCUACUCGAGGACGAGCAGGAGUUAAGCUUGGUGAUGCUUGAUAUGUCUCAAACGUAUCUAUAUUUUUUUAUGGUUUCACGUUGUUAUCUUGUCAACUUUGGAUGUUUUGUUUACCUUUUAUAUCUUUUUUGGGACUAACUUAUUAACUCAGUGCCAAGCGCCAGUUCCUGUUUUUUCUGUGUUUUUGACUCUUUUCAUAUCUGAUUUUGGAAUGGAGUCCAAACGGAAUAAUUCUUUCGCGAUGAUUUUUUAUGGAAAAUAUCAAAAAUACCGGAAGAAAAAGAUACCGGAGGGGGGCCAAGAGGGCGCCACAAGCCCUGUCGCCGCCCCCCUAGGUCGCGCCAAUCAAGCUUGUGGGACCCUCGGGGGCCCACUUGAUGCAACUCCACCGCCAUAUGGUCCUAUAAAUUCAUAAACCUCUAGAAAGAAACCUAGAGCGGGAGUUCCGCCGCCGCAAGUUCCUGUUUCCGCGAGAUCUCAUCUGGAGACCCUUCCCGGUGCCCUGUCGGAGGGGACUUUGGAGUUGGAGGGCCUCUUCAUCAACAUCACCGCCCCUCCAAUGACUCGUGAGUAGUUUACUUCAGACCUACGGGUCCGUAUUUAGUAGCUAGAUGGCUUCUUCUCUCUCUUGGAUCUUCAAUACGAAGUUCUCCAUGAUCUUCAUGGAGAUCUAUCCGUUGUAAUCCUCUUUGGUGGUGUGUUUGUCGAGAUCCGAUGAAUUGUGGAUUUGUGAUCAGAUUAUCUAUGAUAUAUAUUUGAGUCUUUGCUGAUUUCUAAUAUGCAUGAUUUGAUAUCCUUGUAAGUCUCUUCGAGUCUUGGGUUUUGUUUGGCCGACUAGAUCUAUGAUUCUUGCAAUGGAGAAGUGCUUGGUUUUGGGUUCUUACCGUGUGGUGACCUUUCCCAGUGAUAGUAGGGGCAGCAAGGCACACAUCAUGUAGUUGCCAUCAAGGGUAACAAGGUGGACUUUGUCGUAGAUAUGAGAUUGUCCAUCUACAUCAUGUCAUCUUGCUUAAGGCGUUACUCUGUUCUUUUGGACUUAAUACACUAGAUGCAUGCUGGAUAGCGGUCGACGUGUGGAGUAAUAGUAGUAGAUGCAGAAAGUAUCGGUCUACUUGUUUUGGACGUGAGGCCUAUAGAUAUAAUCAGUGCCAUAGUUAUUGUCACGACUUUGCGCGGUUCUAUCAAUUGCUCGACAGUAAUUCGUUCACCCACCGUCUACUUGCUUUCAUGAGAGAAGCCACUAGUAAACACUACGGCCCCCGGGUCUAUUCACACCCAUCGUUUACACCUCCGCUUUUACUUUGCUUUGUUACUUUGUUGCUUUCAGUUCUCACUUGGCAAACAAUCUAUAAGGGAUUGACAACCCCUUCAUAUCGUUGGGAGCAAGCUCUUUGUGUUUGUGCGAGCACUUGUGAUACUCCUUCACUGGAUCGAUACCUUGGUUCUCAAAACUGAGGGAAAUACUUACCACCGCUGUGCUACAUCACCCUUUCUGCUUCGAGGGAACACCAACGCAAGGCUCCAAGGCCACGGGGGAAUCCUUUGCAUAUUUGCCUAGAAAGUCCCUAAGGUGUAGCCACUGCAGCAGGAUUCCUGGCGCCGUACCAGGGAAGGUCUAUUGUCGCAGUAGCACAUCCCAUGUUCACCCAUCAUGCCAACUCAUCUGAGUUAGAUCAUCAUUCAUACUGCCACCAUACCCCCCCCCACACACACACACUUGGUUUAUACGAAAACUCCUAGACGUAGUUUAAGCAGCACCAUCCAAAUUCCCUCGACUACGGACAUGGAUAUUCGAAUAGUUUUACACUCUGCGGAGUUUGCACAAUUUACCCACAAGAUUUGGGAAACUACCUUGUCAGCACAUGACUCACGGUAUUUAUCAUACCCGAGGUAAGUACCCGAAUAUCACAUUUCCCAUGAUGAUACUAUCAAGGAGUCCACUCGUUGGUGACGGUCCAUCGUGAUGUACAUCACACGUACCAUCCACGACGACACGCAACAGUGUGCCCGAUGUCUCUAAAAAUAGCCCACGAUCAUCCUUUAUCCUGGCACGGCCCCGUCCCGAGAGUGACCACGUCAUUCCCGCCACUAGUAAUGCAAGCUCUCUACUAGCCCCGACCAUAGUAAUCAGCACAGCUCCAUCUCAUAAGGGGUGUUGUGGUAGUACAUGUAAGGUUGGGAUGGUCGACAAAUCUUAAAUCUAAUCCAGUUUUUAGAAAACCCACUCACACAACUCGCAUCGUUAUACCACUCUCUCAUCAAGUGCUUACCUAGCUCAACACAUCACCCUCCAGCAUUAGUGGCACCGGAUGGGGUUCUCAUAAAACAAUUGAAAUCACCUCCUUUUACCGUCUCCAUGCAUGCACCCAAUUCCAUGCAUAGCACUACCAACAACCUAACUACUUCCCACCCGCACAACCCUCAUAGGAAGCUAGGGUCAUGCCCAGGUGCAAGUAGCAACAAGGAGUUUCCAAAGACAACCCAUUAACAUGGUCACCUACUCAAUAUGAUUCAAUGCAUCAGAAUGAAGUGCAAAUUGACAUGCACAAAAGUAGUUUCUUAGACAUGGUCAAAGGGAUGCUUGCCCGACUUAGCAAAUUCUUCGAGAUCUUCAUGAGCUUCUCGUCCACUCCGAGCAGCUUGCCUACUUGGUCAACUAUCGUCGGAAACAACCACGAUAAGCCACACCACAAGCAGAAACACAAAGUGCUCAAUAAAUAGGAGUCUUAUUUUUCUUGGACAUCUCUGGUCAUGAGAGAAAUCCCUAAGCUUGUUCUAAGAGAUUUGGAUCACCGGAGAAUUUUGAAUGGUGGAAAAGUAGGAAUUGGUGAUCCUAUAAGAAGUCUACAGAAAACAUUUUUAUAAACAGGAGCGGAUGUGCCCACCAAACAGGGCACGAUUUUCAAAACAUUUAGGAAGUGCUUUCAUUGGAUUUGGAGUUGGUAUGAAUUACCUAUGGAUUUACUAAGAUGGAUUAAGUGGAAACACGUGCUAAUAAUCUGUCCUAUCAAAAAUAAUCUGUCCUAUCACUCCGGAGCCCGGGCUCACAUGAGCCCGGUGACAAGUAACAUGGUUAAAAAUGGAAAAACAGUUCAAAAAAUUCAAAAACAAAUUGUGGUGUAUAUGUUCUAGUGCGUGAACUCCGUGCAAAAUUUUGGAAAGUUUGGACAUUCUAAGAGCUCCCGGCAAAAAAGACAAAUCACACAUGAAUAGUGUAAUUUUCAAUAGUUUUUCAAACAUCCAAAAUUUGUCUUUUUUACCACAAGAUCCUUGAAUGUCCAAACAUCACAAAAUUUUGCACGGAGUUUGUGCACAGGAGCAUAUUGCACUACAAAAAAAUUGAUUUUUUUGAACCAUUUUUAAGUUAAAAUCAUGGGUAUUGUUCACGCCCGGCCUCAUCUGAGCCCGGGCACCAAAAUUCCACUUUGAAAAAUGUUCACCUUGGCUACAAAAAUAGAGAAUGAUUUUAGAGUCAUCUAGAAAUUGGAAUCACUCCAUUUAGAGUUGAUUUGGAUGUUGUAUGAAUUUUAUAAAGUGGGGUUGUAAUAAAUCAAAUUUUAAUUUGAAUUUGAUCUCUAUAGAAAAUGGUUCUAGAAAAAUUUGCAAUCCGCAUAUAUCGAUAGGCCUUGAUUUUAGAAACUCCUAGAAAUUUGGAUCAGUUAAUUUGGAGAUCAUAUGAUUUAAAUAUGAAUUAUAUGAGCUUUCAAAAAAAGUAGGGUAUACCAGAGGGCUAUAACGCACCCACGGCGCCUGGUAGGCAACUUGGCCUGCCCACCAGCUCGAGCCAUGUGCGAACGAGGCCACGCUGAAGGUGCCUUCCUAGAAGACGCUUUCUUCGUAGGGAGGCACGGUCUAGGCGGAGGCGCGACCACUUAAAAAGGGGCCCCAGAUCUUAGCGAUUUACUCACGGGCCCCGCUAUCAGAUCCACCCCUACCUCCUGCCAGAGCCGGGGAGAGGCGGGGGGGCUUGACCGAGCACGCGCCGACGCCCGCCCCGCGGAUCCAGCUGCCUCCGGCGGCCCUACGGACACUGUUGCGCCUGGGGGCGGCCUGACGCACCCGCUAGGGUGUCUCCUGGCCCCGGGGAUGGUAUGGGACGACCAUGGCUCCGUCCAUGGGGGAGAAAAGUGACGGCGGAGCUGGGCGUUGAGGAGCGGCCAUCGGGAGGAGGAAAAUGGGCCACGGGGAGGAGGGAGGAGGCAUUGGAGGGUCCACGCGAGUCUUCUAGGAGAGAAGGGGCUAGGGGAAGCUCGAAUGUGAGCGAGGCCGUGGCGGCGCUAGGGAGGCCUUGGGAUAAGGAGGAGAGGGUGGGAGCCCAGCGGCUUCACACACGAGCUCCAUGGGAAAGAGAUGGGUGUAUCGGGCGGUCGAGGGGGCUCGGGAGAAGGAUAAAGCAAGAGGGGGCGAUGGGUGAGCUCAAGAGCGCCUCGGGAGCUCUCGGCACGGCGGGACACGCGGCCUGAGGAGCUUUGGAGGCAAGAUGGUGUUGGGGAGCAGCGUGGGAGGUUGAAAGGAGAUGCUAGGCGCGUGAGGACAACUUUCGACAUAUUGCCACGGGCUACAUGAUGAGUACAAGUGGCAGAGCGCCAAUUCUGCAUGCCAGCAGGGUGGACACCACGACCACUCAUGUCUACAUUAACAUUUUGGUCAGUCAAAGAUGGCUGGCAUGCAAGGCAUCCGUGCAGGGGAGUGAUGAUGGAGUUUGGUCUCAUCUAGGAUGGUGUAGGUGGGGUUUAAUCUCUGUUUAAGUUUGUAGAAUCAAACUUGGGGCUAGCAUAAAGUGUUUUUACUGGGAGGCAUUUUAAAAGAAACCUUGUAUAGUAGUCAUAGGCAUGGAGAAACUACAAGACUACCAAAUUUCAGCUUAGGGAGAGGGGUAUAGCUCACACUUGUAGUUCAAAGCUUCGUUUGUGCCAAAAAUCAAGUUUUAGAAGGGCUACUCAUAUUUUCCACAUGAGCAUCUAAUAUGUUUGUUUGAAAUGGUGCAUUAGCACAUUAUAGGUGAUGUGAAAACAAUUGGGAGCAUUUGCAUGAACAGAAUUAAUGAAACACGGGUAAACGAGGUGUUGCCUUGGUGAAAAGGAGAGGAAAAGAGAGGGAGUUACCCUCCAAUAAUUGAUUAGGGGCCUUGGCGAAGUUACUAAAGGUGGUAGAGGGCUAGAAAAUGUUGUGGUAAAAAUUUGAGCUCAAGGAGAAUAUUAGAAGCACUACUGGAAUUUAGAAUUUUGUCGUCUGCCAUGGCGGACGGCAAAAGGGGGGAACAACGGACGGCAAAGGCUUUGCCGUCCGUCAGCAGAUGGCAAAAAAAAUCUGGUGAAGAGGUUAUUUGCCGUCCGCUUUUGCAAAGCAGACGGCAAAGAAUCUUUGCCAUGAGGGGGCAGACGGCAAAUUAAAUGGGACGGCAGAUCCACCAACGGUCCCGUUAAGUGUUAACGGCAAGCCUCCCCUCUUUGCCAUCAGCCCUCCCCCCUUUGACAUGAGGGGGCUGACGGCAAAGGGGGGAACCAGCCCCUCUCUCUCCCCUUUUUGUCGUCUUCCCUCCCCCUUUUGCCAUGAGAGGGCUGACGGCAAAGGGGAGAACCGGCCCCUCUCUCUCCCCUCUUUGCCGUAUGCCCUCCCCCCUUUGCCAUGAGGUGGCUGACGGCAAAGGGGGGAACCAGCCCCUCUCUCACCCCUCUUUGCCGUCUUCCCUCCCCCUUUGCCAUGAGGGGGCAGACGGCAAAGGGGGGAACCAGCCCCUCUCUCUCCCCUCUUUGCCGUCUGCUCUCCACCCUUUGCCAUGAGGGGGCAGACGGCAAAGGCUGAAAACAACCCCUUUUUAUUUUAUUUCUUAUUAUAUCUAGCAAGUUUCACAAUAAUCAGGAUAUAUAUAUAUAUAUAUAUAUUUCACAAAAAUAAAUUUGUUUCCGUACUCAUAAGCAUAUUAAAAUAACUUUCAUCCAUAGUACAUACAUAUUAUGCAAGUUGCAUCCGUACCAAACCAUAUAUUACACCAGUUUCAUCCACAUGCAUACAAAGUUUCAUAUAUAUCCAUAUACUACAAUAGUUUCAAUACAAGCUUCCGUGAAGCCAUGGUACAAGAAAUCAUAUUCAAGCAUUCCAUCAAUAUAAUCCAAGCUCCCGUGAAGUGAAUGUAAUCUGCAAAGUGACAAAUAAGAAAGUUAGAAGAAGAAUACUAGAUGAAGAAGUAUAUAUAGGUUAUUUCAGAGAGAACUUAACUAAGUAUAGGCCAUUUAAUAGCUAAGUUAGGUGGAAUAGUUCAUCUUGUAGCUACAUAGCCUUAUUAUGUCAUUUAGGAAAGAACUUAGCUAAGUAUAGGUCAUUCUAGAGCUAACUUGGAUAUAAUAUGUCAUUUUGUAACCAACUAUGAUUAUUAAUCCAUUUUGACCUUAUUAUGUCAUUUUGGAGCUAAAUUAGUCAUUUUAAUGAGCUAACCAACGUUCUUAUGAUGUUUUUACCUAACUAUGUUAAUUAUGUCAUUUUGCAGGAUAAUUAGCUAAUUAUGUCAUUUUGUAGGAUAAUUAGAUAAUUUAGUCUUUGUUGGAUGAGUCUAACUUAAGUAGAAGAAGAGAAAGAGAAGAAGCAAGAACGGAAGAAGAAGUAAAAGAAGAAGAAGAAGGAGGAGGAGGAGGAGAAGGAGAAGGAAGAGGAGAAGAAGAAGAAAAGAAGAAGGACAAGAAGAAGGAGAAGAAGGAGGAGAAGAAGGAGAAGGAGCAUCUCUCCUUCUUCUCCUUCUUCCUCCUUCUCCUUCUCCUUCUUCUUCUCUUCUUCUUCUUCUCUUCUUAUUCUUCUUCCUUCUUUUCAUUUUUCCUCUUUCUUCUCCUCUUGUCCCCUUCAUCGGGCUAAAUUAGCUAAGAAUGCCUUUUUGGAGCUAAUUAUGUCAUUUCGAGGAAAUUAUCUAAGUAUAGGUCAUGUUUUAUUAAAUAGACCAUUUUGGAGCUAAGUAAGCUAAUUAUGUCAUUUAGGUGGAAGCCUAGCUAACUAUAGGUCAUUUCGGAGCUAACUUGGGUAAAAUAGGUCAUUUCGGAGCAAACUAUGCUUAUUAAGCCAUUUUGGAUCUAGCUAAGCUAAUUAUAGGCCAUUUAAUACCUAAGUUAGGGGGAAUAGGUCAUCUUGGAGCUAUGUAAGCCUUAUUAUGUUAUUUAGGAGAGAACUUAGCUAAUUAUAGGUCAUUUUUUAUUAAAUAGGUCAUUUUGGAGCUAACUAAGCUAAUUAUGUCAUUUAGCUGGAAGCCUAGCUAACUAUAGGUCGUUUUGGAGCUCACUUGGGUUAAAUAUGUCAUUUAGGAGCUAACUAUGCUUAUUAAGCCAUAUUGAAGCUAAAUUGGCUAAUUAUAUCAUUUAGGUGGAAGACAAGCUAAGUAUAUAAUAUUCAUGAGCUAACCAAGGUUCUUAUGCCAUUUUGAGCUUAUUAUUUCAUUUUUAGCUAAAUUGGUAAUUUUAAUGAGCUAACCAAGGUUCUUAUGAUGUUUUCAACUUACUAAGCUAAUUAUGUCAUUUUGUAGGAUAAUUAGCCAAUUUAGUCUUUGUUGGAUGAGUCUAAGCUACGUAGAAGAAGAGAAAGAGAAGAAGCAAGAAGAGAAGAAGAAGUAAAAGAAGAAGGAGGAGGAGGAGGAGGAGGAGAAGGAGAAGGAAGAGGAGAAGCAGAAGAAAACAAGAAGGACAAGAAGAAGGAGAAGAAUGAGAAGGAGCUUCUCUCCUCCUUCUCCUUCUUCUCCUUCUUCUUCCUCCUUCUCCUUCUCCUUCUUCUUCUCUUCUUUUUCGUCUCUUCUUCUUCUCUUCGUCUUCCUGCUUUUUAUUUUUCCUCUUUCUUCUCCUCUUGUCCCCUUCUUCGGGCUAAAUUAGCUAACAAUGCCUUUUUCGAGCUAAUUAUGUCAUUUCGAGGAUAAUUAGCUAAGUAUAGGUCAUGUUUUAUUAAAUAGACCAUUUUGGAGCUAACUAAGCUAAUUAUGUCAUUUAGGUGGAAGCCUAGCUAACUAUAGGUCAUUUCGGAGCUAACUUGGGUAAAAUGUGUCAUUCCGGAGCAAACUAUGCUUAUUAAGCCAUUUUGGAUCUAGCUAAGCUAAUUAUAGGCCAUUUAAUACCUAAGUUAUGGGGAAUAGGUCAUCUUGGAGCUAAGUUAGCCUUAUUAUGUCAUUUAGGAGAGAACUUAGCUAAGUAUAGGUCAUUUUUUAUUAAAUAGGUCAUUUUGGAGCUAACUAAGCUAAUUAUGUCAUUUAGGUGGAAGCCUAGCUAACUAUAUGUCGUUUCGGAGCUAACUUGGGUUAAAUAUGUCAUUUUGGAGGAUAAUUAGCUAAGAAUGCCUUUUCGGAGCUAAUUAUGUCAUUCCGAGGCUAAUUAGCUAAGUAUAGGUCAUGUUUUAUUAAAUAGACCAUUUUGGAGCUAACUAAGCUAAUUAUGUAAUUUAGGUGGAAGCCUAGUUAACUAUAGGUCAUUUCGGAACUAACUUGGGUAAAAUAGGUCAUUCCGGAGCAAACUAUGCUUAUUAAGCCAUUUUUGAUCGAGCUAAGCUAAUUAUAAGCCAUUUAAUACCUAAGUUAGGGGGAAUAGGUCAUCUUGGAGCUACCUAAGCCUUAUUAUGUCAUUUAGGAGAGAACUUAACUAAGUAUAUGUCAUUUUUAUUAAAACACUAGAAAUAACAUACCAUUAUCGUCAUCACGGCGGUGAAGCACGGUGGCUCUAGCUUGUUUCACCUGGAGAAGGAUGCCCUGGAGAAGGCUCCACUGUAGAAGGGUCGUGCGAUGCGUUUCGGGAGAUAUUCUGCACCAAACAUCGUUUGCAAUGUGUUGUUAGCAUGAGGACACUCUUAAGAUCAUUGCACUGAAAUGGAACUCACCGUCCCUGCCAUGUUAAUGACUGGCAUCGCCAGAGGGACUUGGCCGGUCUUCUCGCACAUAGACUGUACAUUUGGUUUCGACAAGUCAAACUUUUUAGUUAUUAAUGAAACGGACAUUAAAAUGCAAGAUUUGAAAUAAUAUGAAGAAGAAAUUUACCACGAAGAGCUCGUAUAUGGCCCUGUUAGACGCAUCAUUCCGUGCCCUCUCCGCCUCCACCAAUGCAGUCGUCCUCUCCUCCAGCUCCCUCAUCUCCUUAUCCUUCUCCGCCAUAACCACCUGCAUUGCCUCUCUCUCUCUCUUUCAGAAUAGCAGCCUCCAAUAUAACUCAUUGUUAGCAUUGUAAUCAUAUUGGUUCCAACGCACAACAUAAUGCGGAAAGAUAGUUGAGUCCAUUAAACUAACCUCGAUGGCGAGCUAGACUGGCCAUGGACGAGGUGUUAUCUCCGGACAGGAGCUCGUUUAGCGUGCCUUUAUCUGCGGGAGAGUGCUAGGACAACGUAUAAGGUCAUCUCCAAUGGCGAUCGAGCCAUGGGGCCUCCCAUUGCCAGCUAUCAUCACCAGCUCUGGAUCAAUAGGCCCCUCGCUCGGGUUAAACUCCUCCCCUUUCUCGCCUUCUUGUGAUCUCUGUACUUCACGAGCUUGUGGUGGGAGGAGAUGUUGGUGAAGUUUUGUGGAUGCUCGAGGUCAGACUCAGAGAAUGCCUUGACCUUCUUAUACGAGGCAGUAUGGGCCAUCGCAUACAGGUCGUACAUCUGUGGCACCUCCGUCUUAUUGUGACGCGCCUAAAAGAGAGAGAGAGGAAAAUUGUAUUAGUAAAGGGCUCAAGAUAGCAUUAAGAAUGAAUUGCAUGAGGCAUGAAGCAAACCACAUACCCAGUUCUCGCCAAAUUGGAUUAAGUUGACACUCCCUUGAUGGUGUGGCACACCAACCAUUUUGCCAUGCCUCUCCUUGGCGUUGUUGUGGCUGGCCUCCCACGUUUCGGAGCACCAGUGAUCCACCAAGGCCUCCCAACAAUCCAUCUUAUCCACACACCAUCUCGGGGGCACCUAAGUUAAUAAAGAGAAAUUUGAGCGCGUAAGAACCAAAUCAAGGAAACUAACUACAAAGCCUUAAUAAUAUGUAAUUACCUUCAUGUAAUGCUCCUUCUCCAUCUUAGAAUCACGGCACUUCGCCUUAUCCUUCCUAAUACGCCGCGUGGCAUAGUAGUCUCGAACAGCCUGCACCCGAGCCUCGUGCCGAAAGUUUUGAAGUAGGCGGCGACAUUCGGUUUCGAUAACCUUUGCCGCGUCCUCCUCGUAUCCCUCCUCACACGUGUAGUAGGUAUGCAAACGAGACAACACCGGUUAGUACAAUAACUAGUUAUGGUUUAUUUAUAAUUUUGUGAAGGACAAAUUACCCAGAACUGUCGGAUCACCAUGUCGGCCCUCGUGUGGCACAAAACACCGUUGAUCUCCACCUCCGGCGGGGCCGGGGCACCCAAGUAGUGCUCCCAGGUCAUUCCUACCUCUCGCUCCCGACCGGGCAACGUAACAAACCCUGGGAAGUUUUGACGGCAAAGCACACCAAGGACGCUGUUGGGCUUGCGGACACCCUUGGCAACAAUCCAACCCCUACGGUAUGACAAAUUAAAGCCAAAACAUUAGACAUUUGAGAAAACGUGAAGGGAAAAGGUUAAAUAAGAGUAAAUUAACUUAGUUGUCCCCAUUUCGCUUAAUCGACCACCUCUGCUUGCGGGUCGCCGGCACGAGCGGGAGCCCCGAACUACCAAGCUGGUAGACGGUAGCCCCCUCACCCAGCUCCUCGUCGCUACCAGCAUGGCCACUUGGCUCAGCCCAGGUAUCCCACUGGGUCACUGGGGAUGUACCAUCAUCCCUGCUUUGCUCCGGAGUCGCGUGGAACGAAGCCUCUGGGACACGAGUCGACCCGAGGCUCGUGAGCCGGAGACAAUGUAGCCUCCACCUCAGACGAAUCCACCCUAGAAAUCCUGUGCUCAGAUGAAUCAGCUUGGGUUGGUGGCGGAGACCGUGUAGCCUCCACCUCAGAAGGCGUGGCAGCCACCGCCUUACCUCUCCCGCUGCCACGUGUACCUUUAGUACAACACAAAUACCAACAUGAGUAAUAAAAUGUAUAUAAAUACCAAUAUGCAUACAACAUGAGUACAACAUAAAUACCAACAUGAAUACAACGUGUACCUUUAGUACCUCUCGGCUGCGCGGGGGGUCGACCUCCUCUCAAGGGGGGCGCUCCUUGCUGAGUAGAGAGCAACGCUCUCCGAAGAGGCGAGGCAGGAAUGGAAGUACCCAUCCCAUCACCUGCCGGCAAAGAAGGAGCCACAGAGUUCUUUCGACCCUUUCCCACCAUCUUUCGACACCUGUCAUGACAAAGAGUAAAUGAAAUUAGUACAACAUAAAUACCAACAUGAGUAAUAAAAUGUAUAUAAUUUAAGUGUAUCAUCGUCAUAAAUACCAACAUGNNNNNNNNNNNNNNNNNNNNNNNNNNNNNNNNNNNNNNNNNNNNNNNNNNNNNNNNNNNNNNNNNNNNNNNNNNNNNNNNNNNNNNNNNNNNNNNNNNNNNNNNNNNNNNNNNNNNNNNNNNNNNNNNNNNNNNNNNNNAUAAAUACCAACAUGACUAAUAAAAAUUGGAUACCUAACAUGAACUCAAAAUUUAUAUAUAGUAAUACUUGAAUACCUGACAUGAACUAAUAACAAUCGUGCUCGUCUAUAUAUGCUUCGGAGUCAAUAAAUGCAUCAUGAUCAUCACNNCAAUAAAUGCAUGAAAUCAUCAUCACUAUCAGGAAGAACAUGAGGAAGGCCACCAUUAUGUAAUCGGUCAAGAAGUGACAGGUCAUCCGCAGCAGUAACCUCUUCUUCUUCUAGCUCUUCCUGUUCGGGCUCAAGGGUUAAGACGGAUUCACUGUCGCUGUCUACUUCAAUGUUUUGGGGUGAAGUAGAGCGGNNNNNNNNNNNNNNNNNNNNNNNNNNNNNNNNNNNNNNNNNNNNNNNNNNNNNNNNNNNNNNNNNNNNNNNNNNNNNNNNNNNNNNNNNNNNNNNNNNNNNNNNNNNNNNNNNNNNNNNNNNNNNNNNNNNNNNNNNNNNNNNNNNUGGCGGUUCUUGAAACGUUUCUUGGACAUACGUGUUUCUUGGAAGAAUUCUCCUUCAUAUGUGUCUCAGUUAAUGUGAGGUUCGUAAUCCUCUUCAUUGAGGUUAGGUGGUCUAAAAUGUGGUGGCACUUCAUAAACGACAUCCCAACCUUUGAGAUUUGGAUCAGUUUGGCAGGCCCACGGUAGAUUAAAAAACUUGUGUCGCCUGUUGAGCCGUAAUAUAGACAUCGGGAACAUCUAAGUCGGUGUAUUGGUUGAUUUCGACUAGUACUAUAUGUUCAUGAGUCCUUCUAGUCUCCCUCAGCUCAAACCAAUAACAUUUGAAGACUACGACGGUCGGUGGGUUUUCACCAUAGAAUAGAACUUCAUAAAUUGCUUCAACUCUUCCAUAACACUCGAUGCCUCCUUCGUCGAUAACAGAGACAGAACAAUUUGUAGUCUUUAGGUCGGGCAUAGAUAGCUCUUUGCCAAAGGUACGAAAGUGAUACCCGUUGAUGUGGUAUUUGUCAAAUGAACGGACCAUAUAGUCAAAACCAUUAGCGACUUGUCUCAACUCGGCGUCCAUAGACUCUGCAUCAGCCUACAAGUUUAAAACGAAAGAAUGGAUGUAUUAGCCGCAAAUUAGACCAAGAAAUCAAAUGGUCCCUUAAUGGUAAUUAACUACCCUUUGUUUGAACCAAGAGAUGAAACCGGGAUAGUCGCAUCCAUGCUUUGCGAGAAGCUCAUACUCUUUGACGGAAUCCUUUUCGACAACCGCUCCAUCCGAGAAUUCGGCGACGUAUCAACUAUAUCAAAUAUCCGGGAAUAAGAGUAGUUCAAAGCAAUUAGAAGUUGCGGAACAAUAAUUUACCGAGAACUUACUCGAUGUACGGCCGCACUUCUGUUAGGUUAGUGAAGAUAUACAAUGAAAUGGUCCGCCAUUCUUCGACAUCCAACGAUUUCCCUUUCGAAGCACUGGAUGGUGCGAGCUUACCUUUGAUUAGGCUGAGGUUGGAUCGAACUUUUUUUGGAUCGCCAUCAUUGUACCGAGGCUUCAGGUUAUGCAAAUGAUGAUUUUUGGCUUCGUAGUGUGCUUCCAUGAAGUUUGCCGCCUCCUUAGUAAUGAAUGCCUCAGCCAUCGAUGCUUCAAUUCUAUGUUUAUUUGUACACUUAGCUUGAAGCGUCUUCUGCAUCCUCUCAGUUGAGUAGCACCAUCGAUUUUGAACGGGCCCCCCAUUCUUGCCUCGAUCGAGAGAUGCAAAAUCAAAUGUUGCAUUGGAUUAAAGAAGCCCAGUGGAAACAUCUUUUCUAAUUUGCAGAUCAACUCCGCCACCAACUCUUCCAUUUCAUCUAGCACGCCAGGCGAUAGUUCUUACACACAAAGAGAACGGAAGAAAUAGCUCAUCUCUGUCAGUACUAGCCAUUCAUCCUCAGGGAUAAAGCCACGCAACAUCACCGGCAUUACCCGCUCAAUCCAUAUGUGCCAAUCAUGACUCUUGAGACCAAAUAUUUUCAAUUUCUCAAGACUCGCUCCCCUCUUUAGAUUCGCAGCAUACCCAUCGCGGAACAUCAACCGCAUUUUCACCCACAAUAGCAUUUCCCUCAUAGCUGGCCUUUCAAGAUUGAACCAUGCCUUUGGCUUCGCUAUGCUUUGCUUUCCUUUCCGUUGUCGCAAGUUUUGCAACGGUCUAUCACAUAGAGCCUCCAGGUCGAUUCUAGCCUUAGGAUUAUCUUUGACUUCCCCUCUAUGCCGAACAAUGUACCAAAAAUGGCCUCCGCAAUAUUCUUUUCGGUGUGCAUCACGUCGAUGUUGUGUGGGCAAAGGAGGUCUUUGAAGUAUGGAAGAUCCCAUAAGCAUGACUUGUGAGUCCAGGCGUGUUCCGUAUUAUACCCUUUGAAGUAUCCUAGAUGCAAAGGAUCAGGCUCGAGAGCGUUUAACUGAUCAAGGGUCUGUUGGCCUGUCAACGCAGCUGGUGCAGUGUUUUUGACAACUCUAGCUUUGAUGAAAUUCUUCUUGUCUUUUCUGAACUUAUGGACAGGAUCCAGGAAUUGUCUAUGCAUGUCGAAGCAAGAAAACUUGCGACCAGCCUGCAGCCAAUGAAACUGAAGAGCUGCCUUGCAUGUGGCGCACGGGAACCUUCCAUGCACACACCAGCCAGCGAAUAGCGCAAAUGCCGGAUAAUCAUGCGUCGAGUACAUGAACCACACAUGCACUUUGAAAUUUGUUUUCGUAGCCGCGUCGUAGGUCUUGAUCCCAUUAUCCCAGGCUUCUUGCAACUCAUCCUUAAGCGGCUGCAUGUACACAUUCAUAUUCUUCCCCGGAUAGUUGGGCCCUGGAAUUUUCAACGUCAGGAAAAUGUUCUUUCUUUUCAUAAUCUCUCCGGGUGGCAAAUUGAGUGGAAUGACAAAUACAGGCCAACAACUCUAUUGUGUUGCUGUCAUACCAUACACAUUGAACCCAUCCGUGUUGAUGGCAACUCCAGGUUGCCUUGGAUCUUACGAUUUAUCCUUAUGUAAUGCAUCAAAGUGCCUCCACGCAAAACCAUCUGAAGUGCGUACCAUCAUCUUGUUCCCAUCCGCAUCUAGUUCGGUUCUUUUGCCCAAUUUGUGCCAUGUCAUCUGUUUGGCCAUCUUUUCAACCAUGAAAAGACGUUGAAGUCUUGGUAUGAUUGGCAGAUACCGAAGAACACUAAUGGGGAUUUUGGUCUGAUUCUUCUCACCCAUACCAUUGUCUACCACAAUAUACCUGGAAGAAUUGCAAAUGGGGCAAUAGUUCAAGGCCGCAUACUCAAGCCUAAAUAAGGCACAUCCAUUCUCACAGGCAUGUAUCUUCUCAUAGGGCAUCUUAAGUACACGGAGGAUUUUAUCUGACUGGUACAGGUUUGCAGGCAGUACAUGGCCUUUGGGUAGAGAGCGUCCAAAUAUCGUCAUCAUCGCGUCGUAGCAUUCUCUGCCUAGGUUGAAUUGAGCCUUCAGAGCCAUUACUUGCGCAAUGGAAUCCAGCUGACAAAGCUUAGUCUACUCAUGGAGAGGACGUUUUGAAGACUCCAACAUUUCAUAGAAGGCCUUUGCAGAUUCCUCCAUCUCAUCGUCCGAAUCCCGAGCAUCAUCAAAGUCUUGCACCAUGUCUUCAAUCUCGGUACCAUGCUCGUCGGUGCGACGACGAAUCACCUCAGCUGUGGCACGUUGGUCAGACACACCAUGAAAAGUCCACACCGUAUAAUUAGGCGUAAAACCCCACUUCUGCAGGUGUUUACCCAUUUCAAACAGUGUCUUCUUUUUCCAGUUGUCGCAUUUGGGACAGGGGCACCAUGUUUUUUGCUGGCCAUUUGCAAAUGCGGCUCUCACAAACCCCCUGGGUUUUGUUAACCAUUCAUGGGUCAUGUCUUUCUGACUAGGGUGACCAUUGUACAUCCAAGCACGAUCACUCAUGUUGCCUAGCUACCUAUGGGCACAAAAGAAAUAAAUAUAUAAUUCAUCAUCUAUAUUCAUAUGCUAAUCAAGUUUGUCAGUUUUAUUAUGUCCAUGCAACCUACACGCUAAUAGGUAAAGAUAGGUCCUAAUCCCAUCCGAGUAUGUGUAGAUUGGGUUCGUUUUCCCAUGCUCUGCUCCAGAUGCGACGCAGAAUUUCGGCAGCACCUCCCCGUUGUUCCCCUGAUACACGUCUCGACAAUAAGCAGAGAGGAUGUGUACCCGGAGAACAACAGGGAGGCACUAACGAAAUUCUGUAUCGGAUCCAGAGCACAACAUACGGGAAAACGAACCCAAUCUACACAUACUCGGNNNNNNNNNNNNNNNNNNNNNNNNNNNNNNNNNNNNNNNNNNNNNNNNNNNNNNNNNNNNNNNNNNNNNNNNNNNNNNNNNNNNNNNNNNNNNNNNNNNNNNNNNNNNNNNNNNNNNNNNNNNNNNNNNNNNNNNNNAUCUACACAUACUCGGGUUGUCCAUGGAUAAUGUUGGACAAUUCGAAAGGAUGACGGUUAUAAAUAUGCAAAGAAAUGCAUAUUUGUAGAUGUCACCCUUUCGAACGGGAGACGCAUACUGGUCACGCAUACUCAUGACUGAAGAAACCUAUAGCUAGCAAGUUUUAUCGGCACGAAGACCGGGACAGAGCAAAUUAAGGGGGUAGGAGGAGAAGUCAUUUGUGCUCACCAACAAACGCAGGGGCGGAGCUCGUCCAACACACGUGGAGGUCGUCGAACAACUAGACAUUGAAAUUCACACGAUCAACACAAAUAUGAUGUUUUUAUAAUUAACAUAAUCGGAAAAAUAUAUGACCUAACUCAUAAUUUACAAAACUAUGACCCUGUGGGCCUCUAGAAGGCCGAAAAGCACCUUCUCGUUCAACAAUAAGUAGAAGAGGUGUCGGGGAUCGGGGCUUAGUGGCGUCGACGGUCGGUGGUGUCGGGUAUCGGUGGUCGGGAGUCGGGUUAAAUGCGUCGAUGGUCGGGGGUCAGUGUCGUCAGGGGUCGAGGGUCACUAGCAUUGGGGGUUGGGGUCUUUUCAAUCAACAAGAGGCCAAAGAGGUGUCAGGGGUCCGGGGUUGGGGGUUAGUAGCGUCGGGGGUCGNGGUGGCGGGAGCAGGGGGCUCCGCCGGUGGUGCUGGAGCGAGGCGGGGCGACGGCGGGGGCGAGUGAGGUGAGGGGAGAGAGAUAGUGGGGGGAGAGAGAGAAAGUGAGCGAGGGGGAGUUGACGGCCGUUAUAGGGUCGACCCCUUUGCCGUCCGCCCCCGACGGCAAAGGGCCCCAUGGCGGACGACAAAGGCCCCCGGAUGGCAAAGUUUGCCUUUCGUUGGACACGGCAGGCAUGGGACCCACCCGUCCUCUUUGUCGUCUGCCUUGGGUCUCUUUGUCGUCCGCUGGCAGACGGCAAAGGGNNNNNNNNNNNNNNNNNNNNNNNNNNNNNNNNNNNNNNNNNNNNNNNNNNNNNNNNNNNNNNNNNNNNNNNNNNNNNNNNNNNNNNNNNNNNNNNNNNNNNNNNNNNNNNNNNNNNNNNNNNNNNNNNNNNNNNNNNNNNNNNNNNNNNNNNNNNNNNNNNNNNNNNNNNNNNNNNNNNNNNNNNNNNNNNNNNNNNNNNNNNNNNNNNNNNNNNNNNNNNNNNNNNNNNNNNNNNNNNNNNNNNNNNNNNNNNNNNNNNNNNNNNNNNNNNNNNNNNNNNNNNNNNNNNNNNNNNNNNNNNNNNNNNNNNNNNNNNNNNNNNNNNNNUAGCAAAUGGAGUCCACUUGCUAUCGUAACUACAUUUCUGCCAAAAAUCAUCUAGGAUAGUGUAGGUGGGGUUUCAUCUCUGUUUAAGUUUUUAUAACCAAACUUGGGGCUAGCAUUGUAGACUUUUGGGAUUUAACAUGUUAGGUGAAAAUGAGGUUGGACACCAAAUUUGGGAUUUGUUGGAGAAAGUUUCCACUGUAGACUUGAAAAACCCUAGAAAUGGGCAGAAUUUGUUUUCUGGAUACAGAUUCAUGGAAAUUAAUUCCCACUAAUUCACCACUAGGUGUGGUGGCUUUAUUUGAGUAUUAGAUCAUGCCCAAAAUUUUUGGGAUCAAUUGGGGAAACUUUAUAAUGUAAAGUUUCCCAAUUCAAGAAAUUAGCACGAGUGGUUUUGAGGGGCUUGGGACAAGUUAUUCUAAUCUCCUUGAUGCACCACCGGGUGUGGAUGCAUUAUUAGAGUAUAAGAACGCGUCCAAAAUAUUUGAGCACAAUUGGAGACACUUGGCAAUGUAGAAUUCCUCAAAUUAGAUCCUAAGACAAACAGGGUUUUGGAAUAUUUAGGUGAACCAAAUCAACUUGGAUUAAGAUGGAACAUCGCAAGAUCAUCACAUCUAUCAUGUCUAACUUGCUAUAUUUUCUUAGAAUUUAUUGAGAAUAUUUCUUGUAGAAAUAUUUCAAAAGAUUGAAAUAGGCACAAGGGGUUUUGAAGGGUUUUGUCCAAUAUUUUGACCAUGACCACAUGUUGAAACUCUUAUAUAUGGAAUAUAUGUCCACUGAGUUUCCCUAUAUUUUCUCAAGUAUUUUACAAGCAAGAAAAAUAGUUUUCCUUCAUAAAAUACCAUUGGUGGCCUCAGAAAAGGGUAUUUAAAUAAAAUAGUAAAAUAACUUUUAAAAUAAUAUAUUUUUUGUUUUGGGAAGUCUUUUCAUAAUGGUAUUUAAACAAAAAAAAUUAGGGCAAAACAACUUCCCUAAUUUUUAGGACUUGUAACACAAAUCCCCAGCUAGGGGUUUUUGAAGGCCUAAAUUAAAUAAAUGUUUUUGGUCAAAAUAAAAUUUGGUAAAAAAUUACGUCCUAUACACAUGGUAUGGUCAUAGGGAAAAGACAUGGGCAAGGAGGUAAGUCAAGAGAGUAGGGGAAAGUUUUUUUAUUUAAAGCACGACAAUCAAACAAGCAGACAACAACCACCUUAAGCAUCACAUGCACUCACAAAUAAUUUAAUUGGACCUAAUUUCUGAUCUAUGUUAAUUUAGCCAGGAGAGUCAAAACACAGGGUGUGGCAGACCCUACCCCCUUAAGAAAAAUCUCGUCCUCGAGAUUUGCUAUGGUGGUUGCAAAAGGCUACUCCUACUAUGAUGUGCGGAAUAAUAUGAAAACGAGAUAUUUAAACAUGCGGUCCGACGUGGUUACCAUAAAAGUGUCGAUGAUUGGUGUAGCUGGGGUGUGAUUCUGGUGCCGCGAAUAAAAUAUAUGGUUGGGCAAUCGAGACAUUGCUGCUUAGGGUUAUGCCAAUUUUCGGAAAAGGAAAAUUUCCAAAUUCAAAAUAGCGCUUCUUGUACCCGGGUGCACAGAGCUCUCUGUGGCUGACAUGUGGGCCCAGGGACCACUGUGAGUCUCUUCUCCCUUCCUCUGACUCUCCUCUUCCUUCUACUUCUUGCGCGCUCCUUGCGCUUUCUCCACUUACGGCACCUAGCGCCUAGGGUGCCUAGGGUCGUACUGUUGUAGUGCGCGGCGUGCUAGUGAAAGCACAAUUGUUCCCUAAAGUGGUUUUGGUAAUUAAUCACAACAUAUGCAUCAUUGGACUAAUAAAUUUAUCCAAGUACAUUUCAGAAAAGUUCAAAGAUGCUUUGGUUAUAAGAUUGUGUGGAGAUGCCCCUUUGAUGCAAUGAAGGAAUAGGAUUGGCUAAAGCUUGAAGCAAGAAGACUCUUCAUUUAAACUUUGUGAGAAAUCACUUUGAGUCCAUAGGAAAGCCAAUNCACGAGUCCACUAACAUCACAACAAUACACCAUCGUGGAAUCAUUCCGUCUCCAUAUGGAAAUGCCGUCCACGACACUCACGCUUAUCUUGACAAUUUUAUGAGUAGCCAUUUAAGUUAUCUAUGAACAACAUAUGUCUCCAAGUAGUCCAUAUCCCAGAGGCUGGCCCCACACGUUAGUGGCUCAGGCCAGCUGAGAUCCACCGGCGGCGAGGUCGUCCUCGCCGCCGGGGAGCCUCCGGCGAGCACCAGUACGUCGGAGGGGCUCGGAAACGGCGCACAGGGGCCAAACUCGGCGCGGAGAGCACCAGAGGAACGACACUUCUCCCGCGGGUUCAUUUUUGCACUUGGCUGGGGCUGAUCUGGCCGGAGAUGACGCCGACGACGAGCUUGGCGGUGGCCAAGGUUCGGGCGUCAUCGGGGUCUUCGAUAUAGAGGGAGUUACGCACGGGACUUAGCUCCUACGGCAUCUACGCGACGGCCUGAAGCUGCUGGUGGCCUCGGAAGGACGAGCUGAUCACCGGAGGGCUACCGGCGAUGAGCUCCCGCGGCAGAUCUCGUCGGGCUCCGAUGGAACUAGGCCUAGAGGAGGGGAUCGACGGGGAGAUCUUAGGGGAAAGAUGUGCAAGCUCACGAGGAGUGCAGUGGUGGCGCUAGCUUGCUCGGGGAUGGCCUAGAGAGGAAAAACGCCGGCGACGAGCUUCGGUGACCUGAGGAAGAAGACGAAUGCGUCUCGUCGUUUCACUGCGUCUCGGCGUCGGGCUCGUGUCUAGAAAGCUUCAGGGAGUUGCGGCGGACCUAUUGCGCGGCUAAGGAGGGAGAAGGGUAGGCUAGAACGACGGCGAGCUCGAGCUCUGCUCGGGCUCCAAUGGCGGCAGAAAGAAACGAGGCAGAGGGGGAGAAUGAGCUGGGGAACAGAUAGCUACGAGCGCGGGGAGGUUAUCCCCGUGCUUGCGAGCGCGAAGCAGCGGCCAGGCAGCCAGGGAGCUGCGUGGAGGCGCGCGGCGACGCGGCGGCCACCUCCUGCUCCUACUGGCGAGGAGGAAGACGACAGAAGCAGAUCGGUCGGGCCAGGUGAGCGUGAGGUAAGGUUUUUUCUCAUUUUCUUUCUGAUUUGUUUCUGUUUUGCUAUUUCAUUAACUUGCUAUUUGUUUCAGCUCCCAAAUAGUUUGUAAAAGCUAUUUUAAACACACCAGAAUAUUUGUUGGAAUAUUUCCAACCAUUCCCAAAGUUCUCAACAUUUUUGAAAGUUUAAAGUUUCUGAUUUCAAAUUUAAAACGUGAAACCAGUAGCUUUUUGCAUUUAUUUAAAAUGCUUAAAGUGUCAAGAAAAAGGUUUUCUUCAUUGCUUAUUACUUUCAUGAUUUAUCAGAAAGAUUGAACUUUUCUUGAGGCCGUUUUGGGUUCAUUGAUUUUAACUAGUUUGAAUUUCCUUUAAUUUGAGAAGUGGCUAGGGUUUGUUGAAUUUUCCUUCACCACUUACUUUGUUCUUGUUGAGAAUGUCCUAGAUGCAAUGCAAAGAAAACAUGAGCACAAAGCUAACUUGCUUAAGGGGUCAGGGAUGUGACAACUCACCCCCACUCAAAAGAAUCUCGUCCCGAGAUUUAGAAGUCGUCGGGAAUAACACAAGAUACUCAAGUCGGAGAAGAUCCUCUCUUUCCCAAGUUGCAUCCUUUUCAGAAUGAUUUGACCAUUGAACUUUAAGAAACUUGAGGUUUCGACGUCGAGUGGUACGCUCAGCUUGAUCAAGAAUACGCACGGGGUAUUCUCGGUAUGAAAGGUUAUCUUGGAGAUCAAGCGUUUCGUGGUCCACUUCACGGAUAGGAUCCAAAAUGCAACGCCUGAGUUGCGAGACGUGGAAGACAUCAUGAACCUUGGAAAGAUGCGGAGGAAGUUCCAACUGGUAGGCAACUUCUCCUCGUUUGGCAAGAAUGCGAAAAGGACCAAUGUAAUGAGGAGCCAACUUGCCCUUGAUACCGAAUUGAUGGGUACCCUUCAAAGGUGUAACCCGAAGGUAAGCCUUCUCGUCAACUUCAAAGAUCACAGCCUUAUGAUGACGAUCAUAUUGGCUCUUUUGACGAGACUGGGCUGUUUUCGACUUUUCACGAAUAAUGCGAACCUGCUCUUCUGCAUCCUGGAUCAUAUCCGGGCCAAAGAGUUGCCUCUCUCCGGUUUCUGACCAAUUAGGAGGUGUUCGACAGAGCUUUGCUCAAGCUUGAUUGAUAACUAUUGUUAUAAGAGAAUUCGGCGAAUGGAAGGCACUUCUCCCAAUUCAUACCGAAUGAUAUAACACAAGAUCGGAGCGUAUCUUCUAGGAUUUGAUUCACUCUUUCUACUUGGCCACUUGAUUGGGGAUGGAAAGCAUUGCUAAAAGAUAAGUGAGUCCCCAUGGCAUUCUGAAAACUUUCCGAGAAGCGAGAAGUAAAGGUACUCCCACGGUCCAAGUUAAUCUCCAAGGGAACACCAUGAAGAGACACUAUUCGAGAGAUAUAUAACUCUGCUAGCUGGCUAGCUGUUAUACUCUCACGAACGGGAAGAAAAUGAGCCACCUUGGAAAGACGGUCAAUGACCACAAAGAUAGCAUUAUUUCCUUUCUUGGUCUUUGGAAAUCCGGUAAUGAAAUCCAUGCAAACUUUAUCCCAUUUCCAUUCAGGAAUAGCUAGAGGUUGAAGGGUGCCAGCAGGCCUUUGAUGUUCUGCCUUAACUCGACGACAAACAUCGCAGUUAGCAACGAACUCAGCAAUUUCUCUCUUCAUCCUAGUCCACCAGAACCUCUGGCGUAGGUCCUGAUACAUCUUAGUACUACCGGGAUGAAUGGUGAGAGGAGAAUCAUGGGCCUCCUUAAGGAUUAACUGCCUUAGAUGUGGGUUCUUAGGAACCACUAGACGAUUCUGGAAGAACACAACACCUUAAUCGUUCAUGGAAAAUUCUUUAGCGUUUCCGCUAAAAAUAUUCUCCUUGAUCCGUGAUAUACCCUUGUCACGCUUUUGGCGAGCUAUAAUUUGAUCCUUAAGGGUAGGCUUCGCCACCAGGGUAGAAAGGAAUCCUUGAGGAACAAUAUGUAAGUUAUCCCUAAGUCGUAAUCCGAGAUCAACUCAACCCACCGUCUUUGCCUGAGAUUCAAAUCCGGCUGGGUGAAGAUAUAUUUCAGACUUUGGUGAUCAGUGAAUAUUUCGCUACGAUUACCCAAAAGGUAAUGUCGCCAGGUUUUCAGUGCAUGGACCACAGCUGCAAGCUCAAGGUCAUGUGUGGGAUAAUUAUCCUCAUGUGGACGCAACUGUCGAGAUGCGUAUGCGAUCACAUGACGAUCUUGCAUGAGAAUGCAACAUAAUCCUUGUCGCGAGGCGUCGCAAUAGAUAACAAAGUCCUUAGAAAAAUCUGGUGGUAGCAACACAGGUGCGGAAGUCAGGCGUCUUUUCAGUUCCUGAAAACUAUGCUCACACUGUGGUGUCCACUCAAACUUUUUAUCCUUCUUGAGGAGUUCAGUUAGAGGCUUUGCAACCUUGGAGAAAUUCUCGACAAAGCGGCGACAAUAGCUCGCUAGACCAAGAAAACUCCUAACUUGCUUAACCGGUUCAGGUUGAGUCCAAUCAAGGACAGCUUGAACUCUCUCGGGAUUGACAGCAAUACCCUUACCAGAGAUUACAUGACCUAGAUAGGUCACUUCUGGUAACCAAAAUUCACAUUUUGAAAACUUGGCAUAAAGGCGAUGCUCUCGAAGUUUCAUCAAUACCAGCCUUAGAUGCUCGACAUGUUCUUGUUCGUUCUUCGAGUAGAUGAGAAUAUCAUCGAGGUAUACCACGACGAAUUUAUCCAAAUACUCCAUGAAGAUUGAAUUCAUCAAACGAGAGAAGGUGGCUGGGGCAUUGGUUAAACCGAAGGACAUGACAGUGUACUCGUAUUGGCCAUAACGAGUAACAAAAGCCGUUUUUGGAAUGUCCCCGUUCUUGAUCUUGAUUUGAUGGUAUCCCAACCUCAAAUCCAUUUUGGAAAAGACCGAGGAUCCAGCGAGCUGAUCAUACAGAUCGUUGAUCCUGGGGAGCGGGUACUUGUUCUUUAUGGUGACCAGAUUAACUGGUCGGUAAUCUACAACCAUCCGAUCCGUUCCGUCUUUCUUCUUGAUGAAGAGGAUGGGGCAAGCCCAAGGAGAAGAGCUAGGACGAAUGAAACCUUUAUUCAAGGCCUCAUCUAGUUGCUUCUUAAGUUCGGCUAGCUCCAGGGGUGCCAUCUUAUAUGGUCUUCUGGCUAUUGGGACGGUCCCUGGAACAAGAUCUAUCACAAACUCUACAUCUCUGUCAGGUGGAAUUCCUGGCAGUUCCUCUGGAAAGACAUCCGGGAAGUCACGGACUACCAGAAUGUCUUCAAGUUCCAGAAGAGGGUUGGCAUUUAAGGAAUAGAGUUGGCAUUUGGCAACUCGAGUAGAGACAUUUACUAUCUCACUCGAGGGAUGGGUAAGCUGGACAUUUCUAGAAUGAGUAUCAAUCUUGGCAUAGUGAGCUGACAUCCAGUCCAUGCCCAAGAUGAUAUUAAUAUCCAAAGAUUUCAAUGCUAUCAAUGAGGCUAGAAAAACUAGCCUGUCUACUAGAAUUUCAUUGUCAUUGGUUAUCCUAGAGGUUUGCCAUUUACUACCAGGAGUUUGGACAACCAACGGAAUUGGCAUAUCACAAAAAGACAUGUUAUGCAACUGUGCAUAACUUUCUGAAAUGAAGGAAUGGGAAGACCCGGUGUCAAAGAGAACAGACGUUGGGUGAUGGUUAACAAGAAGCGUACCCAGUAUGACGUCGGGAUCCUCUGCAGCUUCUUCUGCUGAGACAUAGUUCACACGGCCACGUGCAGGAGUUGGCUUCACAUAGUAAGCUUUGCCCGACGGACUUUCCGGGUUGCUUGGCACCCACAUUUUGAGGACACUCACGGGAGUAGUGCCCUGGUUCUCCACACUUGUAGCAUAUCACUUGGUUGGCACGUGGUGCAGCAUUGCUAGCUGGACCACCAUAGGUUUUUGCUGGAGGGUUGGUCUGAUUCGUCUGAGGCGCCACGUAGGAUGGUAUCGGAGUGUAUCUUGGCGGCAGAGAACUGUUCAGAACCCAUAGCCUGCAUUUUGGGAACGCGGAACCAGAAGACGAGCCAAAGUCACGGGAGUGCUUCCUUGUGGCUUCAAAGUCAGUAUGACCAGUCUCGGCACUGAUCGCCUUGUUGACCAGGGCUUGAAAGCUUGCACACUUGUGGAGACGCAGAUCACGACGAAGCUCAGGGCUCAGACCCUUACGGAAUCUUGCUUGCUUCUUGGCGUCAGUAGACACCUCCUCUGUUGCAUAGCGGGUGAAGUUACCGAACUCGCGGCUAUAGGCAUCCAUGGUCAACUUGCCCUGAGUGAAGGCACAAAACUCCUCUCUCUUCCUGUCCAUCAGGCCCUCUGGAAUAUGGUGCAGACGAAAAGCUGCACUGAAGUCUGCCCAUGUGGCUGCUGGUUCAGUGGGACACAUAGCUUCAAAGUUCUCCCACAACAGAUUGGCGGGUCCUUCCAGGAAGUACGCCGCAAAGGUCACCUUGUCGGCCUCAGAAACAUUCGCAGAGCGAAUCUUGCGUGCGAUGCUGCACAGCCAGUCAUCAGCGUCGAGGGGAUCGACGGAAUGAUGAAACUUUGGAGGAUUCAGCUUCACAAAGUCGUUACGGGACACUGCAGCAUUCCUAGGCUGACGAGCCGUAUUCUGCUCAAUACGCUCUAACAGUCGGUUGGUCUCCCUUUUGUUUCUCUCUGCCUCAAGCAUAACUUCCGCCAGAGAGGGCGGGUGAGGCAGGUCUUCCUGCGACGCUUGACUACCCUCGCCUUGCUCAUGACCAGGGGCACGGUUCAACCUGGUGAACACCAUCCUGACAAACAAACUCACACCUUAGACCAAUAUCAUAUCAAUACUAGCUAUGGAUUAAGAAUGUACUGAACACACAGAAGGAGGAAAUGAAUAUCCGAACAACAUGGUAACAAGCAACUGCUAUAUAUACACCAUGGUUCAUACACACCCUUACAUAGUUCAGUACAACCUUAACCGAAGAGCAAACUACUGAAAUUAUGAAACUACUCAUCAGAGGCUUACAAGCUUCCUAUACAUUAUUUAUCUAGGCCUCCCGAAUUCGUUUCACAUCACAGGCAUACUUCACAAGUCACGCAGGACUGUGAACGUACGGCUACUACCAUCAUAUCCUGCCGCUCACAGCUCAGGCAUCCGCAUAGAACAUCUCAUAGAGAUUACCUCCAUGACCUGGAAGCUCAACCUGCGGAUCAGGAAACACUCUAGCCUGAGAUCCCUGGGAUCCAUAAGGACACAGAUGUGGCCUUGGUCCCCUGACUGGUGGUAAGAGGGGCCCCCGAAGAGGGGUGACUCCUCCUAUAGCUGGCCAGUCAACUUGGGCCGCAAGAUGUGUCCUAACAGGGUUCAGCAUCUCCAUAUCCCCGUACCCUGCCUGGACUACCGGUGCCAGCUGCGUCAAAGCCGUCCAUAGACGGGCACAUGUAGCAUAAAGCUUCAUGCGGAGAGCACGAGCAUCCCUGUCUCUGUUCUCUAGCAUCUCAACAGUGGACCGCAGUAGUGGAUCCUCCAUAGAAGAAUCAAAAUAGACUCCGCUGAGGUAUCCCUCUUCACCAGGCUGAGAGGCCGGAACAUAGCAGAACUCUGAAUUCUGCGGCAGUGCAUGUCUCGCUCUCAUAAUGGUCAGCAUUGAAUAGGCAGCAUCUUGUACUGCCAUGUCAACAGUGACUCCCAACCCAUAGGACCAAUUGGCUCCUCAGCUCCACGGUAGUCUGGAAAUACCCUAACAGUGCAGAUGUACUGGCUCUGGUUGAAGUCUCGGUACUGUUCCUCCACUAUGUACUCGGGGUACCAGCGGUAACCGCACACCGACAUCACCCUGACCAGCAUGGUCGUAUGACCUGGUACAUCAAUGCACCUGGUCAGACGUACCACCUGACAAGAAGGACGGCCAGACAUCUGUAAAUAGAGAGUAAUGCAAAAGCAUUAGAGCUCCGAAUGCAAAAUUGGGCAGCAUAACGGCUGUAAAUGCUCAAAAACAAAUUUUGAGACAACCCAAAAUGGAAUAGCGUAACCACUCAACUAUCAAGUUCAACUCUCUGAUCAUCAAACUUACUUCCCUUUUCCUAGGAAUGGAAGAAACCCAAUAUCUCUUGACUCGUAGUCCUAUAAUCUAUCGAUCAAAAACACGAGCCUAGAAGAAGAUGAGUAACCUAGUCCUUAAUUCCCGCAGAAAAGACGAGGAUGACCAGAAUAGAAUAACUUGAGAAGAGAACAAGAGCCUUACGUUCCCUUCCACAAACAAUUCCCUUAUAUAUAACUAAAGCAAUUCUAGACUCAACUUCGACCAGUUUGGCUUAGUAAUCCUACAGUCAGUCAGUCUCUGAUACCAACGCUGUCGGGACCCCAAUCCUAAGUCAUAGGANCACGAGUCCACUAACACCACAACAAUACACCAUCGUGGAAUCAUUCCGUCUCCAUACGGAAAUGCCGUCCACGACACUCACGCUUAUCUGGACAAUUUUAUGAGUAGCCAUUUAAGUUAUCUAUGAACAACAUAUGUCUCCAAGUAGUCCAUAUCUACGGACGCGGCUAUUCGAAUAGAUCAUCACCCUGCAGGUGUGUACUUCGUCACACACACUCUCGCCACUUAUCGCCAUGUGCACGUCAUGCACCUCGGCAACCUUCAAGCGGAAGCCCAGCGAGGGAGUCGGCCACGACCGUUAACCACAUUAGUACCUAGUCCAGGUUUAUCGCCUAUCUGAGUAACCCGUACGGAAGUCCGGCCGAGGUUUCCGCCACGGCCUCAAACGAUGUGCGCAGGGUUCCCAAGCCCACCAUCCGGGUGCCACUUGGUACAUCGUGCCACUUCCUACCGCAUCACAGCCCACCUCUCAGGUCAGCGCUAUGCACGGCCUCCAGCAUGACUAUAAACACCAGAAACUACUUGCAACUCCUGGACCGAGUACUAAGCGAUUAAUAAGUCGAGCGGGGUCAUAUUUCAGGGCCCAGCAUGUGGUAGUAUCUUGUCUUGGAUUACAUACACGGAACUCAGUUCCUAAGGACGGUUCCAAUGAAACAACCCGCCAUGUACUCCUACACAGCCUUUCACCGGUACCUUUACCAAAUCAGGUUCAACACACAACCUUUGCUUACCGAACACAUUCUCACAAUUCUGUUCAUCUCCCAGAUGACAGACCAUAGACAACUCUAAGCAUAGCAUGCAUAGCAGGAUAAGGCACAUCAUGGCUCAAGCAACUACCAGGUAUGCUAGGUUGCAAGGUUCAGCUAUUUACUGUGACAAGGAUAGGUCAUGCAAAGGAAGUGGGUUCAACUAACGUGGCAAAAGCAUUUGAAGCAUUUGAUCCUAAUGCAAUAAGUAAGUGCAGGAGCAAGAACAUGGGAUUUAUCGGGAUGAUCAAAAUGGUUGCUUGCCUUGUUUCUCAGAGGAGUGACAAUAUCCGUCGGACGGAUAUUCGGUGGAAUCCGGGGGAGCGGAGCCUACCGAAAGGAAUGACAUCAAUCAAUAUCAAGCAUAUGCAAUCAAGAUGAUGCAUGAGCAUGGCAUGAGAAUGCAAGGUGAUAUACUAUUAUAACUAACAUGUAUUAGGUUUGAAGUUGAUUUGAAUCAAAUUCAAAUAUCACUUCAAACGAGGUAUUCUCGGAUACCAUUUUAAUUGAUUCGACAUGAUGCUCAGAUCAACUUGAUGUUAACAUGCAUGGAAUGACAUGUUAGGUUGCUGGUUUGUAAUUAGGACAGUAUUUGAUCAUGUCAAUCAUAGUGAAAUUUAAAUAUUUUCCAUAUUCCAUUUAUAAAGUAUUUAUAAGAAUUGACUUAUUCAUUAAUCUACAUGUUUGGGUUCUCUAACAUUUUCAAACAUGUCUGAAAAUGGCAUAUUCAGAUUCCUUGGAUUUUUCUGAUACUUUUUCAUAUAUAAAUUAUUUUCAUUGGAGUUACAGAUUAAUUUCUAUGAAUUUUUGAAGUUUUAAAAAUUUCUGAAAUUAUUCUUAUACUGGAAAAUCCCUUUACUGCAUCAGCAUGACAUCAGCAGGUCCAACUGGCCGUUGAAAGUCAAACCUGACCAGUGGGACCCACUGGUCAGUGUCUCUCGUCAGUUUUAGAUUAAAAUUAAACUUAAUUAGCUAAUUAAUCUCACUGGACCCACAUGUCAGUGACUUAUCAAAUUAUUUGAUUUUAUUUUUAUUAUUUCUAAACUCCCAGAGGCUGGCCCCACAUGUCAGUGGCUCAGGCCAGCUGAGAUCCACCGGCGGUGAGGUCGUCCUCGUCGGCGGGGAGCCUCCGGCGAGCACCAGUACGUCGGAGGGGCUCAGAAACGGCGCACAGGGGGCCAAAGUCGGCGCGGAGAGCACGAGAGGAACGACACUUCUCCCGCGGGUUCAUUUUUGCACUUGGCUGGGGCUGAUCUGGCCGGAGAUGACGCCAGCGACGAGCUUGGCGGCGGCCAAGGUUCGGGCGUCAUCGGGGUCUUCGAUACAAAGGGAGUUACGCACGGGAAUUAGCUCCUACGGCAUCUACGCGGUGGCCUGAAGCUGCUGGUGGCCUCAGAAGGAUGAGCUGAUCACCGGAGGGCUACCGGCGACGAGCUCCCGCGGCAGAUCUCAUCGGGCUCCGAUGGAACUAGGCCUAGAGGAGGGGAUCGACGGGGAGAUCUUAGGGGAAAGAUGCGCAAGCUCACGAGGAGUGCAGUGGUGGCGCUAGCUUGCUCGGGGACGGCCUGGAGAGGAAGAACGCCGGCGACGAGCUUCGGUGACCCGAGGAAGAAGACGACCGCGUCUCGUCGUUCCACUGCGUCUCGGCGUCGGGCUCGUGGCUAGAGAGCUUCAGGGAGUUGCGGCGGACCUAUUGUGCGGCUCAGGAGGGAGAAGAGUAGGCUAGAAUGACGGCGAGCUCGAGCUCUGCUCGGGCUGCAAUGGCGGCAGAAAGAAACGAGGCGGAGGGGGAGAAUGAGCUGGGGAACGGAUAGCUACGAGCUCGGGGAGGUUAUCCCCGUUCUUGCCAGCGCGAAGCGGCGGCCAGGCAGCCAGGGAGCUGCGUGGAGGCGCGCGGCGACGCGGCGGCCACCUCCUGCGAGGAAGACGACAGGAGCAGAUGGGCCGGGCCAGGUCAGCGUCAGGUAAGGUUUUUUCUCAUUUUCUUUCUGAUUUGUUUCUGUUUUGCUAUUUCAUUAACUUGCUAUUUAUUUCAGCUCCCAAAUAGUUUGUAAAAGCUAUUUUAAACACACCAGAAUAUUUGUUGGAAUAUUUCCAACCAUUCCCAAAGUUUUCAAAAAAAUUGAAAGUUUAAAGUUUCUGAUUUCAAAUUUAAAACUUGAAACUAGUAGCUUUUUGCAUUUAUUUAAAAUGCUUAAAGUGUCAAGAAAAAGGUUUUCUUCAUUGCUUAUUACUUUCAUGAUUUAUCAGAAAGAUUGAACUUUUCUUGAGGCCGUUUUGGGUUCAUUGAUUUUAACUAGUUUGAAUUUCCUUUAAUUUGAGAAGUGGCUAGGGUUUGUUGAAUUUUCCUUCACCACUUACUUUGUUCUUGUUGAGAAUGUCCUAGAUGCAAUGCAAAGAAAACAUGAGCACAAAGCUAACUUGCUUAAGGGGUCAGGGAUGUGACAAAUUGGUUGCUCAAGUGCUUAGAUAUAGCCACCAAAAAUACUCAGCCACUUUCCCACAACAUAUAUGUGUACCAAAGGCAAAUAUGCAAAAUUGGUGCCACCAAUAUUUCCCACUCGGCCAUACCGAUUUUACACUUACACAGAUCCUAUGCCAAUCCCACCAUAUCGGUACAACCAACAUUCCUAUCAGUGCCACCAAGAUUGGGUGACCAACAUUCUGUUGAUAUAACUUCAAGUUUCAGAAUUUAUGAGUAGUCGAUCUCACCGAGUUUGGGAACCAGUCUAGGUCAUCAUAUUGGUACCACCGAGAUUCCUAUAUCGGUCUCACCGAGAAUUCAAAGUUGCCACAUUUACUUCAACUCGGUACCACCGAGAUUACCAUUUCGGUGUCACCAAGUUGGGUAAUAAUGUUGUAACGGUUGGAGUUUGGGGAUCCCUAUAUAUACCCCUCCACCUACCUCUCAUUCAUAGAGAAAGCACUCAGAACACACUUACACUUGGCAGAUCCAUUUUUCUAAGAGAGAGAGAGAGAGCCACCUAUUCAUGUGUUGAGAUCAAGAGAUUCCAUUCCAACUAUUUGAACCUUGAUUUCUAGCAUCCCAAGUUGCUUUCCACAAGAUCAGUAUCUCCUACCCUUGCCAAAUCUAAGAGAGAGUGAUCGAGUGUUAAGGAGACUAUCUUUAGAGGCACAAGAGCAAUGAGUUCAUCGUUCUACCACAUCUAUUACCUUUUAGAGGGCGGUGCCUCCUAGAUUGGAUAGGUGUUGCUUGGGAGCCUCCUACUUUGUGUUGUGGAGUUGAACCAAGAUGUUUGUAAGGGAAAGGAGAUCGCCUACUUUGUGAAGAUCUACCGUGAGUGAGGCUAGUCCCGUGUGGAUGGAAGCUGUGGUGGAAUAGACAAGGCCGCUUCUUCGUGGACCCCUUGUGGGNAGUCUCCACUAACAUGGAAGUACGAUAUCCCACCUAUCGGAACCAUGCCAAAAAUCGUCGUGUCAACCUUUGCGUUUGAUCUCCCUACCUUACCCUCUGUCUACACUUGCAUGUUUUACUUUACGCUGCAAUACUCUUAGAUAUGCAUGUCUAGGGUGUACUUGACUAGUCAUAAUUGAUAAAACUGGACCACACUAAAAAUUGGGAAAUGGCUAAGUUUUUAACUUGUCAAGUACUCUAAUCACCCCCUCUAGACAUACUUUCGAUCCUANNNNNNNNNNNNNNNNNNNNNNNNNNNNNNNNNNNNNNNNNNNNNNNNNNNNNNNNNNNNNNNNNNNNNNNNNNNNNNNNNNNNNNNNNNNNNNNNNNNNNNNNNNNNNNNNNNNNNNNNNNNNNNNNNNNNNNNNNNNNNNNNNNNNNNNNNNNNNNNNNNNNNNNNNNNNNNNNNNNNNNNNNNNNNNNNNNNNNNNNNAUUCCUUGCGGAUUCGCCUCUGAUCACCAACGAUCGAGCGACGAGCACGGCUGGUAGACUUCACCCGUCGUGCACCGAACUCGAGCUAUAAAACGACCAUGGCAUUCCUCUCUUCUUCCUCACACCCGACCUCGCUCCUACUUCUUCCUCCGUCUUAUUUUUUGCUUGUAGGAGCUCGAGGCAAGGCUCUAUUGGCAGACAAGCUUCUCGGGUGGCUUACGAUCAUCCUAGCUGGAGCGGCAGCGGCGCUGAUCGGGUUCUCGAUGUUGUACUGCAUGAUCAUCCAGGAUGACCGUCGUGAUGAUGCUGCUCGAGUGGUGGCUCUCCGUGGCAGCAGUGUCCAUGAUGACUAGGAAAAUGUGUAGCGUGCGAGUGGGUGCUAGUGUGUCGGCACCAACUCUAGAAAAAUAAAAUACCCACAAUGUUUCCUUUUGAAAAACUGUGGCGUGCUAGAGAGGUAAUCAGUUAGGUGCUAAAUGCGUGCGUGGUUCUGCACUUAGUGCAUGUGUCAUAGUGAGUGUGGUUAUGAUUCAGUUGGAUGUAUGUUUCCGGUGUGCCUUCACACACUUGGUCUUCUAGCCUCUUUGUAGAAUUCUUGCAUAGUUGAUGUUGUCGGCAGGGGAGUGGUGGUGAACUCUUGUUGUCUCUUCUUCGUUGUCAUGGCUUAUCAGCCGUGGUCGCUCUUCACCUAACUUGCGUAGGAUUGUCUUCUGUUGCUUGGAGGGUGCUUCGAGGAGUCCAUCUCUACCAGGGUAAAACCUUACACUUCUGAGGCAUCGCGAUCGAGGUUUCCGAGGGCUUAUCCAAACAGGACUAAGGUGAUUCUCACUUCUCUUGGAUAAAUAAGCUUGUCAUCCAUAGGACAACACCCUAUUUUUCCAACCAUCACACAAGAAUUAUGAUCGUGGAAUGUGUGAGAGGAGCAGGUACUUCUCCUGUGUGGUCCCUUGCCCAGGGGUUUAGUGGCGGUCGAGGGGGAGUAUUGGCUACAGUCCAAUGACUUAGAACCAAAACCUACAGUCACAAUCCAGCCAUUUUUUGGCUAGGUAAAGCUUCGGGGUUUUAAGGAACUUAGGAUGUGAGUGAAGAUCCAUCACCUUAUCCUUGAGCACACUUAGUUAGAUGCCAAUGGUCCUACCAAAUCCUCCAAACCGAAUCAUCUAAUGUCAUAAAAGGUACCAUGCCAUAUAGGUCAGCUCCAGCAUCACUAUGCUACUCAACCCCAAGGUUUGAGAGAAGGACUAAACCAAAACCACGUAAGUAUGCUAUAACUGGCUCAUGUGUAUCCCUAUGUAAGAAUCCUCGGGAAGCAUACAAGCUACUAAUCUUGGCGAAUAUAGUACAAUCCAAGUGCUUAUUAAAAUUAUCCAAGGUCUAAGGUACUAUAUUUCUAUGCUAAGGAAACAUGUAUUAUACCAAUCCAAGAUCUUGUUCCUCACUAAAAAUCCAAUUAAGAGGUUCAUCAAUACCAUCAAUCCUCACUGGACCUAUCACUCCUAUAAAUUGAAUAUCGAUGGGGUUCUACCUAAUCACCUAGAGUCCUUUUAUUAAUCCACCUAUCCUAGCAAGGACUAUACCACAGUAUAUCCACCAAUUUUCCAUACCAUGACCAAUCAAGCUGGUCACGCUUAUAUAGAUUCAUAAUUCAAUUCAACUACUCAAAUUAAUUCUACUAUCACUCACGGAGGCACAUGCUAUCAUGACCAAGAUCAUCGGACCACAUCUAAUUUACUCUGAACCAUGUGGUAUCAUUUAUCAUCGACACUCUAUUAGAAUUACCUAUUUAAAUCCAAUUCGCAUGGCCGACGAGAACUCCCACUUGCUUCUCCAUGUCAUUAAUAAGCCAUGACUGCUACUUGACAAAGUCAAUUUAUUAUAUCACCAAGAGUUUUAACUCGCAAUCAUAAUUUCCGUAUGUACCCAAACUUACUCCAGGAACAUGUAGGUAUUGAUACUAUAUCACCUUAUUAAACCAAGUUCACCUACCAACUUAAGGGUCUUACGACCCGCUAAGAGAACCUAGCUACAUCAGCGAGACACUUACUGUAGUCAUCUCAAAUCAUUUUCUGUGGGUCGUAUACCCUUUGAACAAUCCUUCCUAUGGCGUCAAGGUCGUGGGGCUAGCUUAAUAGUGAAGGAUAUUUGUUCACUCUGAUCACUUGUUCCAUAAUAAACCCAAUGCUAAGCAAGGGGGGUUAUCGGGACUCAACGGGUGCUGUGGUAAACCCGUGUAUUAAUCACACGAUCAAAGGUUUAAGCUAGGGAAUCUUGUGGGGUUUUAGGUUGGUCUAGAGAGGGGCUUCCAACCUUGAGGGAAAAGGACAAAGCUACGGGGUUACGUCUGGUUGAGCACGUCGUAGUCAGAGUCUUGAUUGUUAGUAGUCCGUCGAGGUGGAUCCUUGGUGCAUCUUGUCCUUCUCGCCUUCGUUUGUCGAGGAAGGUGAGAGAGAGAGAAAGGAAGCAUAGAGGGGAGUGCCUAAGGGGGCAGUAUAGUGCAAGUGCAAUCAAACAAGUGCCGAAAGUCCAAACACAAACACCAAGAUGAUGUAGGUGAUAUAGUCGUGUGCUUGCUGCCUGGGAAAAAGUGCGAGUUAUAUCAAGGCACAAACAACAAGAAACACACAAUAUGGAUCCACUCGAACCAUCACACGGACUCGGCUUCUCAUAGGGGAUACACAGCUCAUCCUAUCCUAAGGGUUCUCGGACUCAAUAGUCAUGCUUACUUCGUGUAUCAUUGGGGGAGUCCACUUAGUCUUCUAGGUCUUCUUUAGGUGUCGCGUGCCUCAUGUUGUUGUCCGUCGAGACGACUCAAGUUGAGCUGGAAAGAGUCCUUGACAAUUUCUCAUCUGGUGAGCUGUCGACGAGGGUGGCUCUUCAUGGUUGUCGUUGGACAAGGACUUCUGUUGUCUUUGUAAUCCCGCCGAUAUCUCCUUGUCUUCGAAGGUGUCGAGUGUUCCAAGUGGACAAUCCUUUAUGCAAUGACAUCAAGAGGGCAUGGUAGAGUUUUGUCGUGACAGUUAUGUUGCUGACAAUAUCGACUUCAAGAGCGAGGGACAAAGAGAACCGCUUUUCCUUCUCACUAUGGUGAGUUUGACCAAAUGGCGAGGUUCUCAUCCACCGGUGGUUGUCGACACAACAACGGUAACGACAGGGUCACUCUAUUUGCGAUGCAUAUCAUGAUCUUGCAUAUCUUAUGUCCUGAUCAUCGUAGUCCAAGGUUGUACCGCUCUGAGGCGGGGUCGAGGGUGUCACCAUCUUCUCAGUCUCGAUGUACUCAUUUGUCGAGAGAGUAGCUUCUUUUGGUGUCGUCUGGUCGUAGCGUUCCCAAUCUUGUCUUAGAAACAUGUGAGUGAUCUUUUGGCAAGGUUGUUUCCUUUCAAGUUACCCACCAAGAUUUCAAGGAAACUAGUGGUUAGGGUCAUAAGGGUUCUAGCUACCGUUUGCUGCUUUGAAAAGCAAGUGAGGAGCGUUGAAGGAACAAGGGUGGAAGUGCUAAGGUAAAAACCUUGGCUUGCAAUGAAGAUUUAGGAGAGGUGAGAAAUAUUUAGGUUUUGAAAAUGAUUGGAAGGGCCUGAAAAACAAAUGUGUCCUAACUAACGUCUGUGCUAACUAAGGGCUUCCUCCAGUCAGGAUGGCUCGGAUACCAGCUCUGUGGGGACCCCGACUUGUAAGUCGAGAUCGUCGAAUGCACGUGUGCAGUGAUCCCAGAGAUCAAUGCUCACGGAACACACAUAAACUGGAUAACAAGUGUCUUGCAUCCAUACAUACCGCUUAUCUCGGAUAUGGCCGUUAUGGCCAAGUCUUCAUAUACACUCCAACGGAAAUCUUCAAGGAUAGUGUGAAUCCAUGCCACUUGUCUUAGCCCGACAUGCAUUCUGGAUGGGAAGCGUCCUAGCUCGCAGGAACGUCAGCAAGGUAUUCUUCACCAUCUAUUGUUCUCUCUUACCUGGUCAAUGAAAUCACCAGUUGCAAGCCAAUGAGUACUUCAAAUGUACUCGUAAACAAACAAUGUUUGGAAUGAGGCAACAACAAUACAUGAUAUAGUACUAAGCAGUUAAUUUGCGGAAAGCUAAUUUGAGUGCAAUGCCAUGAUCAAUCAGCUUGUAAGAGCGUGCAUCAACACGUAGACGAUAUACAUACGAUCAGAUAUCAGAUAUCAAUAUCAAUAGAGGGUUGAACAUCCCAUGUUCACCCAUCAUGCCAAGUCAUCUGACUUAGCUCAUCAUUCAUAUUGCCGCCAUACCCCCCCCACACACACACACAAACUUGGUUAAUACGAAAACUCCUGGACGUAGUUUAAGUAGCACCACCCAAAUGUCCUUGGCCAUGGACACGACUAUUCGAGUAGUUUUACACUCUGCGGAGGCUACAAACUUUACCCACAAGAUUCGAGAGAAUCCCGUGUUAGCACAUGACUCACGGUAUUUAUCAUACCCGGGGUAAGUACCCGAACAUCACCUUUCCCAUGACGAUACUAUCAAGGAGUCCACUCGUUGGUGAUAGUCCCUCGUGAUGUACAUCACACGUACCAUCCACGAGGGCACGCAACUGUGUGCUCGAUGUUUGUAAAAACAUCACAUGGUCUCCCUUUAUCUUGUCACGACCCCGUCUCGAGAGUGACCACGUCACUCCUGCCACUAGUAAUGUAGGCUCUCUACUAGCACCGACCAUAGUAAUCAAUAAAGCCCCAUCCCAUAAGGGGUAUUGUGGUCGUACUUGUAAGGUUGGUACGGGUGAGGAAUCUUAAAUCUAAUCCGGUUUUUAGAAAACCCACUCACACAACUGGCCUCGGUAUACAACUCUCUGAUCAAGUGGUUACCUAGAUCAAAAAAUCGCCCUCGAGCAUUAGUGGCACCCGACGGGGUUCUCGUGAAACAUUUGAAAUCACCUCCUUUUACCAUCUCCAUGCAUGCACCCAAUCCCAUGCGUAGCACUACCAACAACCUAACUACUUCGCACUCGUAGAACCCUGAUAGGAAGGUAGGGUCAUUCCUAGGUACAAGUAGCAACGAGGAGUUUCCACAGACAACCCAUUAAGAUGGUCACCAACUCAAUAUGAUUCAAUACAUCAGAACGAAGUGCAAAUUACCAUGCACAAAAGUAGUUUCUCAGACAUGGUCAAAGGGAUGCUUGCCUAGUUCAUCAAAGUCAUCGAGGUCUUCAUGAGCUUCUCGUCCACCCCGAGCGGCUUGCCUACUUCGUCAACAAUAAUCGAAAACAACCACGAUAAGCCACACUACAAGCAGAAACACAAACUGCUCAAUAAAUAGAUGUCUUAUUUUUCUUGGACAUCACUGGUCAUGAGGGAAAUCCCUAAGCUUGUUCUAAGAGAUUUGGAUCACCAUAGAAUUUUGAAUGGUGUAAAAGGAGGAAUUGGUGAUCCUAUAAGAAGUCGACAGAAAGCAUUUUUAUAAAUAGGAGUUGAUGUGCCCACCGAAGAGGGCAUGAUUUUUGAAACAUUUAGGAAGUGGUUUCAUUGGAUUUUGUGUUGGUAUGAAUUCGCUAUGGAUUUACUAAGAUGGAUUAAAUGGAAAUAUGUGCUAAUAAUCUGGCCUACCAGAAAUGAUGUAUGAGAAAAAUCUUCACCUAUGCUAGAAAAAUAGAGAAUGAUUUUAGACUCAUCUAGAAAUUGGAAUCACUCCAUUUGGAGUUGAUUUGGAUGAUGGAUGAAUUUUACAAAGUGGGGUUUGAAUAAAUCAAAUUUGAAUUUGAUCUCUAAAAAAAUGUUUCUGGACAAAUGUGCAAUGCACAUAUUUGAAUAUACCUUGAUUUUAGAAAAUCAUAGAAAUUUGAAUUAGUUAAUUUGGAGCUCAUAUGAUUUUAUUAUGAAUUAUAUGAGCUUUCAAAAAAAGAAAAAAGGGGAAAAGGGGGGGUAUGCCAGAGGACUAUAAGGCGCGAGGGUGCCUAGUAGGCAGCUGGGCCGUCCCAGCGGGUCCAGCCGCGUGCGCAGGAGGCCACGCCAAAGGCACCUUCCUGGAAGAUGAUUUCUUCGUGGGGAGGCACGAUCCAGCGGGAGGUGCGACCACUUAAAUAGGGGGCCCGGAUCUUAGCCACUGAACGGCGAGCCCCACUGUCAGAUCCAUCCCUACCACCCACCAGAGUAGGGAGAGGCAAGGGAGCUCGACCGAGCGCGUGUCGGCGCCCGCCUCGGCUGCUCCAGCCGCCUCCGGUGGAUCUACGGCCACCGUUGGGCCCUGGGGGCGGCCUGCCACACCCGCCAGGGUGUCUCCUGAUCCCGGGGACGGCCGGGGACGACCAUAGCUCCGGCCAUGGCGGAGAGAAGCGACAGCGGAGCUGGGCAUGGAGGAGCGGCCGUCGGGAGGAGGAAAACGGUCCAUGGGGAGGAGGGAGGAGGCAGUGGAGGGUCCAAGCGAGUCUUGGAGGAGAGGAUGGGGUCGGGGAAGCCUGAAUUCGAGCUAGGUCGUGGCGUUGCUAGGGAGGCCAUGGGAGGAGGAGGAGAGGGUGGGAGCCCUGAAGUCUUGACCCACGAGCUGCAUGGGAAAGAGAUGGGUGCAUCGGGGGGGUUGAGGGGGCUUAGGAGAGGAAUAAAGCAGGUGGGGACGAUGUGUGAGCUUGAGAGCACCUCGUGUGGUCUGGGCACGGCGGGACACG